UGGCAGUGACUCAAUUCAACGACUCUCAGUUUAGAAAGUUGAAUGAUGCCUGCAAGUAUGCUACUAAAACAGUCCAUGCUUAGAUUUAGACCUGAAGCAUGCAAACACUCUAAACAUUGCAAACUCCUCAGGUUCUUGGGAAAUUCCUCAAGUUUUGUACAGAAACUGACAUCUAGAAUUUUAAGAGAACUCAAAUUACAAAUGGUCUCUGGAAGACUCACAAGGUUGGUGCAAUCUGCAAGAUUCAAACAUUGAAGCCCUCUUAAAUAUUGAAUUGAUGCUGGUAGUUCUUUUAUAGCAGUUCCAUCUAAAUGAAGAUUUCUUAAAUUUUCCACAUCCUCAAGGAUUUCUGGAAAGCUCCUUAAUCGUGAACAGCCUGAGCAGUUGAGAGUUGUAAGGGAUUUCAACUCACAAAUGCUACUGGGAAGACGCUCAAGGUUUUUGCAUUCUCGCAAACAUAAGCUAUCAAAUUCUAAGGGACACUCAAUAGUGGGUAGUUCAUUGAUGGCACUUCCCUUUAAACAAAGCUUCCGUCGGGAUUGCACAUCCGCUUGACAUUUCCGGCAAAUGGUGGGUAUCAUUGCUUUACCAUUGUUCUUUUCAUGAUCAUGGGCAUAUAUAAGAUGGAUCCCACACUCUUCCACUUUCAUUGCUUUACCAUGUGAGAAGCCACAAAAUGAAGCCGUCAACUGCCUCCAUUUAUUUGAGUGAUACUUCUUCUCAAUCACCACCUUUGCAUAAUAAAUCAUCCACAUUUUUGGUACAACAUCAUAGCAGCGAAACGAUGGAUAAAACUGGAGUUCAUCCACAAACUGAGAUUCAUGAGCACGCAAAGUCAAAGAACACUUGAGGUAAGCUGCAUCAUUCUCCAGUGUCUCCUCAGAUUCAUUAUCAAGUGGAUCAUAAAGAGAGUACAAAACAAAACCCAACAAGUCGUUAUUUUUAUACCAAUUUUCAGGAAGCUUUGCUACCACUUUAGCUCCCUUUUUGUGAUGGCUUAUCCAUUUUGGAAUUCCACAACUUCCUGAAAUAAUAAGAUUUACUCGGGCAAAAAGGCUGUCUCUAGGAUAAAUCCUGCAUUCAAAAUCCUGCACAAAAUUUAAUUAACACGUAAAUCCCCAUGUCUCCAUAGAAAAAGUUUUGUUCUAUGAAUAUCAUACCUGAAUCAAUGAUUUGAAGCAGUUGAAUAGAGAAGACCAGAGUAGACCCGAAGAAGUUUCCAGCCAUGGGCACUCAUGUACAUCUAAGACACGCAAACUGGAUGGAAGCGCUGGAAUUUGUCGAAGCUCUUGACAGUGACCCAAGUUAAGGAUUCUCAGCAUAGAAAGUUGAUUGACCCCAGAAGGUAUGCUCCUAAAAAGAUUCCCACUUAGAUGUAAAUGUUGCAGAGAUGAUAGGUGGCAAAUUUCAGUGGGGAUUCCUCCUUCAUCUAUUCUGCAGAAAGAUAGAUCUAACACUUCCAACGAGUACAAGCAGCAAAUAUCACUCAGGACUACUCCUUGCAUUAGCUUUGACCCAGGUAGAAUUAAAUUCUUUAAGGAGCAUAAACCCAACAAAGAAACCAAUUGGCAACAUGUUGAAUUUAAGCCACAAGCACAGAGAUGCUUCAAGCUUUGCAGCCUCCCCAGGUUUUGUGGCAAUUUGUGGAGUUUUGAACAGUAACUGACAUCGAGAACUUCAAGAAAGCAUAAAUUACAAAUGCUUUCUGGAAGAGUCACAAGUUUUUUGCAGCCCUCCAGAUUCAAAACUUCAAGCCUAUUCAAAUGUUCGAUUGAUGAUGGUAGCUCUUUUAUAGCCGUUUCAUUCAAGUGAAGCUCCCUUAAGUUUUCCAUAUUCUCCAAGAUUUCUGGAAAGUACUGUAAUUGUGAACAGUGAGAGCAAAAGAGAGAUUUUAGGGAUUUGAACUCCCAAAUGCUUGUUGGCAGACUCUCAAGGUUUUUGCACUCUCGCAAACAUAAGGUAUCAAAUUCAGAGGCAUGCUCAAUGGGUAGUAGGCUGAUUGGCUGACCCUUUAAACAAAGCUUUCGGUGUUCCACGUUCCUCUGACAUUCCAAGCAGCUAGCAUCCACAUCCUCAGUCUGUACUAUUGGGUCUUGGGAGUAUAUAGGUUGGAGCCCACACUUGAGCACCUUAAAAUGAUUGCGAGAGUCUAUAAAUACAGCAUUAAGAUGCAUGAAUCGAUUGGUGUGACAGCUCUCCAGAAUAGCAGCCUUGGGAUAGAAUAUCACCCACAUUUGUCCUGAUACACCUCCAUUAUGGUAGCAUUUACAAGUAGAGCAAAAACUGAGAUGUCGCACACACAGGGAAGAAGAUCCAUAUCCUUCACUCAAUGACAGUUGACAUUGUAACUUAGUGGAGAUUGAAGAUUCAGCUUCAAGUAAAUCAUCAUCUUCAUUUAGGACUUCGUCACCAGAUGGAUUCUCCAAUGUAUGUGCAAAAUAAUUUUCAGGUGUGUCCUCACAUUCAUAGAUUGGAGCAUAAACAGAGCAUAUAGCAAUUCCCAAGAAGUCAUCAUUUUCAUAACAAUUCUGAGGAAGGCCCAUUGUGAUAUGAUAUCCCUCUGUCUGAUUCCUUAUCCACUUGGGAAUUCCACUGCUUCCCGGAACAACAAUACAGAUUCCAUCGCUAAUGUAGUCGGAAUUAGGGAGAAAUACUCCAUUUGAACUCUUCUCGUGUUUCAAAUCCUGCACAAAUGGACAAUGUAAAUCUAGUGGGUCUGUGUCAUUAUGUGAGUUUUUAUGAGAGAGUUUGUUAUCGGUUUUUGAUAAAUUGAUUCCCAGUUUUAACUUUCUUUGAUCUAUGCUCCUGAAUCUACUUAAUAUCCCUUUUAGAUGACGGAUAAUCAAUGAACAUGAAAGUGAGUGACAAGAUUAAGUGUGAAAACUGGAAGUGAGGGGAAACUGAAACUGAAAGUGAGUAGAAUAAGCAGAUCUCUUCUUCACUUGCAGUAGCUUCUUCUCCAUUCAGAUUCAGAGAUCUUAGAAUUGUAGCUUCAACUUAACUCUCAGAAUCUUAAAGACAAAGUUCGCUCAAGUUUCAAAAACUCACAGAAAAAUUUCGCCUCUUGUUUCUCUUAAUCCCAUGAGGCGAGAGACAUGUAGCACACGCUUAUUGGCUUUUUUCCAUGCAAGUUUCAAGGUGGAGCAUCUAAUGAACUAAAACAUUCCUUCAAAUCCUAGUGGAAAUUCACACUAGAAAUUUCAGAAUUUGCUAAAGAAAGGUUGAAUUCAUUUUAUCCAUGAAUAAAAAAGCAUGUGAGGGCAUUUUAACUUCCUAAUAAUUAUUAUAUUAAACUAUAAUUCUCAUUAUUUAAACUGAUGAUCUUUCACUUCAUCACGACAUUUUGACGAGACUUUUGUCAUCUCUUCCAUGAAUUAAUUGAUGUUUAAGGAGGUACAAUAUUUUUUAAUUGAAUUUAACAUUAUUUCUAUCCUUAUACUCAUUUUAAACUAUUAUAUUUUUUUUUUAUAGUUUUAUCAAAAUAAAUAAAAACUUAACAAAAAAUAAAUAAAGAUUUCAAAACAAACUUUAUAGAGUUAUCAACACUUAUUUACAUCAUUCUUUAAAAAAAAUUAUAAUUAACAAAAAUGUGAUAUAAAAAUUAUAAAGAAUAAAAUUUUUUGAAAAAUGUACUAGUUAUUUGAAAUCAAAAUUCCUAGUCAAUGAAUCGUCAAAAAACUGCAAUAGCUAUGCAAAUGAGAAAAAUAAAUAAAUUAAAAGUAAAAAAAGAAAUUAUCAAUGUCAAGAAUGAGAAACCAUUUAUUUCCUUUUUUUUUUGUAAACUUUUUUUUAUUCUGAUUGUAUGUAUUCAUUACAAUUUUUAAAUUAAUAAAUAAUGUUUUUAUCACAAAAUUUAAAAAUGGCAUCUAUCAAAAUUUAUAUAUUGUUAUUAGAUUUUUAUAAAUUUCAUUUAUAUCUUCAAAAUUACAAACUCCUUUCCAUUAUUAUUUCUUAUUUUUCUUAUUGAAAAUGCAUCUUUAUUCAUCAUUUGAAAGCAUAACACUUUGAAUCUUAGGAUGUACUUCUUUCUUCCUAGGCAUUGCACUCUCAUAGGACCCAUUAAAUCCAUAUGCAACAUCUCUAAGAUCCUAGAAGAAGAGAGAAUCAGUUUUCUCUCUCAUUCAUGCGAAUUCAUUUUCUUAGAUGGGACAGAUUUUAGGAUUUUUAGGUUUUCCUAAAUGGGAAGUGCUUUAACUAGUUCUUUAAUUGUAAUCCUAGACAAAUCAUUAGAGUUUAAAUGCGCUACCAUACAAUGCUACUGUCUUUGGAUGUAAAUUUCACAUUUUACAACUAUGUGCACUAGAUGAUAAGGAAGAAGUAGAGAGGUGCACAAAGGCAUAACAAAAAUUACCAAAAAUUUGAUUUCAUACCAACACACAUCCUUGAAUAGACACUGAUUUGGAGUAAAAUGAACAAAGCAUAUACAAUCACAAAUUUAAGUUGCAUUAAUUAAGUUUGCUUUCAAUCCAAUAUAUAGUAACUCCUCGAGUAUAGGUAAAUUUGGACCUUCUAUGGUACCUUUCACUUUCGAGUUGGUUAUAUGUAAUACAACCAUCCCUAAAUACAACCAAGCUUCCCUUUAAGGUUCAAACGUGGAGAAAAACCAUAAGUUCAUUAUUUCUUUAACCAUUCCCAAAUACAACCAAACUCCUUUUAUGAGUUCAAAAGUCGAGAGAGAUCCAAGUUCUCUGUCAUACAACUAGAGUAGCCACUCUCAAAAUCCACAACGUGUUUUUCUCUAGCUCUUAGACCCUAUGGUCAACUAAGGCUUUUUGGUUCUCCUUAACCUAGAUUUUCUUUCCAACAGACAAUUUAAAUCCUAUUUAAGAAUUGUUUUUAAAAUUAAUUUCUCAGUUCUUAAAAAUAGAAACCUAUUUUGUAGACUAAAACCAUGUUUGGCAACUUUUUGACAUAUUAUAGUUUUUUGAGAACUUGUUCUGAAAAUAAGGUUUCUCCUAAUAACAUAUUUUAAUUGCUUUCAAUUGUUUUCAUUUAUUUUGUAAGGUUGUUUUAAAAAAAUAAUGGUACAUAUAUAAAGAAUGAUGAAAAAUAAAGAACUAAAAGUAAAAGUUAUUUUUAAUAAAUAUUUGGAAAUACAAAAAAUAUAUUAAAAACAUUCUAAGUUUGUAAAUAGACUUUUAUUCUAGAAAACAUCAGACCAACUAUUUUUGAAUCAUGCAAAUUGGGCACACAUUUUCUAUGCCUAGUUUUCUGCCCAAGGCCCUGUAAAUGAACACAACCUCAAUUUUAAGGAGUUUCAAAACGAUGGUUGCUUUCUCGAAGGGGAGAGGAGUUUCGAAGGGUGGUAAGAGUUUGUUUGCAAUGGAAUCAAAGACAUUCGAAAUCCCCAUUGAAGGGAUUCGAGGCAACAGAUGGGAUUAUUCCGAAAAGGAACAAAGGCUUCUCCUCAUAGAUAAAAUUUGGUGAAAAGAGCUUCAGUUUUCUGUUGGAAGGGGUGGAAGACUAGUGCAGAGGAGAGUCAAGCUCGAGGCACCUUAAAGUUUAGGAAGAAGAAGGAAGAAAAUAUAGGUUGGAGUGUCGUUCAAAUGAAGCCGAUAGGUAUCUACUAUGCUCGAUGAGGGAUUUGGAAGCUAAGAGGUUUUGUCUAGUGUUUCCAGAAGGUAAAGGCUUAGUAGGAGGGUGGUUUCUGUUGGCUUAGAAGUUAAGGGCCCUUGGAGUUUCUACUCCAGCCUUGAGUAAAGGUGAUCUGGGUACUUCCAACUCUGAAAAGAAUGGUUAUAUGGCCAAAGGAAAAGAUAAAGGGAAAGGAGUGUAUGCAGAAGUCGUGAGAAAGGAGGUAGGGGAAUUAGGGGAUGCAUUGUGAGUGCAUGUUGGGGAUCGUGACCUGCUCAGUAGGGAAGAACAGCUUAGCCAUUGUUUAGUAGGAUGUUUUGGUGAUAGUGUAGAGGUCGUCCCUUCUUUGUCCUUAUUGAAGGAGUGGGCGUGUGAAAAGUGGUAUCUCAAGGGAGGUUUAUAAAUCUCCAAUUUGGGUGGAGCCCUUGUGUUGUUCGAAGUUGAAGAUAAAAGUUGAAGUGGAUUUGGUGCUUUUAAGGGGUAGUAGAUGUCUUAAGAAGAGAGAGUUUUUCCUGCAGAAAUGGGGACUUGAAGUUGGGUGUUUUAGAAAUGGGAGCCACCCUAAGGAAGUGUGGGUGAAAGUUGUCGGACUUCCACUUCACCUUUGGAGUAGAGAGGUGUUCAAGAGUAUUGGAGAAAGAUGUGGUGUUUCAUAGCUGUGGAUAAGGAAACUGCUUUCUCCUCCGAGUUGAUGUGGGCUCGUAUCUUGCUGAGAGCCUUUGGGAAGUUUAGACCAGGAACUUCACAAGUGGCAGUCGGGAAUUUUUGUUGGACGGUGAGUCUAUGGUGGAAAACUCCCCCAUGGUUCUCAAAGGUAGUGGCAAGGUUCGCCUAGUUUGAAAAUGAGAGACGAGAGAUCAGGGAUGAGGUUGGGGGUGAAACACGUGCCGAAGUUAGCGUGCAAUAUGUUCAAAAUUUUCAAAUUGAUAUGCAGUCUUGGGGGACAGGGGCGCAGGUUGUGUGUGGCAGAAGGAAAAGAAAGGAAGUAGUUGUAAUGGUUGCAAAGGGUAAGCUGCCUAGUGUAGCUGAUAUGGACUCUUCUUGCAGUGGGUCUGGGCCCAUAAAAGAAAAUGGGAAGGCUUUCAAAGGGAAUGGUUGUUUGGGCUUUAGUGGUGAAGUGGUUUGGGCCAAAGGCCCAUUGUCCGUUAGCCUUGAAGAGGCGAGCUUAGGUAAGUCUCCUAAGCCCACUUUUAAUAAGGCUGGCACAAGCUUUUUGGAGCGUCCCUCCUCAGCUAGGGCUCCAUCUAUUCCCGCAGGGGGUGUUGGGGGACGGAUGCGAAGCUCUUGGCUGUUGAAGUUGCAGUCACCGCGGAGUUGCUGCCACAUCGUCGGAGCGUCACUGACAAGGCUCUGAUGGAGGAGGCUUCCAGGUAUUAAGCUAUUCCCAAUUUUUCUUUGUUUUUAGGGCUUCGGGAAUCCUCUUCUUCUUCUCUCUGGGGCCACACCGAAGUUGUAGGGGUGUCGAAGGGGUUUGCUUAUGGAACGGAAUGGGAGUUGGGUCGGUUUCCACCGAGUGUGGUGCGGAAUAGAGCUGAGUCGACUUUAUGAGGCUGGAGUGAGCCUUCUUGGGACUCGGUUGACGCUAAGAGAGUGAAUGGGUUAGCACUUGUCCCGAUGAGGUCGGACUUUACGCGCCUUUUUGAGAAAAGGAGUGUCUGUCACCUAGAAGAAGGGGGAUGUGAUGAAGGGUAAGGGGGAUGUGAUGAAGGGUGGAGUUCAAGCCGUCUUGCGGUGUUCAGUCGCUGCUUGGGUAUGCCAACGAAAGGCUUCGAAAAGGAAAUUUUGUACUUCUUAAGGAGAAUGACAGGGAAAAUUGAGUAAAAGGGUAAGAGAGGGGUGACUAGGAAGACAAGUUUAAAAUCUUCAAAAUCCAACAAGGAACUCAAGAAGCUGGAGUGGACUGUUAAAGAGGCUAAUGAUAGGGGUAAAAGGAAGAUUAUCAAGUCAGUCAUUAAAUCCCAAAGAGUGGACCUGGUUUGUUUACAGGAAACUAAAAUUAAAGAAAUGACUACAGGGCUUGUUCGUAGUCUAGGGGUGGGAAGAAAUCUAAAAUGGAGAGCAGUCAAUCCUAGGGGAGCAGCUAGUGGUAUUCUGUUGUUCUGGGACAAUAGACUGGUGGAGCUGGUUGGCUAGGAAGAAGGGGUUUUCUCAAUUUGGCGUUGGUUUAAAAAUUGCAUGGAUGGUGUAGUGUGGGUGUUCACUGGAGUGUAUGGGCCAGUAUGCAAUAGAGAUAGAGAGGAUUUCUGGAAGGAACUAGGGUCAAUUAAAGGGUUAUGGAGUGACCCUUGGUGUGUAGGAGGGGAUUUCAAUUUGGUAAGGUUUCCAAAAGAGCGUAGUAGGAGAGGUGGGCUUAUUGCUUCAAUGAGGAGAUUCUCAAAAGUGAUAGAAGAUUUGGAGUUGAGGGAUUUUCCUUUGACGGGGGGCUCAUUUACUUGGAGAGGAGGCUUGAAUAACCAGGCCCAGUCUAGGCUUGACUGGUUCUUAUUGACGAACAACUGGGAUAAUCUGUUCAAUGGGGCCAUGCAGGGAAUUCUCCCCAGACCUGUCUCAGAUCAUUUCCCGAUCCUCCUAGGAGGAGGGUUGACGAAGGGACCUUCCCCUUUCAGAUUUGAGAAUAUGUGGUUGGAGGAGGAGGGUUUCAAAGACAAGAUGAAGACAUGGUGGGGGAGUUUAAAAUUUACGGGGACAUCCAACUACAUUUUAAAUGCUAAAUUGGGGACUCUUAAAAAUAUUCUGAAGAUUUGGAAUAAAGAAGAGUUUGGGCUCUAUUGGGAUGAAAAGAAGAAAUGUGCAGCUUUAAAUAUAAAAGAGUGUGAAGCAAGAAAUGGAGCAAGAGUCCUACAAGUCUUGGGUGACGAGAGAAGAGAUUUUUUGGAGACAAAAGUCUAGGAAGUUGUGGCUGAAGCGGGAGGGGGGACAAUAAUACUAGAUUUUUUCAUAGGUUGGCGAAUGCUCAUAAUAAAAGAAUCUAGUUGUCCAAGUUGAAAGUUAAUGGCUAUUGACACUCAGAGGAAAAUAAUUUAAAAAAGUGUGGUGGGGGCGUUUCAAAAACCAUACUCAAAAGAAGAGGGGUGGCGCCCUAGUAUCGACAGGUCGUCCUUUAUAGGUUAGAUAGAAGUGAGGCUGAGGGGUUGGAGAAUCCUUUCUCGGAGGAAGUGGUGUUUGCAGCUCUUUCAGAUCUAAGCAAAUACAAAGCCCUAGGGCCGCAUGGUUUUACCAUGGCAUUUUGGUUUUUUUGGUGGGAUGUGGUGAAGGUUGAGAUUAUAGGCUUUUUUAGAGAAUUUCAUGAAAGGGGUAGAUUUGUAAAAUCUCUAAAUGUCACCAUCUUGGGUUUAGUCCGUAAGAAGGGAGGUGCUCAAGAUUUGAAGGAUUUCAGACCGAUUAGCCUUGUGGAGCCUUUACAAGUUGUUGGCCAAGUGUUGCCAAAUAGAAUCAAGAAGGUAAUGGGAAAAGUGAUUUCGGAACCCAAAAUGCCUUUGUGAAGGGUAGAUAAAUACUUGAUGCAGUUUUGAUUGCAAAUGAGGCUACGAAUUCUAGGUUGAAAAGCAGUCAAGGGGGUAUGAUGUGCAAAUUGGAUAUAGAGAAGGCCUAUGAUCAUGUCUGCUAAAAGUUCGUGUUGGCAAUGCUAAAAAAAAUAGGCUUUGGUGAGAGAUGGAUUAAGUGGAUGGAGUGGUGUAUCUCUAUUAUAAGAUUCUCUGUUCUUAUAGAUGGUUCUCCCUCCGGGUUUUUCCAAAGUUCAAGGGGUUUGAGACAAAGAGACCCCUUAUCCCCUUAUCUGUUUGUGAUAGUUAUUGAGGUAUUUAGUUGCUUAUUGAGAAGGGCCAUUAGUGGGGGCUUUAUAUUAGGGUGGAGGAUAAGAGGCAGGGUGGAGAGGGGAUUCUGAUAUCUCACUUGCUUUUUGCGGAUGACACCUUGGUGUUUUGUGAGGAGUCUCAGGAUCAAUUGACGCAUCUAAGCUGGCUUCCCAUGUGGUUUGAGGCUUGCUCAUGGUUGAGAGCUAACUUGGAGAAGAGUGAGCUUAUUCCGAUGGGGAGGGUAAAAGAUAUAGAAUAUUUGGCUUUGGAAUUGGGCUAUAAAGUGGGUGGUCUGCCUUCCUGUUAUUUGGGUCUGCCUUUAGGGGCACCCUUCAAAUCAGAGGUGGUAUGGGAUAGUGUUGAAGAGAGGUUUCGAAAAAGGCUAACUAUAUGGAAGAGACAACAUAUAUCAAAAGGGGGAAGACUCACCCUAAUAUGAAGCACUCUCUAGUUUGCCAGUUUACUUCAUGUCUCUCUUCUUUUUGCCCAAAAAAGUAAGGCUAAGGUUGGAGAAGAUUCAGAGGGACUUCCUGUGGGGAAGAGGAGCUCUUGAACAAAGGUCACAUCUUGUUAGGUGGAACUUGGUUUGUCUGGAAAGAAAGAAAAGUGAUUUGGGUGUGAGAAAUUUAGCUUUGAUGAAUAAAGCUCUCUUGGGUAAGUGGAAUUGGCGCUUUGCCAUUGAAAGUGAGGCUUUGUGGAAGCAAGCGAUCGGUCACAAAUAUGAUGUAAAGGAGGGGGGAUGGUGUACUCGGGCCGUAAGUGGGAGGCAUGGUGUAGGGCUUUGGAAAGCUAUUAGAAAGGAGUGGUUGGGUAUGUAUAGAAGUUUAGUCUAUCGCGUGGGCAGUGGUAGGAAAGUGAGAUCCUGGAAGGAUAAGUAGUAUGGAGAUGAGCCUCUUUAGGAGUCCUUCCCUUCUUUAUUUGCCAUUUCCUUGGCUAAAGAUGUUUGGGUAUCAGAUGUGUGGAAACCAGAUGGUGUAGAGGAUGGUUGGACCCCUCUUUUCUCAAGGGCGCUUAAUGAUUGGGAGAUUGAGAUGGUGGAGCAGUUUAUGCUAAAAAUCCAAGCCUUUAGGGUGUAAAGGGAGGACGAGGAUACAGUGGUAUGGACAGCAUCUAAAAGUGGAGGACUAGUAUUUGGAGAGCGUAUGUGCCUCCUAAGGUAACUUUCUUCGCUUGGGAAAGCAUCCUGAGGCAAAAUCUUAACUUUGGAGCAACUCCAUUGAAAGGGGUACUCUUUGGCAAAUAGAUGUUUUCUUUGCCUUUCUGAAGCAGAAAGGGUGGAUCACCUUUUACUUCAUUGUGUUAAGACACGGGCAUUGUGGAAUCUUCUUUUUUCCCUCUUUGGUGUGACUUGGGUUCUCUCUGGUUUAGUUAAGGAAACUCUCCUUGGUUGGCAUGGAGCAUUUGUGGGAAAAACCCGUAAAAAGGCGUGGCAAAUGAAUCAUUUAUCUAUAUUUUGGUCAAUAUGGAAGGAAAGAAAUUUAUUGGCUUUUGGGAAUGAGGUGUUUUCACUCCAAAGGUUGAAACAUUCUUUUGUAUGUAAUUUUUGAUCUUGGGUUAGGGUGUUUAUAGUUUUGAGCCCUUGUUCUCUUGUUAGCUUUUUUGAGUGGCUAGGCUCUAAGUAAGGGUAGGGGUUGUCGUUUCUUUCCCCUUUCUUGGUUUAGAGUAUGUGGGUUGCUUUUGUAUACUCCCUGUAUACUUAGAGGGCACUAGUUUGGUGUUUCCUCUUUUUGUUUAAUAUAUUUCUUUUUACCUAUCAAAAAAAAAAAAAAAAAACUAUUUUUGAGAACUUUUUUCAAUAACCGUUUUUUAAGAUUUAUUUUCAAAAAAAAUUCCUAAACAAAGCCUUAACCUUCAAGGAUCUAAAACUUUGCACUAAGUUUGGUGUUUUAUUGUUGGAUUUUCUUAGUCUUGCAAGCUUUAUGAUGAUCUUGCAAUAUUUUCUUUAAUUUACUAUUCAUUUUACCUGAGCAUUAAGUUUGGCUAAGUAUUGAAGAAUAACCUUGGCAUACAUUCAACUUCUUUUAUGGACAAAGGAAUGGAGCUAGAUCAGACUUUCUUUAAAUUUAGUCAAUUCUGAUUUACGUGACUCAUAAUCAGAUUGUAAAACAUUCAAAUUUUUUAACAAGGUACCUUGCUCAUUUUCAAGGUAAGAGAUUUUUUUCAAGCAAGGAAGUCUUCUCUCAUACUUCUUUUAUUCUCAUCCAACUUUCACAAUUUUAAUCUUAAGGCUUCCUUGGCAAUCUCAAAAGACAACUUUUCUUCCAAAUAUGUUGUAUCAUGAGAUGAACCUUCAAAAUUUUCAGAUUCAAGAUCAGUUUCAAAUUUAACAUUUUUCUUUUCAUUGCAAAGUGAUAUAGAAGGUAACAAGUAUAUCAACAAUUUCGUCAGGCUCAUCAUGCUCAAAAGACACAAAUAUCAUCAAUGUCAUGUGACAAUAAAUCAUAAUUAUGUUUAUGCAUGUUUCUAGCAACUUAAUGCAAUGAAAUUUGUACAUUCUUCAUCAAAAUCAUACCAAAUUACUUCUAUGACUUUAUCCUUUUGACAUUCAAGAAAGUGACCUUUCUUGACACAAUAGAAACUUUGAAUCAACUAGAUCUUUUUUGUGCUUUUUAAUCUUUUUAUCACAUUUCUUUUCCCUUGUUUAAUCAAAUAGGUUAUCCUUUGUUUCUGGAAGCUUUUUGAACUUUUUGAAACUUUAUCAAGCCUAUAAAUUUCCAAUAUUGGUCCUUUUUUAUUCCUAUUCUGAUUUAGAAGCAUGUUUAUCUACUCCUAGUGCAAUAUUAAUGUUUCUUUUUCUUAGGAACACUUGGAGUCAUCUCCAAUUGAAGGAAGCCAACUAUCUCAUCUGGCUUUAUUGAAUCAACAGUGUUCCAUUCCUCUAUUGUUAUGACCUUAGGUCUAAAACGAUCAAAGGGGAUCUUAACAGUUUUUCGAGUAACCUUGGAAUCAGGUAGAGGCCUACAUAGAUUGAAAGUUAGCAUUCACAAUGUCCAUGAUUUCAAUAAUAUAUUAAGAAAAUAAUUUUGUUGUGAUCAUUUGAAAUUCAUUACUUCACCUAUCCCAACUUUACAUAGUUUUACCUACCCUAGUGGAUAUACAUCCAAUCUCUAUUUAGCACCUUAUCAGGAUAUCAACAAAAUUGAACAGAACUCCAAUCUCUAUUAGACUUCAUUUUCAAGAAGUAUAUCAGUUGCACCUUGGAGUGAGUAUAAUUAUCUCCUUUGAAGUAUGGAGGUCUACCUAUAGAGGUUCCUUCUCAGAGAAUUUCCAUCUUAAGAGAAUAUAGUUUAUCCAUAUUGAGAACAUGAGCAAACAUGUUUUGACACAAUUUAUGAGUUUUUAAGAGAGUAUGCAAUGAACUUGAGAUCUCUUUUAGAUUAUCAAAUAACAUAUGCACAUGAAUGUGAUUGCGUGAUUAGCACAAGGUCAUAGACUAAAAUGUCUCUAAUGAAAUCUCAGCAAACAAGCACACAAAUAUUGCACAAGAUAUAACAUGAAAAAUCUCUAAGUGGAGAAAGGAAAAUAAAUAAAUAAAUAACAGUGGGUGCCUUUGUUGUUGCAAAUCCACUAUGAAUAUAAAUCCAGUUUUGCCUACAAGUCCUCCAAGAUCAAUCACCAAUCCCCUUAAGGAAUCCUCAAAGUGAUUAUUUCUUCAAUCCACACCUCGUUUUGAUAUGCUUCAAUACGGCUCAUCAUGUACUCACCACCAAUCUCUCACCAUAGCCUCCUUCAACUCUCUUCAAUUACCACGAGUUUUCUUCUGCUCUACUAAUUACAUUACAACAGAAUCACCUUCAUUAUCUCAUUGAAGUGAUCUCCAAAAACUAGAAAACAAAAAUUCCAUUUGCAAAGCAACUUCUUCAUAUAGAUUCAGAGAACCAAAAUAAGAAGAUGUUUUCACUUGUAGCAACAUCUUCAUGUAGAUUCAGAGAACUCAAAUUGUAACUUCAAAUUCACUCUUAGAAUCUCAAUUAAGGUAAAGCUCACAUUUCAAAAUCUCCCACCAAGAGUUUCACUUACUCUUCCUUUUUGAAAUGAGAGUAGAACCAACUUAGUGCCAAGGGACAUAAGGCACACUCUUAUUGGCCUAUUGUCAUGCAAAUUUCUAGGUGGAGGAGAAUCCAACUAACUAAACAAAUGUUUUUUCGCUUCUGGCCAUUUGUUUCUAUGGUCUAGAAAAAUAUGUCCUAGAUGAUUCCCAUUGUUUCAACUCUUUCAUGAAAAAUGCUUCUCAAAUCACUCACUCCAGUCUUUCAUUCACAUUACCUGUGAACUCCAAUCUGCAGUAGUGAAAUCCUAUCAAAAGACUUGGAUUGAGUUCCUGGUUCUCGGUUGCCUAGCUCUAGCAAACCAGGACUUCUGUUAGCAACCUGGAACAAGUAGCUUAUCCUUUCAAUCCCAUUUUCAAGCUCAAUUCCCUCCACCAGUGAAAACAAAUGGUCUUAUAUAAUCAACUCCAUUCACUCCAGGGCUAUACAGGAAACACUUGUGAGCUGGCAGGCAGUAGCUCCUCCCGACUCACCAUAUUUCCAACCCCAUUUGCUCCAUCAAAUUCAUAAGAAGCUAACAAAAUAACUAGCAUUAUAUAUCAUACAAUAUCUAUGCUAGUUAAUUUACAUGGAAAAUGCAAUUUCUACCCUAAAUAUGCCAACAUACAGGAAUACAUACAAUUUAUACAAACAUUGCACGCUAACACAAGAAAAUCAUACCUGACUUGCUGAUUUGAGGCAAUUCACCAGAGAAUGCAUAGGUGGCAAUGAGAUCCCAAUUGAGCUGUGACAAUCUAACAGUCGCAGACUUGAAGGAAGCUCUGGAAUUUGUGAAAGCUUCUUGCAGUGACUCAAGUCAAGGGCUCUAAGGUUAGAGAGUUGACUGAUACCCACAAGUAUGUCACUGAGGGUUCCUCCUUCCUCUGGACUGCACCGACUUAGAUUUAAUACUUCCAGUGAGGAUAGAUGGAAAAUACAAUGGAACACUCCUCCAUUUAGAAUGCAAUUUCCUAGACUAAAUUCUUUCAAUGCGUUCAAGCAGUUAUCACUCUUUAUUACUCCUGGUGUUAGAUUGCAUUGAUCUAAAUAUAGUUCCCUUAAGAGAGAUAAACCUGACAGAGAAGGCAAUUGACAACUAAGCGAAUUUAAAUAAAGAACCUCUAGACAUGGCAUUCUCUCCAAGUCCUCCGGCAAUCUGUCAAGUUUUGAGCAGCCUUCAAGACUUAGAACAACAAGAAAUCUCAAAUUACAAAUGCUGUUCGGGAGACCCUCAAGGUUUUUACAAUUAUCCAAAUUCAAGUAGCGAAGGCCUUCUAGAAGUUCAAUCGAUGAUGGUAGCUCUUUUAUAGCUGUUUCAUCUAAACAAAGCUCCUCUAGUUUUGCAAUAUUGCUCUUGAUUUUUGGAAAACUAGCUAGUUUUGAACAGCCAGUGCAAUGAAGAGUUAAAAGGUGUUUCGACUCAUGAAUGUCCCCAGGAAGACUCUCAAGGCUUACACACCCUAUAAAAUUCAAGGAAAAAAAAAGUUAGUUUAAUAACACUCUUAUAUGUGUGUGAACCUUAAGUAAAAUUAUACAACCUGAAAGAAUUAGUUCCUCCAAAUUUGGCACGUUUGAGAAAUUUGGUAGCUCAAUGAGUUGUUGUGAAUCGCUGAGAUUGAUGCGCCUUAAAUUUCUAAGACACUGGAACAAAAUAGAAUUUCUAUUAAUAAAUCAAUUUUAAAAAACUUUAAAAUAUUAUAAAAUAAAAGCACAAAUAAAUAAUAAUCAUACCAUGUUUCCUUUCCAAAGUAGUUUUAUGUUACUAUUGCCCAAUAUGAGGGAAACAAGAUUGUUCGCAUGAAAGUUUGAUGGUAGAGAUUCUAAAGAAUAUCCAUUCCAUCUAAGGUAUGUCAAGUCAUACGGAAAUACAAAAUCUUUAGAGAGUUGUACGUGAUUGUGGGAGAUGGAAAGCAAUCUAAGUCUAUGCAUCCUUUCGAAAGCUUUGGAUGUAAACUGUAUUUGUUCUGAUUUGUCCACAUGAAGAUAUAUCCCUUCGAUUUUUUCAGUCCCCUAGAUAAUAAGAGUAUAAAAUUAGAAAAGCGCAAUAAAUAUAAAUCCUUACUAAGGUGAUAAAGAUAAAUAACGUCUUGAACAAAACAUAUUUUCUAUAUAUAUAUAUCUUACCGUAUUUCUUUUUAAUACUCGAUAAAUAUCUAUAUGUCUCCAUAAUCUGCUCCUCUCUCCUGGCUCAUUAGGACAUUCUUGAUCAACAAUGCCCUUGCCCAUUUGGGCUAACAAAUCAUGCAUAUCUAUUCUGUUGUCCUUUGAAAUGGUUAUGAAACACCUAUCAACGAGAGCAUUUAUUCCACUUUCCGCAUUGAAUUCGGAAGCAUCCAAUAUUCUUGAAACUCUUUUCACAUCAUCUCCUCUAAAGAAACAUGCAAUGUCGAGAAAUAUCAUCCUUUGUGUAUAAUCCAAUCCAUCGAAACUUAUUUUAAGCACUUUUACAAUUUCCAUGUUAGGCACCUUUUCCAGCUUCUGCAAUUCACUUUUCCAAUCUGGUAGUCUCUUUCCAAAUAAUAGAGAACCCAAAACUUUAAGUGCUAAUGGAAGACCAUCAGCAUAUUGUACUACUUGAUGAGAGAGAUCUCCAUAACCUUCCUUCGGAUGAUGUUGUUUAAAGGCAUAACGGCAAAAAAGUUGAAGAGCUUCGUGAAAAUAUAAUUUCUCAACUUCAUACAUAUCAUUUACUUCAUGCCUAGUUAGCAAAUCUUUUUUCCUAGUAGUAAUGAUGAUUCUGCUUCCUGGACCAAACCAAUCAUGCUUUCCAAUUAAGUGUUCUAAUUGUGUCAGCUCAUCUACAUCAUCCAGAAAAACAAGAACCUUUUUUGAGGAAAGCUUGUCCCUUAUUUCUUUGAUACCUUCAUGAACAUCCCUUAAAACUAUUUUCCUCGUUGUCCUUAGAGUAUCAUUAAGAAGUUGUUGUUGUAACUUAAGAAGACCAGAAUUUUCUGUGGAUUCUUUUCUGACAUCUGUGAGCAAGCUAACACUUUCGAAUUGAUUUGAGAUUCGGUUAUAAAGAGCAUUGAUGAUGGUGGUCUUGCCGAUACCACCAAGCCCAUAAACCCCGACCAUGCGAACAUCAUUCAACUCAAUCUUUAACAAUGAUAUUAGUCUUUCCAAACGAGAAUCCAUUCCAACAAUGUUCUCGUUAACAACUAAAGUCUUAGGGAAGCUUCUAAGGACGUUCUCAAUAAUUUCAUCAAUAAGCUCUGAUUCGUACCUGCCAAUUGCAUUAGGAUGAGUUGCAAAAAACAAUAAAUUAUAUGAAAUAAAUUUAAUGAUGCCUAGUUUUCCAACUUUAACUUAAUAGGGCUAAAACGAAUUGAAAUUAAAAUAAAAUAAACCACAUCUAACAAAUUACGUAUCAGUACAAUUUCAUUAUUCUAUACAAUUGCUCAUGUAUAUGAUAGAAAUAAGGGAAGAAAAUACAAAAUAUGAAUUGGAUUAUCAAAAGCGGAAAAAAAAAAAAAAACUAAAAUAUUUUUGUGUUAGCUUAUACUAUUCAAUCUUGUGGAAGGUUCAAAAUAAAGUUGAGUUGUCUAGAACAUUACUACCCUAUUUUGAUAAGGGAUUCCAUCAUAGGAUCAACUGCUAGUCUGCAUCCAAGCUUUUUAAUCUAAUGAUUUUACUACUGAUUAGACGGUCAACAUUACUAUCUUCUAUACUUGCAAGACUUUCUCUCACCAUUUAUUUAGAUAAAUGUCUCUUGCUGUUCCAUAUGUUGUAUUUUGCAUUUAUUUUUGUCUCUAGCUGUAUGAACAAAAAUUUUUGAAAACCGUUUAAUUAAAAAAUAACUUUCAUGAAUUAAUUAAAAAUAUUUUAUUUAUAAUUUUAAUUCUAUUGCAUGAAUGAAUUAAGAAAACAAAUUUACAUCAAUUUUAACCUAAAAUAAUUUAGUAUAUUCUUUAUGAAUCAAUAAAAUAGAAUUUUGUUUUUAAGAAAUUGUAAUAUUAUGGUAUCAAGUUUAAAAUUUUAAUGAACAGAUCUUUAUUUUAUAAAUAAUAAAAAUGAAUAAAAAAUUAUAAAAGUUUAAAACUCACUUAGCUUUAAAAAUUAUAAAAAUGAUAUAAAUAUUUUUUAUAUCAGCAGACAGAGAAAAGGAGAGUACUUCAAAUGACAAAUGAAGAGAAGUUACAAUUACCUGUUCGUCGCAUCAUAUCCGGCUAGAUUGCUUGCUUGCCUCAGGGCAGUCUUCCAUUUCCUUAUCUUUUCCUUUCUCUCCUCCUCUGCAUUCUUCUCAUGAUGGGUAAAUGCUUCUCCGUAAAUCUCAGUUUGGUUCCGCACUUCAGACGGAUCCACAUGAUAGAAAAUUGGGAUAACUACCAUUUGUUCCCUUUCCUCUUUGCAUUUCAUGAUCUUGACAAGCUCUUCCAGACACCAUUUGGAACGAGCAUAGGUUUCUGAGAAGACAACAAUGGCACUCCUUGAUUCCUCAAUAGCUUUUAAGAGCUCUGGUGCAAUCUCUUCACCCCUUCGAAGUUCUUCAUCAUCUCUAAAGGUUCUAAUACCGCUAUGAAUCAAAGCCUUGUAGAGAUGAUCAGUGAAGUUUCUGCGAGUAUCUUCACCUCUAAAACUCAAAAACACAUCGUAACUCCAUUGAGAAUGGGAAGUGGAAGAAGAAGAGGCCAUGGUUGAACAGAAAUUGAAAGAAAAAUAAGGGUCUUUGGGUAUUUAGUGGGUUGAUUCCCUUGGCCUUAUAGAAGUAUGGAUGUUGGUGGUGGGAUGUUGCCUUUUCUUUCUCAAUUGUUUUUAUUCUUAGCUGUAUCCCUCUUGCUGGUUCACAUGACUCAAGACCCUACCUCAAUUAUUUCCCUCCACUCUUUUCUUAUACAUUUUACUCUCACUUUUCUCUUGUUGACAGUCAACAAUGGCCGACAGUCUCGUCUCUGCAGUUUACAGCUGUUCUUUUCUUUUAUUUCCAAUUAAUUUCUAAAAUAUAAAAAAUGAUCAAAUCCAUGUGAUCUUUACUUAGGUCAUAAGAUCGUGUGAACGCACAUUAAAUUAAAGUUAUUCAAUUAAUUUUUGUCUUUUGCAUAAUGAGCAAUAUUAUAGUAGAAAAUAAAGGUUUAUUAUGUUGAUAUGUCAAGUAAAGCUAACAACUUUGGUAUUAUAAGCUUGAUUUUUGUAGAUAGAAAAAUAUGAGAAGUCAUAUGACAAAAGGCAAAGAAAAUUUUGAUCAUGAAAAGUAGAAAAAAGCACAAAACCUUCAUGAAAUUCUAAUUCUAAGGAAGAAAGACCAUGCUCAAAACUCGAAAUUUAAAUUCUCACAAUCUUUUCAUAUUUUGCAGAUAGGUUUAUUAUUAAUAGAAGCACAUAAAUAAAUAUUGUACUUAAAUCCCACUAAUUUAUAGGUCAUUAUGGUAUAUGUAGGUCAUCAUAGUAAUGAGUGGGAAGGUGGGUACCUUUAAAAAGAAUAAGCUAAACCAAUCACCCUAAAUUUCAAAAGCACCUUUAUCAUAAAAGUGUGGUAAUGAGAGUGGAUAUCUUUUAAAAGAAUAGACAACCCUGAAUUUCAAAAAAAUGUCUGUUUCUUGGCGAUUGUAUCCCAACAGUCUUAUCUUUUUUUACUUUAUAUCUUUUUAUUAUUAUUAUCGUGAGGAUGGUUAAAGAUGAUGCUAGAAGUUUUUCUAUGGUUUAAAAAGAAAAAAUGUGAGUGUUAAGUUGGCAUUUUUGUCUUUUUAGAAAAUACUUCAUUUUAAGAUCAUUAAUAGAAGAAAUAAAGAGUUCAUAAAAAAUAAAGAAAUUUUUAUUGACUGAUCUAGGUAACCAUUUCAUGGCUUUUAAUUGUAACUUUGUUGAAAAUCUUACUCCUUCCUCCUUGUCUUCCUCUUGUUAUUCAAAAGUUUCAACUCCUUUUUUUUUUAAAUAAUAAUAUUGAUUUUAUGUUUUAAUGAAAUAAGUUGCAAAUUUGAAGAAAACAUAUUCUAAUGUAUUUAUUGAUUAUGGUCCUCUUUUCAAAAGGGUUAUCGUUAUUUACAUUCUCGAACUAAUCAAGUUUACAUCUCUAAAUAUGUAAUCUUUGAUAAGUUUGAGUUUUCUUUUACUAACAAAACUUCUCCCGUAUCUUUCUUGUAGGAACAAAGUCAAAUGACCAUAUUUUGAGAUUCUUAUCAACAGUUACAACCAUUCAAUCCAAACACCAACUCAACCCACAACUUCACUUCCACCAAACAACCUUUCAAACUAUCGUAAUAAUGUAGAUCUUCUAUUUUAUUUUUUUUAACACAUCUCAUCUAAAAUUGUCUUCUUACAUCCUUUAACACCUUAUUAUGCACUUAUGGUUAUUUUUCUAAGCUAUUUUUCUAAAAUUGUCUUCUAUUCAUUGUGAUUAUGUUGAUUACUAAUUAUUUUAUUUUAUUUUAUGCAAGAGACAUUCUGAAGGGAUUAGAUGCAUUCCAAUAUUGAUUUUAAUGAUUUUUAAAUCUUAAUUUAGGACUUUAUUUUUUAUUGAUUUAUAACAUAUUUAAGUUUGUUUAAAAUUUUCAAACUUUAAUUUUUAUAAAAUAGAUUCAAGUUUUGAAUUAAUUAAUAAUUGAUUUCAUUCUCUUUAAAGUGUAGAAUAUGAUAAAAGGCGUGUAACAAAUUCAAACAAAUCAUUAUACAAGUGAGAAUUUAGGUCAUCCAAUCAUUUUAUUAAAAAUCACUCUAUAAAUUAUAAAAAUAAAGAUAUUAAUCACAUCUAUUAAUAUGUUUUUUUUUAAAUUGACAAAUCAUAAUGAAAUUAUAAUCUUUUUAAUAUUUUAUUAAUUAUAAAUUAAAACGUCAUUAUAAUUAUUCAAUCCCCACGGAAUAUAAAAUGAGUUAUUUUUAAUAAUAAUAACUAAUCAUAUUUGAAUAACAUUUCAUCAAUUAUAUAUAAAAAUAAAGUUUUAUGUUUAUCAUAACCUAUGUUUUAAAUUAAACAAAAUAAUAAAAGUUACAUUUCCAUUUAAAUGUAUUUACAUAUCUACCUCCAUAGCCCAUGGUAUUAAAAUAAUCUAAUAAAACACAGUAUCCCAUAACCGGUCAACAGCACAGCUGCUCCUAGCCUUAGCCCCUUGCAGCUGCAAUCAGCUGUUCCACUCUCUGUUACAGUCCAGCUUUGGCCGCCCAAGACAUACAUCUUUUCACCCAUCACCCAUUUACCCCUGCCACAGCUAUUUUUUACCUUUGAGCUGCCCAAAGUCACACCAAACUAGCUGAUAAACCAUACCUUACAACCUGCAAACCAUCUCCUCAGCCAUCCCUAAUAGCCCACUGCCAGCCCUUUGUAAGAGUCACACCAAAGCCAAAUUUUUUUUAUUAUUAUUUUUAAUCAACUCCAGCACAGCCUCGUCAGACCGCCGAGCCUCCUGAUCUCAUCUCCAAACACGUUCUGCAGCUGAAUCCUUUGCCUUUAUGAAGUUUGGAUGCUGGUGGUGGGAUGUGCUUUUCCUUUCUCAAUUAUUUCUGCUUAGCUGUAUCCCUCUAGCUUUGAACUUUCACUUUUGUCCCUUUUGGCAGUCAACAAUGGCCGACAGUCUUGCCUCUGCGAUUUACAGCUGAUCUUUUCUUUUAGGGAGAGUUGGGAUUACUGGCUGUUAUACGAGAAAUACAUGGUUUUCAAAACCAUAUAACUGAAAUAUGAUUUACCUGAGAAAAAUUGUGAGAGUUGAGUUGUCAUUUUCGCCAUUUUAUAAAAGACUUAAUUUUAAGACCGUUAGUACGUAGAAAUAGGGGUCUCUAAAAAGCCCGCGGCCCGCUUUAGGCCCGGCCCGGCCCGGCCCGACGGGCUAAAGCCCGGCCCAAGCCCGCCGGGCCCAAGCCCGGCCCGAGCCCAUUUAUGGGCGGGCCGGGCCGCGGGCCUAAAUUUAGGCCCGGCCGUUGGAGACCCUUGCGUAGAAAUAACAAGUUCACAAGAACGAAAGAGACCUUUGUUGACUGACCUAGGUAACCCCUUUCAUGGCUUUUUCACUUGUUUGUUUUUGGAUUUUCUUUAAUGAGGCUAGGUGAUUGUUGUUUAUUUUGACUUAUAUUUUAGAUGGAUUUCAUUUUUAAUAAGAGUUUUUCAUGGUAAAAAUUGAUGUGAUACAAAUUUUUAUUGAUAUUAAUAUCAUUUUAUCAUAAAUUAUUUAGAGUAUAGAUAUAAAUAAAAUAUCAAUACCAUAGGAAAUGUUAAAAUAAAGUUAGGUGCAUAUGCAAAAAAUAAAAUUUGAAAAAUAGAAUAGUCCAGUCCAACCAUAUCCACACAUCCAUCUUCCUAUAAAUUAAACUAAUGAUAGAUACAUAAGUCAAAAAUAAGAUUUGAAAAAGAGUAUAAUCCAAUUCAACUACCCACCUUCCAAUAAAUUAAACUCAAAAUGGGCACAUAUUCCAAAAAUAAAUUUUGAAAAAUAAAAUAGUCCAAACCAACUUUAUCAACAUGUCCAUCUUCCAAUAAAUUAAAUUGGAAAUGAGUCGGCAUGUGAUAAAAUAAAUGUCAAUUUCCAUUUUACUUAUAUUAAAUUCACUUAUAUAUUUAUAUCGAAAAUUAUCCUUUGAAUCUUUCUAGAAACAUUAGAUUUUAAGGAAAUCAUGCAAGUAUACUUUUCUUAUUAUCAAUUUAAAAUAUAAAAUCCUUCCAUAGUUAUUUAUUAAAGUUCUACAAAGAAAAUUAAGAAAAUAAGGAUUUGGUAGGUAAUUAUGUUUAAAAAUAAUUUUCUAUUUUUUAUAGUAGAAAACCAGGUUCUAACUUUUUUUUUUUUAAAAAAAAAAAACACAUUAGACAAAUUUCGACCAAGAAGAAUUUCUUCAAAAUUUGCUCUAGAUACAUGUUAUUUUAAAAACAUGAUUUUGACAUAUUUUCAAAUAUUGUUUGUAUAGUUUUUGAGCAAAAAAUGAAAAGAUGGAGAAUACUCCAAAAACUUUGCAAAUGAAAAUACUAUGUUUUAUAUUUAUGUUUUCAAAUACAAUUUUGCAAAUGAAAUAUUUGAGAAUGUUCUUAAAAAUUAUUUUUUAAGAAGUGCUUUUGAAAACUUGGCUAAACAUGACCUAAAUAUCCUAAACAUGAAAGAUACAAGAAUGCAAGAAAAACAUUUUCAAUAAUUUUAUUUUAUUUAUUAUAUUAAAGAGUAACAUUAAUGUUUCAUUAUGAAGUUAAAAUGUUUCAUUCAAUCAAAAUUUAUUCUGCUAGUUUUCAAGGAAAGCAUUAUUUAUCAAGAUGCUUGCCUUAGUUGUUUUGUAUUUUAUAUUUUUCUUUGAUUGGGAUUGGUGAGAAUUGUCCUAAAUAUAGAUUUUAUUUUGAAUAAUUUCUAAAUUAGACUUGUAAAAAAUAAGAAAAAGUAUCUAGUAAUUCAUUGUUACACAUGAAUGUUGCAACUUGGUAAAAUUUAUGAUAUUUAUCACUAGGAAAUUUUGCUUAUAGAUAUAAAUAAAAUGGUAACAUCUAUCACAAGGAAAGGUUGGGAAGGAAGCAAACAUAUUAAUAGGUGAAACAAGAAAAAGAAAAAUAAUAAUAAUAAAUGAUAAAAAAAGGUAAGGGAAUUCAGAGUCAUGAGUUGGUACUCUAUAUUAUUUAAAGUGAUUAUAAUUUAGGGUACAAAUUUCUUUAGAAAUAAAUAACGUAAAUAGAUUCUAAAAAAGAUUAUGUAAAAUUAUCAUUUCUUAAAAAAGAGAAGAAGGUAUUUUCUUUAUUUUUAAACAUUUAUUAAUUUUUAAUACUAAUACAAUAUUAAAUCUAAUGAGAAGACCUCCUUUAAUCUUCUCACUUUAUUCAUUGAAGUCUUUUUAAAUAAUUUGAGAAAGUAAUUUUAAAUCCAAUUACAUGGUGAAGAUCAAGGUAAUAGUUAGAAUAAAACUACAAAUAACAUGGUCAAGAUCAAGGUGGGUGUGUGUGUGACAAUCUUAUAUACUUUUUUGGAAGUAUGAAAAGAGUAAUGAAAUCAUGUACCUAAUAAAAAGUAAAGAAAACUUUAAUUCUACUGGAGGAAGCAAACACUAAACUUCCUUAAGAAAAUGGUAAUGUUGAAUUAAAUAACUUGCAUUGACGAACAUUAUGGUCCUUAUUCUAAAUUAUUUCAUUUCUUUUAUUGUGUCUCCAUUCAUUUAACAUGAUUUUUGAAAGUAUAAAAAGAGUAAUAUAAGUUACGUACCUAACAAAAUUAAAAAAAAGUACUUUAAUUUAAAUAGGGAAUGAGACAUGAAACUUCCUUGAAAAAAUGGCAAUGUUGAAAAGUUAAUAAAGUAGUUUAAAUUUUCAACUUGUUACAUUAGAUAACUUGCAUUAAAGGACAAUAUGUAUCUUAGAAAUAGAAAGUUUUGAAGUGAAACAUCUAAACAUGUAGGAACAUUAAACAAUGCCUUGGUCAAAAAAGGAAAACGCAUAGGAACAUAUAUCAAAUAAUAUCUUGGUCAAAAAGAAUAAUGCUUUAGUAAAAAAUGGAAAAUGCAUAGGAACAUUAAAUAAGACAAUAUCACAUAGGGUUUAGGUAAGACAAUUCUCUAAUCCCUUAUCCUUGUUGGCUCAUACACUUGUUGAACCUCUUUGAUACGAAAAUAAUCCAAAUGACUCAUAAAAUAUAGUGUUUAUAUGGAUGCUAUUAAGAUAUAAAUUAGGCUACAAUGAAAGUUAAUUAUAACUUUAAUGUUGGAGGGAAUAAGCAAUUUUUUGUGAGAAAGGGCAACACCUAGAAAGUCAAUAAGAUUAAUUAUCUUAAUAAUGGAAAAAAAGUUCAUUCUUAUGAAUCCUCAAAGUGAAUCAAAGAGACAAACUUCAAUUUUGAAGUGAACAUAAUUAUUAUUUUUUUGUUUCUUUGUUAAAUAAUUAGUAAUACUUAAUUUAUCGAUCGUGUAAGAAUCAAAGAAGAAUAGCUACUAUUCAUGCAAUGGGUCUCAUCUUAUUGUAACAAAACUUAUGAUUAUUUUUCUUCCAUGUAUUGGAAGUUACUAUAAAUUCAUUUCCCACUUGUUAUGUGACUUAGGUAUCAAAUAGAGCCCACUAGAUAAAAUUUCUCUCAAGGUAUUUCCACAUCAAAUUUCUUUAUUUUAAACAUGUUUAUGGAUGUAAGUUUGCAUUGAAUAAAUUUCAAGUAUUAAUGUAGACUAACAAUAUUUAAAUAAAAAUGAUAAUAUAUUUAAAUUUUUAAUAAAAAUUGAGUUGAAUUUUUCAACCAACAUUUGAUUUCCUUCCACUCACCUAAUGUUGGCAUUAAAAUGCAUUAAUAUAUAUAUAUAUAUAUAUAUAUAUAUAUAUAUAUAUAGAUAUAUAAAUAUAUAAUCAUUGUCUUGGGAACUUUUUCUUCGGUGCUUAUCCUCAAACCUUCUUAAAAAAAAUAAGAUUGAUUCUUGUUGUGCUCACCUAAUGCUUGCAUUAAAAUACUAUAAACUUUUUUUUUGUGAGCUUAUCCUUACACCUUAGAAAACAAGAUUGAUUCUCGUUGAUAAGAAGAUAAGAACAAAAACUUCUAAUAAAUUAUAUUUGGUAUAUUGGUAAUUUAAUGGGAAAAGACCUUAAAUUUUGUAAAUGUAAAAGGAUAAUAUAGUUGGACGACACAUUUAUACAAAUAUAUGAUUGGAUUUUAAUUUUGUAACUUAAUUAAUUAAGAAAAUAAAACCUUUGGGCUAUUUAAAUAUAAUUGGAUUUUAAUUUUUAGUUUGGGUUAAAGUUACAAAAGAAAAAAAAAUGACCCAAAUAAAUUAAUUGGGCAUUUAUAUUUAAACAAUUAGUCUUUAGAAUUAAUAUUUAAUUGGAUUGAAAAAAAAAAAAAAAAAGAUAAUAAAGGGAGUAGAAUGGUCUUUUCCCAUUAGAAACCUAGGUAUAAAUAUUCACCACCCUUCUUUACAAAAGUCUUUUGCAUAGAGAGAAAAUGUGGGGUUUGAAAUCAAUCUUUUAAAGCAAACAUAUAUAGAUUCAAUAUUUAGUUUCAUUUUUAAUGGUCAUAAAAAAAUAAAUAAUCUAGAAUCAUAUCAUGAUAAUUAUUAAAUAUGAUUAAUUUUUAUGAGAAAAUUAAAAAACACAUAAUUCUAAUUAAUUAUAUAGUCAAAUACCAUUAACCAUUCUUAGUUAAAAAUUUAAAGUCUUUUUCCAUUUGCAUUGGACAUUACUAUUAAUAGAUGCAUAUCCAUGAAUAUUGUACUUAGUAAUAUUUCUUUUAGAAUUAAAUCCCAUUAAGAUUAUAUUGCAUUGUGAUGUAUAUGAGUUGCACCUUCAAUUAUUUUUAUUUAACUUUGGUUCUCAGAAAAUAUUAAGGAAAAAAAAGAUAUUAAGGAAAAUAAUUCUUCAUGUUUGAUUGUCUUAUGAAAAAUUUCAAAAAAAAUAAAAUAAAAUAUAAUUAAAAUUAGUUUAGAACUUAUGUAUUUUCAAAUUAUUUAAUCUUUAUGUUGAUGAGUUAAAAUAAAUAAAAUGAGUUUGAAAUAACAAAUAAAAAUAAUUUAUCGACUUUAACCUUAUUUUUUAUUUUCCUUCAAUUUUUCAUUUCUUUUUUUUUUUUUCACUUUGUUUUCUUUCCUUUGUAUUUUCCCUCAGAUUUUUUUGGAAACCAAACAUAACCUUAAUGAUUAUGAGAUCAUAUUAGUUAAAAAGUGAAGUUUCUACCACUACAUAUAAUAAAUGCAUAUACAUGUAUAUUUUGAUCUUAGCCUAGACAAUAUUUAUAUAAAAAUGAAUAGAUCAUUAUAAAUGACAUUAAAAUUGAUUUCCUAUUGAGAAAUUACAAGUGUUCUAUACUUUUUAUAUAUAUAAAAAUUUCUUAAUCAAUAUUAUCAAAUAACUUUUUACAUUUUUCUAUUGAAAUAUAUAUUUUUUUGCAAAAAAAUUCCUAUUAUUAUAAUAAAUUUUUUUUUUUCAUAUUUUUCAAUUAAGAUAUACUCUUCAUAAGGACAUUCCUAUUAUUAUAAAAGAUAAAUUAUUUUUUAUAUGAAUAUUUUAUUUAAUCAAGAUAAACAUGGAAAGAAAUUGUUCUCACAUGUCUUAUAUUGAGAAAAAUUAUAUAUAAAUUGGAAAUAAUUUUAAAAUUAAUAAAAUCUAAAAGUUGUUUCACUAUUUUCUAAAAUUAAUUUCAAUUUUUUUUUUACUUUUUAAUUAGUGUAUGUUUAUGUAUGUAUGCAUGCAUGUAUAUAUGCAUACAUAUUAAAAAAUGUUGAUCAUUUAAGUGGCUCUAAACUAAUUAUUUAUUUGCAUGAAAAAAUUUAUUUAAAAUGAGUUGUUCAUCUUUUAUGAGAUAUAACAAAAGCCAUUUGCACUAGGUCAUAAUGGUAAUGAGUGGGAAGGUGGGUGCCUGCCUUUAAAAAGAAUAGAAGUGAACAACCACCCUAAAAUUCGAAAGUAUAACAUACAAAAGUACCUUGCAUUGAUGUACGCAUACACAUGAAACUUCCUUGAGAAAAUAGUAUUGUUGAAAUGUCAACAAAGUAGUCAUACACAUGAAACUUCCUUGAGAAAAUAGUAUUGUUGAAAUGUCAACAAAGUAGUUUAAAUCCUCAACAGGUUGUUACGUUAGUGUGUGUGUGUGUGUGUGUGUGUGAGAUAAAAGAUUUCAAAAGGAACAAUCCCUUGGUCAAAAAACAGAAAACAUAUAGAAACAUAUAUUGAGAAUAAUAUCUUAUUAAAAAAGAAUAAUGUCUUGGUGGGAAUGGGAAACGAGUAAGAACAUUGAAUAUGACAAUACCACAUAUGGUUAAGUAAGGCUAUUCUCUAAUCUUUUAUCCUUGUUGAACCUCUUUCAUUGAAAAAUAAUCCAAAUGACUCAUAAAAUAUAGUGUUUAUAUGGAUGGUAUUAAGAUAUAAAUUAGGCUACAAUGAAAGUUAAUUAUAACUUUAAUGUUGGAAGAAAUGAACAACUUCUUAUGAUAUAUAUAUAUAUAUAUAUAUAUAUAUAUAUAUAUAUAUAUAUAUAUAUAUAUAUGUGUGUGUGUGUGUGUGUGUGUGUGAGAUAAAAGAUUUCAAAAGGAACAAUCCCUUGGUCAAAAAACAGAAAACAUAUAGAAACAUAUAUUGAGAAUAAUAUCUUAUUAAAAAAGAAUAAUGUCUUGGUGGGAAUGGGAAACGAGUAAGAACAUUGAAUAUGACCAUACCACAUAUGGUUAAGUAAGGCUAUUCUCUAAUCUUUUAUCCUUGUUGAACCUCUUUCNNNNNNNNNNNNNNNNNNNNNNNNNNNNNNNNNNNNNNNNNNNNNNNNNNNNNNNNNNNNNNNNNNNNNNNNNNNNNNNNNNNNNNNNNNNNNNNNNNNNGAAAUAGAAAGUUUUGAAGUGAGACAUCUAAACAUGUAGGAACAUUACACAAUGCCUUGGUCAAAAAAGGAAAACGCAUAGGAACAUAUAUCAAAUAAUAUCUUGGUCAAAAAGAAUAAUGCUUUAGUAAAAAAUGGAAAAUGCAUAGGCACAUUAAAUAAGACAAUAUCACAUAGGGUUUAGGUAAGACAAUUCUCUAAUCCCUUAUCCUUGUUGGCUCAUACACUUGUUGAACCUCUUUCAUUGAAAAAUAAUCCAAAUGACUCAUAAAAUAUAGUGUUUAUAUGGAUGGUAUUAAGAUAUAAAUUAGGCUACAAUGAAAGUUAAUUAUAACUUUAAUGUUGGAAGAAAUGAACAACUUCUUAUGAUAUAUAUAUAUAUAUAUAUAUAUAUAUAUAUAUAUAUAUAUAUAUAUAUAUAUAUGUGUGUGUGUGUGUGUGUGUGUGUGAGAUAAAAGAUUUCAAAAGGAACAAUCCCUUGGUCAAAAAACAGAAAACAUAUAGAAACAUAUAUUGAGAAUAAUAUCUUAUUAAAAAAGAAUAAUGUCUUGGUGGGAAUGGGAAACGAGUAAGAACAUUGAAUAUGACAAUACCACAUAUGGUUAAGUAAGGCUAUUCUCUAAUCUUUUAUCCUUGUUGAACCUCUUUCAUUGAAAAAUAAUCCAAAUGACUCAUAAAAUAUAGUGUUUAUAUGGAUGGUAUUAAGAUAUAAAUUAGGCUACAAUGAAAGUUAAUUAUAACUUUAAUGUUGGAAGAAAUGAACAACUUCUUAUGAGAAAGGGCAACACCUAGAAAGUCAAUAAGAUUAAUUAUCUUAAUAAUAGAAAGAAAGUUCAUUCUUAUGAAAUUGAAUCAAAGAGAUAAAUUUCAAUUUUGAAGUAAACAUAAUUAUUUUUCUAUUUUUGUUAAAGAAUUAACAAAAUUUAUCAUGUAAGAAUCAAAGAAGAAUAGCUACUAUUCAUGCAACUGGUCUGAUCUUGUUGUAACAAAACUUAUGAUUAUUUUUCUUCUAUGUAUUGGAAGUUACCAUAAAUUAAUUUCCAACUGGUCAUGUGACUAUUGCAUCAAAUAGAGCCCACUAGAUAAAAUUUUUGUUGACGUAUUUCCACAUCAAAUUUCUUUAAUUUAAACAUGUUUAUGGAUGUAAGUUUGCAUUGAAUAAAUUUCAACCAUAGAUAUGCACUAACAAUAUUUAAAUAAAGAUGAUAAUGUAUUUAAAUUUUUAAUAAAAACUAAGUUGAAUUUUUCAACGAACAUUUGAUUUCCUUCUGCUCACCUAGUGUUAGCAUUAAAAUACAAAAAAAGCUCACCUAAUACUUGCAUUAAAAUACUAGAAACUUAUUCUUGUGAGCUUAUCCUUGCACCUUCUUAGAAAAAAAACAAGAUUGAUUCUUAUUGGUCAGAAGAUAAGAACAAAAACUUCUAAUAAAUUAUAUUUGAUAUAAACUCGUCAAUCAUCACAUAAAAAACAAUUUCUCCAGAGGGCGAUGACCCCAUCAACCCCCAUAAGCUAACCAAGCAGCUCGACCUUAACAUCCUAAGCAAAGCGCAACAAUACUGAUUCAAGCUUCACAAUCCAACACCAAUAAAGACAAGAACAAUUGACACUCAAAAAAAUUAUUUCUUUUAACUUUUUCCCUUUAAGUUGAAUUUGAUUUUAAAAUAGUGUUAUCUCAUUAAUUAUUUUACAAAAUAUAUAUAUGUUAUAUCUUAAAAUUGGUUAGUAAAUUAUAUUACAAUUAUCAAAGAUAUUGCCAUAUAUAAAAUACAACUUAAUAAAUCUUAAGCAUAACACAAAGCACAACAACAAGAUAUAUUAAUUUAAGUUACUAAGAGCUUAUUUAGUUGUGUGAUUUAAAAAUGGUUUUCUAUUUUAAAAAAUAAAAAAUUAUUUUAAAAAAUUUAUAACACUAUUUUAAUGUUGUUCUUUGGAAACAAUGUUUAAAGACAAAGUAACAUUGAGAACAAUUUUUAAAGAACAAGUAGGAGUUGUUUUUAUUAGUUUUUAAAAAACAAAAAAUAUAUAAACUCAUUUUACUAUGUUUUUUGAAACUUGUUUUUAAAUUAAAGAAUAAAAAAUAAUUUUUCAAAAUAAGUUUCAAAAAAUAUGACCAAACAAACCCUAAAUGGUCGGGGUUUAAUAUUAAAGAGAAAAAAAGUUAAUUUAAGAGUUUGCAUGCAGGUAGACAUCAGGCUGUAAAACUGGUUUACUAAGACACUCAUUUUAUUUAUAUAUUCUUCUAUGUGCAUGCAUUGACCAUGUGGUUAGGAUGUGUUGCACCAAAAUCUAAUUAUUAACUUGCAGUUCGAAAUCACAAACCAGCUGUAUGUAUUAGAAACAGACCAUAUUGGGUCAUGCACAUUCUCCGUCAUUUUCUAUUUCCUAGCAACAUAUAUGACCAAAUGAAAUUGUUAUAUCCUAAUUAUAUUUUUUAAUUAGGCGAUAAAUGAAUGGAUUCCUUUUAAAAAUAAUAAUUGAGAUAUUAGGGAUGAUUAAAAUAUUAUUAGAAGAAAACAACCACUAUCUUCCAGAUUAAUCACAGCUUAAUAAAUGUAAAUAAAUUAAUCUGACACUACAUUUUUCUUUAUUUGUUUUGGUUUCUUUACAAGAAUGUUUCUUUAUGUAUUCUUGUUGAAUCUAUAAAAUAUCAUCUAUAAACAUUCUUUUUGAAUGAUUAAGAAUCCGAUAUUUAAAUGAUUGUGUGGACCUUGCAUUUUUGCUCAAUGCGUUCCCACUCAAUGUUGAACUCUCUUUUUAUUUAUUUAAUGAAAAAUAUGAUUUUUUUUUUUAGAAAAGACUUGGAGUCGCCACUUAUUUUUGUUUUAUUUUUAAAAAUGGUAAACAAAAUAAGAAAGAAAACCCUAAGUGUGACUCCUUAUUUUGGAAAAAGUGGUAUGUGAAAAAUCAGAUCGGGCUCGGGGAUUAGGUUACUUAUCGGGAAGGUACAGUAAGGACCAUGACACCCCUCUAAGUCCCUAAAGUCGGGUCUCUAUUGAUAAAAGGAAGCUGACAUGGCAAUCAAUAAGGAAAUCAAUGGGUACUCAAAUCGAUCAUGCACAUAUGGAAAUUGGAAUUUUAGAAAUUGGAAAUUAAAUUCGAAAAUGGGAAAAUUGGAAUCUCAAAAAUUGGGAAUUGAAUUUGGAAAUCAGAAUUUUGAAGAAUUAUUUAAAGAUGAAAAUUUUAAAAGUAAGUAAAUAAAUAAAUAAAUAAAAUAAUAAUGAUUGGAUAAAUAAAUGCGAAAAUUGGAAUUUUGGAAAUCGGAAAUUAUAUUUGGAAUUUGGAAAAUCAGAGUUUUGGAAAUUGAGAAUUAAAUUUGGAAAUUGGAAUUUUGAAGAAUUAUUUAAAGAUAGAUUUUUUUAAAUAAAUAAAUAAAUAGAAUAAUAAUAAUAAUCGAAAUAAUAAUAAAAUAAAUGAACAUGAACAUUAAAAUUUUUUGAAAUAGAAAAUUAAAUUUGGAUGUCGGAAAUUUGAAAAAUUGUUUAAAAAAACGGAAUUUAGAAAAUAAAUAAAUUAAUUAAAAAAAAAGUAUUGUAGUGAAGGUCAUCAAACUCAAAGUCUUAUUCAUGACCCAAUUUCCCAUAUUUGAUUAAGAAUCCAUGCAACAUUACUAUGGGCCACCUGAGCCAAAAUGUCUACACGUUCCACUCUUACACCAUCCCAUUGCAGCUCUCACCACAACAGCCACAACAGUGGAAGUAAAAAUAAAAAAUAAAAAAUAAAAAAAUCACGCCACAUGAGUUGACCAUGAUGUCACCUCUUCCAACACAAGCAAUACACUUCCAAUUGGAACUCUGAAAGCAAUAGUCACUUCAGCACGACAGCGAGGUAGACUAGGGCAGUAGGUGUUGAAUGAGUGAUGAAUCCGAAAAGAAUGGGUUUGUAACAUAAAUGAUUAAUCUUACAACAUCACACAAGAGAUAUGAAUCCAUAUUUACGCACAUAUCCAAACAAAACCAUAUGAACAAUAGAUGAGACCAUGCCACAACAAACCAUUAUAAGAGUAAGAAAAGGAAAAAAGAGAGAGAAAAAAAAAGACAAACUUCAGCAUAAAAAAAAACAAAUCUAGAAGGUAGUGAAGUGAUGUAUGGAGAGUCACCGUGAUCAUACCGAAACAAACUCACAAACAACGCAAAAUAAUCACAUAAAAAAACAAAAGGGUAAUAGGAUGACCAAUAAUAAUCCAUGAACCUUAUCAGUCUUACCAGGUAAAGCUUUCUAUCCACUGGAGUUUUCUAGACUUUCUUUCCAACUUCCCUCCUCCUCUUUCCUGCUUCAGCCUAUCCCCGAAAAGCUUGCUCUGCCCAUUUUUCUACAACCAACCCAACAGCUAGCUUAGCCCCCAAAAAGAUGAAGACGCUCCCCCCUAUUUAUUCUCUCCCGUUCAGCUCAUUUCCCGCCCAGUUUUUCUCUCCAGAUUUUUUUUCCCCUAGUCCUCACAUGCUCCCUACUCCUUGCUCAACCAAUCUGUCACCAUCUCAACCACCACCAUGGCGAGGUAGUGGUGUCGUCCUCCAUGCGUCUCAUGCAUGCUAAUAUUUGAAAAAGUCGAUCCCCCUUCCUCCUACAACAAGCUGCUAGCUAUCCGGGUGGCUAGCAUGAAGGGUCUACAAAUAUGCCCCUCUUCAGUAGAGUUCACGAACGUAAAGAAAUAUGAACACUAGAGUGAAAAGAAAGUGUGAAUAGUGAGCGAAAUGAAGUGAACUUUACCGAAAAUGGGCAUAUUUGUAGACCCCUCAUGCUAGCCACCCGAAUAGUUGGUAGCUUGUUGUAGGGGGAGGGGAGACCGACUUCUUCAAAUAUUAGCAUGCAUGAGACGCAUGGAGGAGGGCACCACUACCUCGCCAUGGUGGUGGUUGAGAUAGUAACAGAUUGGCUGAGCAAGAAGCAAGUGAAGACUAGGGGGAAAAAAAAGAUCUGGAGAGAAAAAAUAGGUGGAAAAUGAGCUGAACGAGAGGGAAUAAACAGGGGAGAGCAUCUUCAUCUUUUUGGAGGGUGACCUAGCUAUCGGGUUGGUUGUAGAAAAACAGGCAGAGCAAGCUUUUCGGGAAUACGUCGAAGUAGGAAAGAGAAUGAAGAAAGUUGGAAAGAAAGUCCAAAAAACUCCAAUGGAAGGAGAGCUUUACCUGAUAAGACUGAUCAGGUUCAUAGAUUAUUACUGGUCAUCCUACUACCCUUUUGUUUUUUUACGUUAUUAUUUUGCAUUGUUUGUGAAUUUGUUUCGGUAUGAUCAUAGUGACUCUCCAUACAUCAUUUCCCUACCUUCUAGAUUUGUUUUUUUUUUGUGCUAAAGUUCGUCUUUUUUUUUUCUCUCUCUUUUUCUUUUUCUUACUCUUACAAUGGUUUGUUGUGGCAUGGUCUCAUCUAUUGUUCAUAUGGUUCUGUUUGGAUGUGUGUGUAAAUCUGGAUUCAUAUAUCUUGUGUGAUGUUGUAAGAUUAAUUGUUUAUGUUACAAAUCCAUUCUUUUUGAAUUCAUCACUCAUUUCACACCCGUUGCCUUGGUCUACCUUGCUGUCGUGUUGGAGUGGUUGUUGCUUUUAGAGCUCCAAUUGGAAGUGUAUUGCUUGCAUUGGAAGAGGUGACAUCAUGGUCAACUCAUGUGGCGUGUUUUAUUUUAUUUUAUUUUUACUUCCGUUGUUGUGGUUGUUGUGGUGAGAGCUGCAAUGGGAUGGUGUAAGAGUGGAAGGUGUAGACAUUUUGGCUCAGGUGGCCCAUAGUAAUGUUGCAUGGAUUCUUAAUCAAAUAUGGGAAAUUGGGCCAUGAAUAAGACUUUGAGUUUGAUGACCUCCACUCAUUCCACCACCAAACCUUUUUUUUUUAAUUAAUUUAUUUAUUUUUUAAAUUUCAUUUUUUUAAACAAUAUUUCAAAAUUCCGACAUCCAAAUAUAAUUUCCGAUUUAAAAAAAUUUCAAUGUUCACGUUCAUUUAUUUAAUUAUUAUUUCUGUUAUUAUUAUUAUUCUAUUUAUUUAUUUAUUUAUUUUUAAAAAAUUCAAUCCUUAAACAAUUAUUCAAAAUUCCGAUUUCCAAAUUUAAUUCUCAAUUUCCAAAACUCCGAUUUUCCAAAUUCCGAAUUUAAUUUCCGAUUUCCAAAAUUCCAAUUUUCGCAUUUAUUUAUCCAAUCAUUAUUAUUUUAGUUAUUAUUAUUAUUAUUAUUAUUUUAUUUAUUUACUUACUUACUUUUAAAAAUUCCAUCUUUAAAUAAUUCUUCAAAAUUCUGAUUUCCAAAUUCAAUUCCCAAUUUUCGAGAUUCCAAUUUUCCCAUUUCCGAAUUUAAUUUACAAUUUCUAAAAUUCCAAUUUUCGCAUUUAUUUAUUCAAUCAUUAUUAUUUUUCGUUAUUAUUAUUAGUUUAUUAUUUACUUAUUUAUUUUUAAAAUUCAAUCUUUAAAUAAUUCUUCCGAAAUUCCAAUUCUUAAAUUUAAUUCCCAAGACUCCAAUUUCCAAAUAAUUUUCGAGACUCUAAUUUUCAAAUAAAUUUCAAAAAUCUAGUUUUCACUCGAACAAUUUUAAUUCCAUUCCGGUUCUCAAAUAAUCUGUUGUUUUUCUUGAUUUUACAUAAGCAUGAAUGUAAUUUUUCACAAUUCCACAAUAAUGGAAUAUGUGAGACUAAUUCAUGCAAGAUAGAUUGGGUUUUGGUGGGGGGCCCAACAUUGGUGUUUUUUUCCUCUAAAAAUAAAUUUGAUUGAAUUGAAUUGUGAUAUCUGUUGAUUUCUCACUCUGUUUAGUGGCAUGUGUGACAUAGUCUGUUUUGUUAAUUGUGCACUAAACCCAUUUCUUGAUAGUGCAUUAUGACUCGUGGCCCAGGUGCGCAUCCGCUCCUAUUCUGGUCAUUCUCUAUGCAUGUUCUGAUUCCCAUAUGUGCAUGAUCAAUUUAAGUACCCGUUGAUUUCCUUAUUGAUUGCCACGUCAGCUUUCUUUUAUUAGUAGAGACCCGACUUUAGGGACUUAGAGGGGUGCUACGGUCCUUACUAUACCUUCUCGAUAAGUAACUUGACCCCCAAACCCAAUUCGGUUUUUCACAUACCACUUUUUCCAAAAUAAGGAGUCAUAGUUAGAGUUUUCUUUCUUAUUUUGUUUACCCUUUUUAAAAAUAAAACAAAAAUAAGUGGUGACUCCAAGUCUUUUCUAAAAAAAAAAAAAAUCAUAUUUUUCAUUAAAUAAAUAAAAAGCAAGUUCGCCAUUGAGUGGGAACGCAUUGAGCUAAAAUGCUGGGUCCAUAAAAUGGCGACUCCACUGAGGAUGAUUUAGAAGGUCAAACUUGAACUUAAGAUGAAGCAAAUGCGACAUUUGAUGGGUCGAUCAGUGGGUACCUAUCUUUUAAUUGCACAUUGAGAGUUCUUGAUAUCAUUGGAUGCAUGCUUGGAUAUUGUAUUCAUUUUGAGACAUUGAUAUGUUGGUUAUGAUGAUUGAUUUGUCUUGAUUGAGGAUUCCGAGAUAGCUAUUUUUUUUGUGCUUCAUUGCUAUAUUUGUUUGGGAUAUUGACAUACUGAUUGUAUCAAUUUCUUAUCUUGCCUUGCUUAGCAUAGUGACCCUGAUUCUUGCCAUGAUUGUUCUGCUCACUUCAUAUGCAUAGACUCACUAUUGUACACCAUUUGACUUGAUGUGUUGUUUUCUUUGGCUUGUGUAUUAUCCUGAUCGUCUUUGAGCAUGAUGCUUGUAUUAGUAUUCAUUUGAUCGUCAUAGCUUGUAUGUGUACAUGAGCAAUAUAUCAUGUACUCUGCCUGGUUGUAUGUCGCAUGACUGCACUCCUUUGCAUGUUGCUUGUUUGUGUGGGUAGCACAUCUAUCCCCUUAUCUCCAACGCUCUGGGUUUCGAUUAUUUCCUUUAUUUCGGUUUUCACUUUUGCAAGUGUGAGGCCUUGUGUGUGCUUGUACUUUGACCGAGGAAGAGGUUAGGAGUAGGGUCUAGCGACGGGCUAUAUCGAUGUUUGGGAGCAUUCUGGAGGUGACCGACACAUUGACGUCAAUUGGAGUCCGAUCAUUGAAGACCUGUAUAGCCUGGAGCUAGGUUUCAUGGAUAUUUGUGCGGCCAGUGUGUUUCCCUUUUUGAUUUAGCUUCAUAGAGUUUUCGGAUGCACCCACACCGCUCACUGCGCACUCUAGUUGACCAUUGAGUGUUGAGAGUUUUGAGAGGUUUCGCCAUAGAAAACCUCCUGAGAUAUCGAGGUAGUGCAUGUGUGGAGGUGAUGACCACCUUGCAUAGAAGCGCCCAUUCUUUUCGGAGGCGUGCAGAGGGUUGCGUACCGUCGGAGGGUACGAUCGCUUCUGUUAGGGAUCCUUUAAAGUCCACCCCUCUUCUUUUCAGAGCCACCUUGACCUUGUAGGUCGAGCCUUAGAUAUUUCAAUCAGGAAUUUCUUCCCUAACACGUGGGUGCAUCUGUGGGCCUUCAAAGUUACUUCAGUAGUGAUAGGUUUAGUUACCUUCGUAGUGGUCUCUUAUACAUCUGCUCAGGAUUGGAUAUCACUUUGAUUGCUUACGAGUUACCUUUCGACAUAUUUGAUAGACUUUCUUUGUGGAGAUUUUCCUAACCUUGUAUCUUAUCUAGUAUUUCCAAUAUUGUAGGAGCAUUGAUACAUAGGGUUUGGGUUCGACUUCUUGGAUCCAGGUUAGGGGUAGAUUGAUCAGAGUAUCAGACCCGUUAGACCAGAAAUCAGAUCAUAGAAAUAUGGACUCACAGAUGGUUACCGUUGGCAGCAGGCCUAGGAGGUUUCGCCUCAGGAUGGCGCACAGUAUGACCCUACAGUGCCGUCAUCCCCUCCACCUAAUCAGUCAGCACCACUAGCCAUACCUUUCACUCUGCAUAGUCAGACCGAGGUUGUCCCGACUCCUAUCAUCGUGCCUACCCCAACCUCAGAGGACCCACAUGCUUGUAUGGAUAGGCUCGAUAAGAAGUUGAGACAAUUGAGGAGUUCAGACAGACCUGUUACUUGGGACGAUUUUGAUGGACUACCAGUGGCCAGUUUGCCGGCCAAGUUCAGGAUGCCAGAGAUUGAGCGAUACACGGGCAUUGGCUGUCCUUGCAUCCAUUUGAGGCUUUAUAGUACUAUCAUGAGGGCCCAUGGACUAGAUGAGGUUCAGAUGAUUAUGUUUUUCCCCAUGUGCUUGAACGGUGUGGCGUAGUGAUGGUUUGCUUUAUUGGAUACAUCCCAAAGUCGGACUUGGGAUGAUUUGGCCUAGGAGUUUUUGAGACAAUUCACAUUUAAUACUGUCAUUGACGUCUCGAGGAGAGAGUUAGAGGCAUUGAGACAGAGGCCAGAGGAGUCGAUCACCUCAUUUAUCUCCCGUUGGAGGGAGAAGAUUUCAUAGGUUAUUAAUAGACCAUCGGAGAAGGAUCAUAUUAGCAUGAUUAUGAGAAGCUUGCAACCUCGAUUUGCUAGACACUUGAUGGGAUUUCCUCAUAGAGAUUUUGGAUCUUUGGUACAGGCCUUGUAUGGUAUAGAGGAGGGCAUAGCCAGAGGAUUAUGGUCUGAGUCUUCUCUUUCUAAUUCGAAGGGGAAGAAACCUUUAAGAUGAUAGAGGCUAGUUGAUGUGAGCGCCCCUAGUUCUACCAGCCAGAGGCCUCCUAUGCGUCAUUAGUCAGUGCCACAGCUUCCUGAGACUCAUCCUUCAUAUCCACCUCAACAGUACAGGCCACGAGCGCCUCGUCCGACUUUUGAUCAUGCUUACAUGCCUCAGACACUAGUUUUGCCUUACUAUGCCACUCAGGGCAUCGAGAGACCACCUGUUUCAUAUACAGCCACAGGAUAGCCAUGCUAUGCGGCGUAGUUUACCGCAAGACCUACAUCUUCUUAUCCCAGGCUUAGAGCUCAACAGACUUCUGUUCCUUUUGUUUUGAGGACGCAGAUAUAGUUCUCGCAGUUAAGCAUGCCGUUGAGCCAGGCUAUUCGGAAACCUAUAGAGGUUGGGUUGUUGAUUGCUCUCACUCUUAGGCCACCACCUCAGCCUCUUCCUUCUCGGUUCAGGAUGGAUUUGCACUAUGCAUACCAUCAAGGACCUAGACAUGAGACUGACCGUUGUACCGCUCUGAGACAUGCCAUCCAAGAUCUGAUCGACCAGGGUUUGGUUCACUUAGAUUAGCCGAGUGUAACCACAAACCCACUAUCGACCCACACCACACAUGCGGUUCCCCCACCAACCAAUAACAUUCAUUUUCUGGAUUUUGCUGGGUUUGACGACCAUAUCCAUAUGUUGAGCCGGGAUGACACAGAGCGAGAGCCCAUAGUGUCAGAUGGGAUUUAUGAGAUGAGUGGGGUGACUUUGGGACCUUAGAUACCCGCUCCAUUCAGAUUCGUCCCUAAGGCGGUAUCGGUACAAACGACCACUAUCGAGCGAUUGACUUUCUCACAUUAUAGUGUUCAGACGCAUUUUGUUUUGAUUCCAGAUGUUGAUGGGGUUCAGACUUCUUAUGUUGAUGUUUAUCAGACUCCAUAUGUCGAUGAUGUUCAUACUUUAGAUGUGCAGUAUGUUAUCCACGGAGGUAGGGUAGUACGGCAGCAGCCCCCCGCUGCCGCUAGACCCUUGAAGGGAACGUCAUCCCAAGAGGAGGUCGAGAGGGAGGAUGAUCAGAUUCUGAUGCAGUUACAAAGCACUCAUGCUUGUAUUUCCAUCUAGAGCUUGUUAGCAUCUUCUAGUAAUCACCGAGAUGCUUUGAUUUGAGCCUUGAGCCAGAUCAGAGUUGAAACUACCACCACUCCGGAGGGAUUGAUUCAUAUGGUGAUGGCUGGCAGAGCCGCAUGCAUAGUAUUCUCUGAUGACGGCUUGCAACCAGAGAGUGCGAACCAUACAUGUCCAUUUUAUAUAUCAGUUGGUUGUUUAGGCUAUCGAGUCUCAUUUGUCAUUUUGGAUAACGACUCGGCCCUGAACGUUUGCCCUCUGGCCACUGCCAUCGCCCUUGGUUAUGCGUCCUCUGACUUUGGUCCCUUCACUCAGAUAGUUCGAGCAUACGAUAACACUCAAAGGGAGGUCAUGGGCACUCUAGAGAUUGAGUUGCUGAUAAGUCCGAUCACAUUUGUUACUUUGUUCCAGGUUUUGAAGAUUCCUACAUCAUUUAACCUGCUAUUGGGUCGACCUUGGAUUCACAAAGUCGGGGUCAUUCCUUCUUCCCUUUAUCAAAAGGUGAAGUUCAUUUGCGAUGGUCAGGUCAUCACAGUGCGGUCUAUAGGAGAUAUGUUUAUUUCUACUCAGCCGGUGCUUCAGAUUAGUCACAAUGAUGAUGACUUACUUCUGAGUGGAUUCACAUUCGACGAGGUGCAAACCCUAAAGAUGGAGAAUUUUUUCCGAGACUUCGUAGCUAUGUCGUUUGACUAGCAUGGUAGCACGGUGGUGCUCGAUAUGAUGAGGAGUAUGUCUUAUCUUCCCGGUAUGGGAUUGGGGCGACGUCAGCACGGGCCUAGUGAGUUCAUGGCUAUCCCCGAUCACGAUGUACCGUUCGAACUCGGGUUCAUCCCCACUGAGGCUAAUUAUCGAUAUAUGGCGCAACUGCGCAAGGAGAUGGGUGAGAGCCCAACUGACUCACACGCCUUUUGAUUAUCCUGUUCGCUCAUACACCAUGAGCUUAACAGAAUACUUUGUGAAGGCGUCAGUGCCGCAGAUGCCUUCAAAUGGGAUAAUUGGGGGACUCGAAACUACUCAAGAGGCCAAGCUUCAGCGCCUCGUCUAUCAGCUACAGUUGAGUGAUGGAGUUCCUGGCACUUCGAUAUCUGUGUUGGCUGCCCUAUCAUCUCCAGAUCGUAUGAGCCUUAUGACGCUUUAUUUCCCGGAUGAGAUCAACGAGCAUGAGACAUUUGCUCGAGAUUGGAAACAUAGUGGACAGAGCCAUUCCACAUAAAGAGUACGUCGAUGAGAUGCUCGCGAUGAGCUUAAGCCAGAUCAAGGAGAUAGUUCAGCCUGGGCUCCCUUCACCAUUUGAUCUUUUCGGGGUGUCCGUCAUCCAGAUUGCUGAGGAGAUCCCGACUGCUUCUACUCCGGAGUUUACUGAGGGUGCCAUAGCUGUUAAUGACUUGUUUGAUGGCCCUGUUGGCCUAGUUGAGGGAGCGUCCGACUUUGUGGACCCACUUAUUUCAUUUGAUGUUUUAUCGGGAUUUGUUUCCCUUCAUGAUGAUGUUCUUGGCUCUUCAUUUAUGGAUUUGAGUAUUUUUGAGUAUUUGCCUGCCUCUUGUGAUAUUGCUUUAUCUACACCAUCUUCACCCACAUCACAGAUAUUUGACAUUGAUGAUGAGAUUGUACAACAUGAUUCAAAUGAUGACUCAUCAUCCGCUUCUGAUUCGAACCCCAUUGAUUAGAGAGUUUCACCUACUAUAGGGGAUGCUGAGAUUGUUGAUUUCAGCACAACAGAUCAACUUAGGGAGUUGAGGAUCAGAUCGGAUUUAUCUACUGAUAAGAGGGAUAACCUCAUCCAAUUGCUCAAAUCAUACUUGGACAUUUUCGCAUGGUCUUAUGAGGACAUGCCGAGUCUUGAUCCAUCUAUCGUCCAACAUCAUUUGCCACUUCUACCCUAUGCCAGACCGGUUAAGUAGAAAUUGAGACAGUUGCACCCUCGUUGGAGUUUGCAAGUGAAGGAGGAGAUCCAAAAGCAGCUCAGUGUGAGAUUUUUUUCAAUGGUCGAGUACCCGGAAUGACUCACCAAUGUCGUCAUUGUUCUAAAAAAGGACGACAAGGUGAGAGUCUGUGUUGAUUUUCGAGAUCUCAACAAGGCCAGUUCUAAGGAUGAUUUUCCUCUCCCACACAUCGACAUGCUAGUUGACAAUACAACAGGUCAUUCGAUGUUGUUCUUCAUGGAAGGAUUUUCCGGGUAUAGUUAGAUCUUGAUGGCUCUAGAGAACAUGAAGAAGACGUCAUUCAUUAUCGAGUAGGGUACUUAUUGCUAUAGAGUCAUGCCAUUCGAGUUGAAGAAUGCAGGAGCCACUUAUCAGAGAACAACAACCACACUCUUCCAUAACAUGAUGCAUUGAGAUGUCGAGGUUUAUGUAGACGACAUGAUAGUGAAAUCCCGAGAUAGAUCAGAUCACCUAACAACUCUGGAGAGGUUCUUUGAGAGGAUCAAGCGGUUUAGAUUGAGAUUGAAUCCUAGGAAGUGCAUUUUUGAAGUGACUUCUGGGAAGCUCCUAGGAUAUAUGGUCAGUGAGAGAGGCAUAGAGGUAGAUCUGGAUAAGAUUAGAGCCAUCUUUGACAUGCCUGCACCGAGAACAAAGAGAGAGGUCAAAGGCUUCUUGGGUAGACUUCAGUACAUCAGCAGAUUCAUCGCCAGAUUGAUAAACAUCUGUGAGCAGCCCAAUUUUCUACUCUUGAGGAAGAGUCAACCUACUGUUUGAGAUGAUUAGUGUCAGCAUGCAUUUGAGAGGAUCAGAGAGUACUUGUUGUCACCUCUAGUAUUGGCGCCUCCUACACCAGGCCAUCUUUUACUCCUAUACCUAUCAGUCUCAGACGUAGCAUUGGGAUGCAUGUUGGCUCAAGUCGAUGAUUCAAGCAAGGACCGAGCCAUUUAUUAUCUAAGUAAAAGAAUGUUAGAUUACGAGACGAGAUAUGUCAUGAUUGAGCGCUAUUAUUUGGCAUUGGUUUAGGCCACUCGUCGACUGAGACAUUAUGUGACCGAGUAUUCAGUGCACUUGAUAUCCCAUCUAGAUCCUCUUAGAUACUUGUUUGACAUACCUGCCUUGGUUGGUCGCCUCAUGAGAUGGUUGGUACUUCUGACUGAGUUUGACAUCCAUUAUGUCACUUAGAAGUCCAUCAGAGGGAGCAUUAUCGCAGAUCACCUAGCCUCAUUACCAGUUUCUGAUGGUAGGACUAUUGAUGAUGAUUUUCCAGAUGAGGAUGUUGCUACUGUGCUUAGUCUGUCAGGUUGGCGCAUGUACUUUGAUGGUGCAGCCAACCAUUCCAAAUAUGGGAUAGGAGUUUUGUUAAUAUUCUCUCAUGGUGACCACAUUCCUAGAUCUAUUCGUUUGGCAUUCUCGAAUUGACACCCAGCCACGAACAACAUUGUUGAGUAUGAGGCUUGUAUCUUGGGAUUAGAGAUGAUCCUUAAGUUUGGGAUUAGAUAGAUGGAGGUGUUUGGUGACUCCAAUAUGGUAUUAAGAUAGAUUCAAGGUGAGUGUAAGACUAGAGAUGUGAAGCUUAGGUCUUACCACGCAUAUUUGGAGCUACUGGUUGGGAGAUUUGAUGAUUUAAGAUACACACAUCUACCUAGAGCGCAGAACCAGUUUGUUGAUGCCUUAGCUACUUUGGUUUCCAUGAUUGAUAUUCUUGUCGAUGCCAUUGUUUGCCCUUUACUGAUCAAGUCGAGAUCUGCUCAUGCCUACUAUUACCUAAUUGAUGAUGUAGAGCCAGAUGAUGGUUUGCCCUGGUACCAUGACAUAUAUCACUUUCUGAGACUUGGCGUAUAUCCUAAGGCCGCCAUGACCAAGGCUAAGAAGGCAUUUGAGAUAGUUGGCUGCCCGAUUUGUGAUUUGUGGCAAGACACUAUACAGACGAUCAGUUGAUGGGAUGUUGCUAUUAUGCUUAGACCACGCCUUUACUGAUCUAGUGAUGAGAGAGGUUCAUGCAGGAAUCUGCAGACCACAUAUGGAAGGGCAUAUGCUAGCUCGUAAGAUCAUGAGGACUGGCUAUUUCUGGUUGACCAUGGAAACAGACUGUUGCCAGUUUGUUCAGAGAUGUCCUGAGUGCCAGAUACACGGUGACCUCAUUCACGUGCUUCUUCAGAAUUACAUGCGUUGACUUCGCCGUGGCCAUUUUUAGUAUGGGGUAUAGACAUUAUUGGGAAGAUUUUACCGAAGUCUUUCAGUGGGCAUGAGUUCAUCUUGGUCGCCAUCUAUUACUUCACCAAGUGGGUGGAGGUUGCUUCGUAUGCAAGAUUGACGUCAUUUGAAGUUGCUAGUUUCAUCAGAUCACACAUUAUUUGUCGCUAUGGAGUCUCUCAUGAGUUGAUUUCCGAUAAAGAGGUACAUUUCACAGCAGAGGUUGACACCUUAGUGCAGCGAUAUGGCAUCCGACAUCUUAGGUCAUUUGCGUACAGGCCGUAGACGAAUGGAGCAGUAGAGGUCGCCAAUAAGAAUAUUAAGAGGAUCUUACGAAGAAUGGUUGGGACUUCUCGGGAUUGGUCAGAGAAAUUCCCUUUCGCAUUGUGGGCUUAUCGAAUUUCUUUUCGCACCUCCAUAGGAGCCACACCCUACUCUUUGCUGUAUGGUAUGGAGAUAGUGCUACCAGUUGAGAUUGAGAUGGGUUCAUUGAGGAUAGCAUUAGAGCGGCAGAUUCCAGAGGCAGAUUGGGCUCAGGCCCGAUUAGAUCAACUCAAUCUCCUAGAUGAUAGGAGAUUGAGGGCAGCAGACCAUGUUCGCUCAUAUCAUUAGAGGAAGAUGACCCGUGCUUUCAAAAAGCGGGUCAAGGCUUAACCACUAUGGAUAGGUGACUUGGUUCUGAAUGUCAUCAAGGGAUUGAUAAGAGAUCCUAGAGGGAAGUUCAAACCCAAUUGGAGCGGACCUUACUUCAUCAAGGAGUUAACCCUAGAGAACGCUACAUGGUUGAUGGAUCUAGAUGGAAACCGAUUCUCGGAGCCGAUCAACGUAGAUUAGCUAACGAGGUACUAUGUUUGAGACCAUGGUCAUAGGAUGGGUGGUCAUCAUUUCAGUUAGCCAUAUACCUUGUUAUUCCCCUUUGAUACAUAGACUGUUGCUAGCCCAUUGAGCCUCGUGUGUGCAUUAUAGCAUUUCUAUCUUAUUACCUUGCUCACAUUGUUACACCAGGAUUGGGGCCCUUUAGUGUGUGCAUGCGUUGUUUGGGAGCCUGAUAAGUCUUGGACCUACAAGUGCGUCUUUCUCUCAUUAUUUUUUCCUACCAUCACUCUAAUGCAUAUCAUCACAUCUCGUUGGCCAGGUUCUUCAUUCAUUCUCCUUUAUUAUAUCUACUGCUUGUUUUGCUUCAUAUUCUCUUCACCCUGAGUGGUAAUCCUCCUCAGUUCAUUGCAUGAAGGAUAGUCACAUCAUUUCCACCAUCUAUCCCACGGACACUGAUUCUGAGAUCCUUAGUUUGAGAAGGUUAUCUCGUCAGAGAUAGUUUUUGAGAGUGUGUCUAUCCAUUGUAGAUGUCAUAUUUGGGGAUCAUUUGUUUAUGAUUCAGGGUAUAUGCAUUUGUAUAUAUGUAAAAAAAAAAAAAAAAUGAAAAUGUAAAACAAAAGAAAAAAAUGAAAAUGAAAAGAAAAGAAAAAUAAGCAUGUGUGUAUGUGCAUAGUAUUCUCCAUCAUUGGGCAUGUAUAUUGAUGUUUGAGGGUUACUUCAUUAAGUAUGUUUGUUGAUGAGAGCUCGUAUGUGAGCUUUCCGAGACCGUUCAUUAUUUGUAUUCAGGUUUCAUGUAUUUUGAGAGUGAGAUGAGUGACUUUCUCUUAGGAGCUUUGUAUCAUUGUCCUUUCCAUCAUUACAUUCAUUGUUGAUGUGACUUCACCUCAUGUUGGAUUUGAGCGGAUCAUCAUUCCUCUUUGUGUUCUUCGCUUCACCAUCAUCCUCGUUUUUGCUUUUGAUUCAUCAUCAUCAUCUCACCCCUUGUCAUUUUCUUACAACGACUCUUUUAUUCCCAGUUUGACACUUCCUCCACAUCAUCCUUACACAUCUCAUUAUCAGAUCAAUUUUUUUUCAUUGCCUCGUUAUUGACAUCAUAUUCACAUUAGGCACCCUCAGGUCCGUGACUCACGAGAUUUUCUAUACAUGUGGCAUUUCAUACAUGAGGGCAUGGGUUUCUGUUCAUUUGGUAUUUUGGCCUAGUUUCCCUUCAUUUUUAUCACCCUAUCAUCCCAGUCUACGUUACGUCCCGUGUCUUAAGACCACCCUAAGGCCAUGAGAUCAGAUGUCAUCUUUGACAACCUAUAAUUGGACUGGUGUUUGAGAUCUGAUUGACAUUUAGAUAUUGUCAUGCUUCCUCUUCUGGGAGAUGUCUUUCUGAUGAUUAGAUUUGUUUCAAUUAUGUUUGGAUUACCAGGAUUACAUGUUCGAUGAUAGAUGAUUCCAUGUCACCUAAUUUUAUGAUCUAUCACAUAUUUGGUGUCAUACUAGGGCAUAUUCCGUUUCGGGCGAGAUUUACAAAUCUUCACGGAGUUGCAUGCUUAUCCCCACUUGCGAGAUAUACGCCGAAAUGAUUGACUGGUUCGCUAUUUUAUGAUGAUCCAUUAGUGGAGCCUCUGUGGAGCCGUUCAGCCAGCCCCAUAUUUCUCGGUAUUUGGUUAUUAUCAUGCUUCUUAUUCCGAGAGGCGUUCCCUAGAUGUUUGGAUUUGAUUUGGAUCACGGAGAUCACAUGCUCGAUGAUAUAUGAUUCCAUGUCACUUGAUUUUCUGAUUUAUCACAUAUUCGAUGUCAUACUGGGGCAUAUUCCGUUUCGGGAGAGAUUUAUAGAUCUUCAUGGAGUUGCAUGCUUAUCCCCACUUGCGAGAUGUACGUCGAGAUGAUUGACUGGUUCGCUAUUUUAUGAUGAUCCCUCAGUGGAGCCUCUGUGGAGCCCUUCGGUCAGGUCCACAUUUCUCGGUAUUUGGUUACUAUCAUGCUUCUUAUUCCGAGAGAUGUUCCUUAGAUGUUUGGAUUUGAUUUGGAUCACGAAGAUCACAUGCUCGAUGAUAGAUGAUUCCAUGUCACCUGAUUUUUUGAUCUAUCACAUAUUCGGUGUCAUACUGGGGCAUAUUCCAUUUCGGGCGAGAUGUACGCCGAGAUGAUUGACUGGUUCGCUAUUUUAUGAUGAUCCCUCAGUGGAGCCUCUAUGGAGUUGUUAAGCCAGACCCAUAUUUCCCGGCAUUUGGUUACUGUCAUGCUUCUUAUUCCGAGAUACGCUCCCUAGAUGUUUGGAUUUGAUUUGGAUCAUGAAGAUCACAUGCUUGAUGAUAGAUGAUUCCAUGUCACCUAAUUUUCUGAUCUAUCACAUAUUCGGUGUCAUACUAGGGCAUAUUCCAUUUUGGGUGAGAUUUGCAGAUCUUCAUGAAGUUGCAUACUUAUCCCCACUUGCGAGAUGUACAUUGAGAUGAUUGACUGGUUCGCUGUUUUAUGAUGAUCCCUCAGUGGAGCCUUUGUGGAGCCGUUCAGCCAAACCCACAUUUCUCAGUAUUUGGUUACUAUCAUGCUUCUUAUUCCGAGAGACGUUCCCUAGAUGUUUGGAUUUGAAUUGGAUCACGGAGAUCACAUGCUCGAUGAUAGAUGAUUCCAUGUCACCUGAUUUUUUGAUCUAUCACAUAUUUGGUGUCAUACUGAGGCAUAUUCCCUUUCGGGAGAGAUUUAUAGAUUUUCAUGGAGUUGCAUGCUUAUCCCCACUUGCGAGAUGUACGCCGAGAUGAUUGACUGGUUCGCUAUUUUAUGAUGAUCCCUCAAUGGAGCCUCUGUGGAUCCGUUCAGCCAGGCCCACAUUUCUCGGCAUUUGGUUACUAUCAUGCUUCUUAUUCCGAGAGACUUUCCCUAGAUGUUUGGAUUUGAUUUGGAUCACGGAGAUCACAUGCUCGAUGAUAGAUGAUUCCAUGUCACCUAAUUUUCUAAUCUAUCACAUAUUUGGUGUCAUACUGGGGCAUAUUCCAUUUCGGGCGAGAUUUACAGAUCUUCACGGAGUUGCAUGCUUAUCCCCAUUUGUGAGAUGUACGCCGAGAUGAAUGACUGGUUCGCUAUUUUAUGAUGAUCCCUUAGUGGAACCUCUGUGGAGCCGUUUAGCCAGGCCCACAUUUCUCGGUAUUUGGUUACUGUCAUGCUUUUUAUUCCGAGAGACGUUCCCUAGAUGUUUAGAUUUGAUUUGGAUCAUGGAGAUCACAUGCUCGAUGAUAGAUGAUUCCAUGUCACCUGAUUUUCUUAUCUAUCACAUAUUCGAUGUCAUACUGGAGCAUAUUUCCAUUUCAGAUGAGGUUUACCAAUCUUCAUGGAGUUACAUGAUCAUCUCCACUUACGAAGUAUGAGCUGAGACGAUGACGUGUUCGUUACCUUAUCAUGAUCUCUCAGUAGAGCCUCUUUGGAGCCAUUCAGCUCGACCCACAUUUUUGGCAUUUGGUUGUCGCCAAGCUUAUUAUUCCGGAGACGUUUCAUAGAUGUUUGGGGUUUGAUUUGGGUCAUGGAGAUCGCACAUUUGAUGAUGGAUGAUUUCAUGUCACCCAAUUUUCGACUUAUCGUACAUCUAACGACAUACUGGGGCAUAUUUCCGUUUUGAUCGAGAUUUACAAAUCUCCAUGGAGUUGCAUGCUUAUCUCCACUUACGAGGUACACACCGAGAUGAUGACCUAUUUGUUAUCUUAUCAUGAUCCCUUAGUGGAGCCUCUCUGGAGCCAUCCAAUCAGAUUCAUAUUUUUUCGGCGUUUGGGUUGUUGUCAUGUUUCUCCUUCUGGGUUAUGGAUUUGGAUGACGAGGUUCGUGCUCCUGAUGAUAGAUGACUUGAGGCCAUUUGAUUUUUCCAACCUAUCACACAUUUGAUUCCAUACUGGGGCAUUUUUCCCCUUUCGAUCAAGAUUUGUAGAUCCCCACGAGUUUGCAUGAUCAUCCCCAUUUAUGAGAUACACAUCAGGUUGAUGAUUCGAUUUCAUUUUGUCUUGAUUCUUUCGUGGAGCAUUUUUCUUGAGUCAUUUCGUCAGGCUCACACUUUCUGAUUUUGUUGUGAUUUUUGGAUAGAGUCAUCUCAGGUGCAUAGGAUCCCAUAUCAUCAUUUCAGUGGGACACAUGUCAGAUCUUUUAUAUAUUCCCAUGGAGUUAUUCUCGGGUUAUCAUGAUAGACCGAGUACAUCUGACGCCAUAUUGGGGCAUAUUUCCUUCCUCCAGCUGUAGAGUUUCGAUGAUUUUUGCUAAGAUGAGCCACCAGAGGAACACGACUUCCGGGUUUUGACUGCCCUACUAUCCAUGACUUUUCAGUGGAUUGAGAUCGUAGUAGUUACCCUAGCAGACUAUUCUUUUGUGACCCCCUAGUGGAUCAUUUUUUCGGUAUGAUGAUGGAUUCUUCCAAUAAAACAUUUUGAGUUAGAGAAGUUCUACUUAUUGCGACACUUCAUCAGAUCUCGCGAUUUAGUCAGAUGGGUUGUGAGACUAAGUUCACAGUCGAUUUAAUCAUUUCGACUCGCUAGCAGAGCAUCCUUCAAGACUCAUGAAGUCUUUUUUGUCAUUUCCAUGGACUGAAAUCUGUAGUAGCAUGCUACAUUGGGGCAUAUUCCCCCCUCAUCAUCUCUAUUCAUCUUCAGUCUCGGCGUUCAGAGCCACCGUUUCUUCACAAUUUGGCGUUCAGAGCUAUAUCUUCAGUUUGGUGUUCCAGGUCACGCAUUCUUUUUAGCGUUCAGAGCCAUCAUCAUGUUCACAGUUUGGCGUUUAGAGUCACUAUCUCUUCUUAGUUUUGGUGUUCAGAGUCGCAUCUUCAUUUUGGCAUUUAGAGCCGUUAUUUCUGUUCAGCAUUCAUAGUUACUAUUUUUAGUUUGGUGUUCAGAGCCACCGUUUCUUCGUAUUUUGGCGUUUAGAGCCAUAUCUUCAGUUUGGCGUUCAAAGUCACACUUUCAUUUUGACGUUCAAAGCCAUCGUCAUCUUCUCAAUUUGGGUGUUCAGAGCCACCAUCUCUUCUUAGUUUGGGUGUUCAGAGCCACCAUCUUUUCUCAGUUUGGGUGUUCAGAGCCACCAUCUUUUCUCAGUUUGGGUGUUCAGAGCCACCAUCUUUUCUCAGUUUGGGUGUUCAGAGCCACCAUCUUUUCUCAAUUUCGGCGUUCAAAGCCACCAUCUUCUCAGUUUUGACAUUCAGAGCCACCAUCUUCUUAGUUUAGGCGUUCAAAGCCAUCAUCUUCUCAGUUUGAGCGUUCAGAGCUACCAUUUUCUCAGUUUUGACGUUCAAAGCCACCAUAUCUUCUCAGUUUCGGAAUUUUAAAGCCACCAUCUUCUCAGUUUCGGCGUUCAAAGCCAUCAUCUUCUCAAUUUGGGCGUUCAGAGCCACCAUUUCUUCUAAGUUUCGGCGUUUAGAGCCACCAUAUUCUCAGUUUCGGCGUUCAGAGCCACCAUCUUCUCAGUUUGGGCAUUCAAAGCCACCAUCUCUUCUCAGUUUGAGCGUUCAGAGCCACCAUCUUCUCAGUUAAAGCAUUCAGAGCCACCAUCUCUUCUCAGUAUGGGCAUUUAGAGCCACCAUUUCUUCUUAGUUUGGGCGUUCAGAGCCACUAUCUCUUCUCAGUUUCGGCAUUUAGAGCCACCAUCUCUUCUCAAUUUGGGUGUUUAGAGCCACUAUCUAUUCUCAAUUUGGGCGUUCAUAGCCACCAUCUCUUCUCAGUCUUGGUGUUUAAAGCCACCAUCUUCUUACGACUCAGCCUUCAAAGUCAUCAUUGCUUAUCGGUUACGACGUUCAGAGUCAUCUUCCUCGGUUUUGACGUUCAGAGCCACCAUUUCCUUAUAGCUUGACGAUUAGAGUCAUCAUCGCUUCUCAAUUACGACGUUCAGAGUCGUAUUUCUCAGUUAUGGCGCUCAGAGCCUUCAUCUUCUUCAGUUUGACGUUCAGAGUCGCACCUCUAGCUUGGCAUUUAGAGUUACUAUCUCUUUACAAUUUUGCUUUCAGAGCCAUCAUCCUAUUGCGAUCGGGCAUUCGUUGCCACUUUUUCGACAUUCAGAGCCACCAUCUUUUCUCAAUUAUGGCAUUCAAAACCAUCAUCUCUUUACAACUUGGCGUUUAGAGUCAUCGUCCUUCUCAAUCAUGGCAUUUAGAGCCACAUUUCAGGCAUUCGAAGUCAUGAUUUUCUAAAGCUUAUCAUCCUCCCUUGUGCAUGAUAUAGCUCUUUGAGCUUAUAGCUUAUGUUUUGAUUGUAUCAUUGGUGCCCCUCACUUCGCGCUCUUGUAUGGUGCAUGUAUAGUUUCCCUUUUAUAUAUGUUCCUCUCUAUGCUCCUAGAUGGUUUGACUACUACUCAACUUUGACUUCGAUCUUUGAAUCACUUUUGGUGACAUCUUAGAGGGAGUCUAGAUCCUUAGCGCGGCUUCAAAGGCACUUUGAGAGAUCCAUUUUUCUCUUAGGAUUUUAAAGCUCUUUUUACUCCUCUGAUGGUUUGGGUGAGUUUGUGUUUUACUUGUGUACCUUUAGGGAUCUUUCUUUGUCUUCGGUAGAGUUCACUUCAUUUCACUCUCUAUUCACACUUUUUUUUCACUUUAGUGUUUACAUUCAUUACACUCGUGAGCUCUACCGAAGAGGGGCAUAUUUGUAGACCCCUUUGUGGACACCAUCCGAGAGAGUGGUUUUUCUUUCAUUUUUUUGAAAUGGGGGGACCCCUUUCUGCCAAGAACAAGCUGCAUGGACAUGUGGCCAAGAGCAUGGCUCACCAUGGUGGUGGUUGAUGGUGAUGACAUCCUCCCGGGACAAGGAGCAGUAAAGUGGUUGGUGGCUUGCGGGAGAAGACAGAAAUGGGGGCAGGCAAGCAAGCUGCGAGGGGGUAGGUGAUUUUGGGGUUGCUGGUUUUGGGGAGAUACACUGGAAAAUGCUUUCUUUGGCUGGGGAGUCUUUGUUCUAGGGAGGAGGAAUUCUUUGGCCAGGCAAGAACUGUGAAAGAGCUCUCAGGUAAGUUUACUGGGUAUCUCUUGUUCACAUUUACUAUCACCGUUCUUUCAUUUUCCCCCUUCGCUAUUUGGGGUUUUGUUUGUUUGUUUGGUUAUGGAUAACAGGAGUUAUGCAUGAGUUUUGUUAAUUUCCAGUUUGUUCAUAUACCCAUUGAUCGCUUCAUUCACUAUCCUUCUUAAUAUUGGUUUAAACCCAAUGAAGUUCUGUUUCAUUUUGCUCUAUGUGAAGAUAUUGCUUGUUAUUUUCUCGUUUGGACCUGUUGGUACCCUUCCCACCCAUCCAAGCCCGUUGAAAGAGCAUUAGAUAUGGUUUUUCUUAAUUCACACACACACAUAUAUAUAUAUAUAUAUAUAUAUUUGUUUACUUUUCCUGGCUCUCCUUUGUUCUAGUCUAUAUUUUCUUUUUCCCGUUUUUUUUAUGCACUCGAUCCAGAAUGUCGGUUGAUUGAGUGUCGGUCAGAGGAAUUGGUUUUGGGCUUGUUCUAGAGAAAUGCGCUGGUAAAUAUACAUGCACAAUGUGGAAAAGGUGAAGUUGUUAAUACCUUAUCCAUUUGUUUUUCCGGGCACACGAAUGUUGGUCAAGUAGCCGAAAGAUUAAGAUGAGGCUUUCUCCCAUCACCAUUCCAGCUGAUUCAGUUGUGACUGUUGGUAUUGUGCCCUAUUCCGGGGUCCGUUCAAAAGUGUCUUCGGCUAAGGUUGUGCAAGCUAAAUCAGUUGAUGCUUAAUAUGCUUAGGAAUACUACUUGUGCGUUUUUCAAAUUUUAUGCAAAGGUGACAAGCCAAACAUCAGUGGAAAUGAUGCAUGACUCCUCCAAUAGAUCAGUUCAUACAAUUUUCAGGUGUGGGAAUAUAUGCUAGCAACGUUCUUGAAGUCACUAAUUGGUUCCCAUUUCCAACCCUAGAAGAGAAUGGUGAGACUGAAACAUCAUGUGGUCCCGACAUUUCAUCAUAUAUAAUUCCUUCAUACCCAUAUUCCCACUACCUUCCAUCCUCUAAGCCUCAUUCAUACCCAUAUCACUACUUCAUCUACCCGUAUUCUCAUAUUUCCAUCUCGUCACCAUAUUUUCUCUCUUUACACCACGUGCAUGUCCAUUACCACUCAUGCAUAUCACCACCCUCCUAUGCCCACCUUGCCCAUUCUUUCUUACCACCUUUCUCUUUUUACACCACAUGCCUCCCAAACCCACUACUCGUAUUUCACGCUUCAUCCCAUCUCAUCCCAUAUCCCUCCCAUGGAUAUCAUCACUUUCACAUACCCAUCACUACAUUUCUCUCUCUACACCACACCAUGUUCCCACUUUUUUUUUUUAAUAUGUCACUAGAUCCAUUUCUUCCCACUUUGCAUGGUCAUGCAUGGCCACACUAUGUCACUUCCACACUCAUACCCGUUCCAUACCCACAUCUUCCUAUCUGUAUUCCUACCCUUUUUUAAAAAAAAAAAAAAAAAUCCACUCACUCGUUUCUCUCACUACCACUACCCUUCAUUACUCAUCCCUACCCAUGGCAACCCAUACUCUCCUCACUCAUCUAUUACACCCACUGUCAAUAGCUCUCUUCAUCACCAUACCUAUUUUUUCCACUCUUUCUAAAUCCAUUGGACUCUCUCAUCUCACCACCCUCCAUCAUCCGUUCCAUCAAUAACCUCCCCGAAGACCAAGAAGAUUUUGCAACUUCUGCGCUUGAGAUAGAUAUUUAACAGUGUCUUCCUGAAAGUGAACAAGGAAACAACGAAUAUGUUGCACAAGGUUGAGCCUUACGAGACAUGCGGGUAUCCCAAUUCAAAGAGUGUUAAGGAAUUGGUUCACAAGCCAGGGUGCCUACCCGCUACAGUGAAACGCUUGGCUUUCAUAGUCUGCAUCGCGAGACAAUCAUGAAGCAUCAGUAUUGUUUGCAUUAGAGCGGGGUAUACCUUCCAUAGUUGGUACUCUUGGAAGUAUGUCUAUGGGAUGAAGCUGAUAUAUUAUCUGUUUUAUUUGAUAAUGGAUGAAAUCAUGGUGACUUUGUGGUCUAUAUCAUCCAGAAGUUCUCUCAAGAGAUAUAGCCGUCAUGUGAAGAUUCUUUUUCCUCACACGGUUACGCUGCUAAGAAGGAUUUCUCAUGCUUUGAAGGUCAUCAUGAAUCGAAAGACUCAAGAAGAAGGGUUAGCAUUGGUUCGUACUCAUCAGAUGCCUAGAAACAAGUGGGCAGAGUUGACAAAACUCUCGUCGAGAAGAACAGACAAUGCAAUAAAAGACCACUAGGACAGUUAUGUAAAGAAGAAGUUGGACUCUCAUAUAGCAUCAGAUUCACUUGCACAGUCCCAAGGCCAGCCUCUUGUUGGUCACUGAAACUGAUCGAUCCAUUCAUCUUCUUCAAAUAUGUAAUAGAGUAGUGGAGGUGAUGGCGGAGCCAAAGGUGGGAUAGAAGCAGAGGAAAUUUCAGAAUAUAGUCAAGGUUCAAUUGCGGAUUUUCUGGAAGCGUGAGGCACCAGUUUAAUUCAAAUGGGCAACCCACUCCUUCUUUUGAGCUGGGACAAGCAUCAUCAGGUUUAUCAUCGCAUUUUAAAGGUGGCAGAGGAAACCAGGGCACAGUUUCUGUCCCGUUCAUGAACUUCUGUAGGGUUGAGUGAUUCCUCUUCCACGGGAAAUAUAGGUGUGGACUCUGAUAUACCUGAGCAUUUACUGAUAUCUGAAGGCGACUGUUGUGGGUUCAGAUUCCAAGAGGAACUCCAGCUUCACAGUCAUAUUACUCCCUAAGGAUGACAGCGGCAAGCAUCACUAGCACCAAUAGGGUAGUCACAAUCGCACCCAAGGCCCAUGUGUAUUAUGGCCAACCUCCCAGACCCAUUUUCAAGGCCCACGUGCUUCUUUCCUUCACCUUAAAAAAAAAAACAAAAAAUGAUGAUUUUCUGAAAAUCCAAUUUCCAAAUAAUUCAACUCUCUAUUCUUUCAUCUCUAGAAUUUUUGGGUCCUAAAUUCCAUUUCCCAAUUUCCAUAUUUAUUUAUUUAAUAAGUAUUAUUUUUGUUAUUAUUAUUAUUAUUAUUCUAUUUAUUUAUUCAUUUAUUAUAAAAUUCCACCUUUAAAUAAUUUUCCAAAAUUCCGACUUCUGGAUUUAAAGUUCCAAUUUAAAAAAUCUCAAUAUUCACAUUCAUUUAUUUAAUUAUCAUUUUUGUUUUUAUUAUUAUUCUUUUUAUUUAUUUAUUCAUUUAUCAAUUCUUCAAAAUUUCGACUUUCAAAUAUAAUUUCUGAUUUUUCAUAAUUUCACUAUUCACAUUCAUUUAUUUAAUUAUUAUUUUUGUUAAUAUUAUCAUCAUUCCAUUUAUUUAUUUAUUUUAAAAUUUCAUCUAUUAACAAUUCUUCAAAAUUCCAGUUUCCGAAUUUAAUUUCCAAUUUCAAAUUUUCCACUAUUCACGUUCAUUUAUUUAAUUACUAUUUUCGUUACUAUUAUUAUUACUCCGUUUAUUUAUUUAUUUAUUCAUUUUAAAAUUUCAUCUUUUAACAAUUCUUCAAAAUUCCGGUUUCGAAUUUAAUUUCCAAUUUAAAAAAUUCCACUAUUCACAUUAAUUUAUUUAAUUAUUAUUUUCGUUAAUAUUAUUAUCAUUCCAUUUAUUUAUUUUAUUUAUUCAUUUUAAAAUUCCAUCUUUUAACAAAUUCUUCAAAUUCCAAUUUUCAAAUUUAAUUUUCAAUUUCCAAAAUUCAUUUUUUCACAUUUAUUUAUUUAAUCAUUAUUAUUUUCGUUAUUGUUAUUAUUUUAUUUAUUUUAAUUAUUUAUUUUUGAAAAUUCCAUUUUUAAAUAAUUCUUUAGAAUUCCAAUUUUUGAACUUAACUUCCAAAAUUUCAAUUCUUAAAUUUAAUUCCCAAUACUCCAAUUUCCAAAUAAUUUUCAAGACUCCAAUUUUCAAAUAAAUUUCAAAAAUCCAGUUUUCACUCGAACAAUUUUAAUUUCAUUCCGAUUCUCAAAUAAUCUAUUGUUUAUCUUGAUUUUACAUAAGUAUGAAUGCAAUUUUUCAUAAUUCCACAAUAAUGGAAUUUGCGAAACUAAUUCGUGCAAGAUAGAUUGGAUUUUGGUGGGAGGCCCAACAUUGGUGUUUUUUUCCUCUAAAAAUAAAUUUAAUUGAAUUGAAUUGUGAUAUCUAUUGAUUUCUCACUCUGUUUAGUGGCAUAUGUGACAUAGUCUGUUUUUGUUAAUUCUGCACUAAUCUCAUUUCUUGAUAGCACAUUGUGGCUCAUGGCCCAAGUACGCAUCCGCUCCCAUUCUAGUCAUUCUCCAUGCAUAUUCUGAUUCUCAUAUGUGCAUGAUCGAUUUGAGUACCCAUUGAUUUCCUUAUUGAUUGCCACAUCAACUUCCUUUUAUCAGUAGAGACCUGACUUUAGGGACUUAUAUGGGUGCUACGGUCCUUACUAUACAUUCCCGAUAAGUAAUCUGACCUCCGAGUCUGAUCCGGUUUUUCAAAAAUCACUUUUUUCAAAAUAAGGAGUUACACUUAGGGUUUUCUUUCUUAUUUUGUAUACCCUUUUGAUUACUACUCAAAAAGUGCUAUUUGAUAGCUUGUAAUUAACUCUUUUAAACACUUUUGAGUAGUAGUUAUUGCCUUUUAACCCAAUUAACAUGUUAAGGACCCUUGCAAUCAAUUCUAAUCAAAUUGUGUUAAGUUUUGGUGUUUUUGUUAGUAAUUUGAUCACCAAAACAAUCCAAGAUUGAGGAGAGUUAUUUGGAAUCCAUGGCAAAGCUUUUGGAAGCUCAAAUUUAUGAAGAACCAAGCUUUGGAGCUCCAUAGCCCUUUGCCAAAGUCGUUCAAAGUAUGCAAGGAGAGAAGCAAGGAGAAGAGGAAAACAGAGUGAAGAAAACAGAGGACAAGAAGCUGCAGUCUUCAUGCGCACUUUUGGAGCACUUCCCGAAGUCCAUUUUCUACAUUCUAUAUACCAUUUCAAAGCUCAGGAAGUCAAGAAUCCAAUGCUUCAAACGGUGCGUGAUUCGGAGUUGAAACGAAGAAGUUACAGCCAUUGCAAGCAGAUCACUCCAAAGUGUUGCGAAAUCAGCCUUUUGUUGCGAGAAUUUCGCAGCCUUUUUGUACAGUGCUAUGGAAUUCCUCCUGAAGCUACCCGAUACAUGCCGCAAGCUGGAACGCUGAGAACCUCAAGGUGGAAGCCAAUUUCGCAGCCCUGCGAGUUUAACUUGUUGUUGCGAAAAUAUUUCGCAGCCCUCUUGGGUGUCUGCGAAAUCUCGCAGACACCAUUUUCACCUGCGAAAUGGUUCCUGAAGCUUCCCGAUAUUUUCCACCGACUCUUUUGGAUAUUUUUCUUCAGAUAUUUUUGUAUAAAUUUCCAUUUUCUCCUUGUAUUCAGCCACUCAUGUAAUUCCUUAGCUAGGAAGUGUCCAAGGAAGGGUAAAUUACCUUCCUAUAUAAACUCUCUUGCAUCCACUGUAAAAAAAACGCUCGGAGAAGUAUGUAAUAUAGAAACAAUAUAUAGAAUCAACGAACAGAGCACUUGCUCUGUUUUUUCAUAUAUAUUCUUGUCUUCUCCUUCAUUUUCAUUUUCUAGCCAACCAAACUCUGAGGAUUUUUCCACAGAGGAUGAGAGGCUAAGCUUUUUGUCUCUUGGAGUAAGGAAAGCCGGGUAAGUUUCCACAUGCAUAAUUUGGAAGUUUUGUUGUUUUAGUUUUAAUGAAGAGAAAGUGUAACCCGUUAAUGGUUUUUAUCUUUUUAGUUAACUUAAAACACCUUAGAGUCACCUGAGCCAACACUUGGUAAGGCAAGUGAUUUCUAUCCAUGGAAAUGCACUAGUUUACCCCUUGCGAGCCUUUGGGAGGUGACUUGAAGGUAGGAUUUUCUAGAAUAGCCAACACUUGGUAAGCUUUUGGACUCCAAGGAGACAUCCAUUAGUUAUCUCUUGCGAGCUUUUGACGGGUAAUCCAAGGUUAAAGAUCUCCUUGAAUGGCAAGUGCUAGGUGAGAGGUAUGAGCCAUUGCAAGAUGCAUCAGUGAGAGGGAUUUAGUGUUUGAACCCAUUAAUGGGAAGCAUCUGUACAACACCGGUUGGAGAAGGAACUAUAUGUUAAUUCUCUAAUGCGAGGAAAAGAAACAAGUGACCGGAACUCCCUUUUUGUAUGAGGAAUCUGAGCCUAGUGAUCUGAAAUUCCAAGAAACACUUUUCUUUGUAAGUAAAAUCAGUUACUAUUUUUGGUUAGCUUAAAACCAAUCCUUUUUCAUUCAAAAAUCUUUAUGUUUUCUUUUAAAGCUAACCUUGAAAUGAAAAGGCACCAAUUCAGCUUUAAAUUAAUAUCAUUUGCAAAGUGAAAACCCAUCCCAGUGAACGAUCCUAGAGCCACUAUACUAUAGUAGUUUUGUCUUUGCUACCCUAGUAUAUGGUGUAAUAGGUUAUAAAUUUUGUUGAUUACUCCCUCAAUCAAGGAGCACCAGCUGUACACGAAUCAGCUGAGACAUCAAUUGGGCACGAAUCAAAUGGCGCCGCUGCCGGGGAUCGAACCCCGAAUCAAAUGGUGCCAUUGCCACUGCCGCUGCUAGGGACGAAUCAUUAAAAACAAAACAAAAAUAAGUGGCGAUUCCAAGUCAUUUCUAAAAAAAAAAAUCAUAUUUUUCAUUAAAUAAAUAAAAAACGAAUUUGCCAUCGAGUGAGAACGCAUUGAGCAAAAAUGCGAGGUCCACAUAUUGUUAUUUUUAUUUAUAAAGAAUCGAAAUUUACUUUAUCAUUUAUUAAUUGGCAUGAAAUGUUUUGACUUGCCUUGAUUAAUAAGGACUUCCAUGGCUUACCUGAUAGAGUUGGGCCCUUAACGUUAUCCACUCUGCAAUGUAUCAUGCCCUUCCAAAGCUUAAUCAAGUCAACGGCUAAGGUGUAAUUUCAUGCAUUAAAUUAUUUUAAAAAAUGUUUAAUACUGCAGUCAAGCUCGUACUACAUAUACUCUAAAAUCAACAAUGUAAUUUUCUGCACUGAGCAAUUUCAUAAAAAUGGUUUUUGAGUAAAAGAGAUUUGGAUUUUGGCCUAUGGCCUAUGGACUUUCAAAACAGGGGGUUACUCCUUGCAUUAGCUUUGUCAGGAGCACAAACCUGACAAAGAAAGCAAUUGGCAACAUGUUGAAUUUAAGCCACAAGCAUAGAGAAUCUUCAAACUUUGCAGCCUCCCCAGGUUUUGUGGCAACUUGUGGAGUUUUGAACACUCACUGACAUUGAGAACUUCAAGAAAGCAUAAAUUACAAGUGCUUCCUGGAAGAGUCACAAGGUUUUGGCAUCUGUCCAGAUUCAAAAGUUCAAGCCUAUUCAAAUGUUCGAUUGAUGAUGGUAGCUCUUUUAUAGCCGUUCCGUUCAAGUGAAGCUCCCUUAAGUUUUCCAUAUUCUCCAAGAUUUCUGGAAAGUACUGUAAUUGUGAACAGUCAGAGCCAAAGAGAGAUUUUAGGGAUUUGAACUCCCGAAUGCUUGUUGGCAGACUCUCAAGGUUUUUGCACUCUCGCAAACAUAAGGUAUCAAAUUCAGAGGCAUGCUCAAUGGGUAGUAGGUUGAUUGUCUGACCCUUUAAACAAAGCUUUCGGUGUUCCACGUUCCUCUGACAUUCCACGCAGCUAGCAUCCACAUCCUCAGUCUGUACUAUUGGAUCUUGGGAGUAUAUAGGUUGAAGCCCACACUUGAGCACCUUAAAAUGAUUGCGAGAGCCCAUAAAUAGAGCCCCAAGAAACAUGGAUGGAUUGGUGUGACAGCUCUCCAGAAUAGCAGCCUUGGGAUAGAAUAUCACCCACAUUUGUUCUGAUGCACCUCCAUCAUGGUAGCAUUUACAAGUAGUGCGAAAACUGAGAGGUUGCACACACAGGGGAGAAAAUCCAUAUCCAUCAUGCAAUGACAAUUGACAUUCUAACUCAGUGGAGAUUGAAGAUUCAGCUUCAAAUAAAUCGUCAGAUUCAUUCAGGGCUUCGUCACCAGAUUCAUUCUCCGAAAAUGUAUGUGCAAAAUCAUUUUCUGGUAUGUCCUCACAUUCAUCGAGUGGAGCAUAAACACAGCAUAUAGCAAUUCCCAAGAAGUCAUUAUUUUCAUAACAACUCUGAGGAAGGUCCAUUGUGAUCUGAUAUCCCUCUCUCUGUUUCCUUAUCCACUUGGGAAUUCCACUGCUUCCCGGAACAACAAUACAGAUUCCAUGGCCAAUGAAGUCAGAAUCAGGGAGAAAUACUUCAUUUGAACUGCUCUUGUAUUUCAAAUCCUGUACAAAGGGACAAUGUAAAUCCAGUGGGUCUGUGCCAUUAUGUGAGUUUUUAUGAGAGAGUUUGUUAUCGGUUUUUGAUAAAUUGAUUCCCAGUUUUAACUUUCUUUGAUCUAUGCUCCUGAAUCUACUUAAUAUCCCUUUUAGAUGACGGAUAAUCAAUCAACAUGAAAGUGAGUGACAAGAUUAAGUGUGAAAACUGGAAGUGAGGGGAAACUGAAACUGAAAGUGAGUAGAAUAAGCAGAUCUGUUCUUCACUUGCAGUAGCUUCUUCUCCAUUCAGAUUCAGAGAUCUUAGAAUUGUAGCUUCAACUUAACUCUCAGAAUCUUAAAGACAAAGUUCGCUCAAGUUUCAAAAACUCACAGAAAAGUUUCUCCUCAUGUUUCUUUUAAUCCCAUGAGGCGACAGACAUGUAGCACACACUUACUGGCUUUUUGCCAUGCAAGUUUCAAGGUGGAGUGUCCAAUGAACUAAAACAUUCCCUCAAAUCCUAGUGGAAAUUCACACUAUAAAUUUCAGAAUUUGCUAAAGAAAAGUUUAAUUAAUUUUACCCAUGACUAAAAAGGCAUGUGAGGGCAUUUUAACAGCCUAUUAAUUAUUAUAUUAAACUACUAUUCUCAUUACUCAAACUCAUGAUCCUUCACAUCAUCACCACAUUUUGAAGAGACUUUCGUCAACUCUUCUAUGAAUGAAUUGAUGUUUAAGGAGGCAUAAUAAACUUUUAAUUGAAUUUAACAUUAUUUCUAUCCUUAUACUCAUCUUAAAUUAUUAUUUUUUUAUAUUCUUAUCAAAAUAAAUAAAAACUUAACAAAAAAAAUAAAGAUUUCAAAACAAACUUUAUUAGCAACACUUAUUUACAUCAUUCUUUAAAAAAAUAUUCAAAAACAAAUUUUUUUACAAUUAAAAAAAUGUGAUUUAAAAUUUAUAAAGAACAAAAUUUUUAGAAAAAUAUGGUAGUUGUUUGAAAUAAAAUAAAAGGGAAAUCAAAAUUCUUAGUAAAUGAAUAGUCAAAAAAACUGUAACAGAUAUGCAAAUGAGAAAAAAAAUAAUCAAUGUCAAGAAUGAGAAACAAUUUUUUCUUUUUUCUUUUCUUAUUUUAUGCAUUCAUUACCAUUUUUAAAUUAAUAAAUAAAGUUUUUCUCACAAAAUUUUAAAAUGGCAUGUAUGCUUCAAAAUUUAUAUAUUGUUAUUAGAUUUUUAUAAAUUUCAUUUAUAUCCUCAAAAUUAGAAUCAUUAAACUCACAUUUUAAAAUAAGAUAUCAAAUAGUUAUUUUUUCAUCCUUUAGCAAUAUCAAACGUUUUUUGUACUUUAAUAAAAAAAAAAAAAGCUAUUUUUUCUAAUUAAUGACUAUUUUGCAUAAUAUUUGUAUAAAUUAUUUAAUAUAUAAAUAUUACUUAUUUAAUAGUUUUUUUUUAAUUUCUUAUAGAAAGAGUAGUGCAUACAUAAUUCAAACAAAAGGUAAUUUUAUAUUGCAAAAAAGUUUGUGGAAAAAGGAAAUUUGAACAAGGAUUGAAAUUUAUAGAACCAUAUUGGACACCUAGUUCUAGGUUUGUCCCUUUCCAACAAUCAUGACUUGGUAGUAGCCUAAUCUCAAAUCUAACUUUGUCAGGCCCUUCCUUUACUAAGUCGAUCAAACAAGUUGUUAACAAACAGAAUAAGAUAUUUUUUCUUUUCACCUUGUUGAGUCUUCGAUAAUCUAUACACAUUCAGAGGGAUCCAUUAUGUUUCUUUUAGAAUAAUAUUGAUGUGGCAUAUGAAGCUUUAGUUGGUUGGAUGUAUCCCAUGUUAUGCAACUUCUUAAGUUGUUUCCUUUGUUCUUCUAAAUUAGGUAGUAUCAUCCUAUGGGACCUCCAUGGCAAGGGGCUUAGCUCCUGGCUCUAAGUCAAUCUUGUGCUCCCCUUCCCUUAUUUGUGUGAGUUUCUUAUGUAAUUUUAAUGACAUCUAAGGAUGGCAAAGUUUGAUACAAUUUUUCAACCAAACUUGAAGAAGCGUUAUUAGUGGGUUUGGAAAGUUCUAAUCUAUUUUACUUUUUAAAACAAAGUAAAAUAGAGAACAAUUUUUAAAGAACAAUUAGGAGUUGUUUUUACCAAUUUUUAAAAAACAAAAAAUAUAUAAACUCAUUUGACUAUAUUCUUUUAAACUUGUUUUUAAAUUAAAGAAUAAAAAAUAAUUUUUUAAAAUAAGUUUCAAAAAAUAUGACCAAGUCGGGGUUUAUAAUAUUAAAGAGGAAAAAAGUUAAUUUAAGAUUUUGCAUGCAGGUAAACAUCAGGCUGUAAAACUGGUUUACUAAGACACUCAUUUUAUUUAUAUAUUCUUCUAUGUGCAUGCAUUGACCAUGUGGUUAAGAUGUGUUGCACCGAAAUCUAAUGAUUAGCUGUAAAACGUUAAUUAAUCCGAGCAUACAUUUUUCUUUAUUUGUUUUGGUUUCUUUACAAGAAUGCUUCUUUAUGUAUUCUUGUUGAACCUAUAAAAUAUCAUCCAUAGACAUUCUUUUUGAAUAAUUAAGAACCGAGAUUUCUAAUUGGUUGGUUAUUAUUUUUAUCUGUAAGGAAUCGAAAUUUAGCUCAUCAUUUAUCGUAUGAAUAUCAUAUAGAUUUGAAAAGAAUUUCACACUUAGAAAUGUACCUCUCAGAACAUUUGAAGUUAAGAUGUUUUUGUCUUCUUCAAUUUGAUUGCUCAUUACGACUUUGAGAUUCAAAUUCCUUUUGAUGUAAAAAACAAACUUAAAUAAAUAAAAAGAAUUAAAAGAUAAGCAGAGCAAAAAAUUAAAUAGUGUGAGUUGGAAUGAAUAAAGUUUUAAUCAAAAUUGGAAAUUAAGGUGAAACAUCCUAAAUUAUAUACAAAAGCUCAUAUAAUAUUACACCAUAAUUUCUCUAAAUUAAUCUUAACCUUUUAGUGCAGUGUGUACAGUCAUUGCUUGUUUGUGGAUUAGAAUUAGUAUCUUCUGCUGCUGAUCUGGUAUCACAACUUCUCUGCUCAUCAUUGUACUCUAUCAUUGUCUGAUGGUCGCGCCUGGUGGCUUCUGUGUUGUCACAGCUUCUCCGAGCAUCACUACUGGUAUCUUCUGGGAUGUUUCUGUUUAUAACAUCAGGUGUAUAUAUAAGAUGGAACCCACACUCUUUCACUUCGACUGGUGUACCGUCCAAGCUAUGAAAUGAAGCCUUCAAACGUCUCCAUUCGUUCGACCAAUACUGGUUGCCAAUAACAACCUUGGGAUAAUAAGUCACACACAUUUGACUUGAUUCACCGCAAAUUCGGCAGCAAUAAGACCGGACAUCAUCCACGUGACAGCAUUCAGAUUGAUCACCACAGAUAUUGAGUUCGCAAUUCAACCAACCACAAGCCAUAGGAAUAAAAACAGAGUAUAAAGCAAAUCCUAAGAAGCCAUCUUUUCUGUACAAAUCCGUAGAAAGCUCUAUUGUUAUUUGAGAUCCUUUUUUUGGCUGGCUUAUCCACUCUGGAAUUCCAUCAUUUCCCGAAAUAACAACUCUGAUUGCCUUGUUCCAAUAGGAGCCGCAUUCAAAUUCCUGCACAGAAGUACAGUGUUAAUACUCUGUUCAUAAGGAAAAAGGGCUGAAUGUUAUGAAAAUCAUACCUCAAUCAUUGAUUUGAAGCAUUUGAACAGAGAAAAACCAAGUUGACUUGAUGGACUUGAUAAAGUUUCCAAGCAUGUGCAACUGUGGACAUCUAGAACUCGUAAACUUGGUGGAAACUCUGGAACUUGUAGAAGCCCCUGGCAGUGACUCAAUUCAAGGACUCUCAGUUUAGAAAGUUGAAUGAUGCCUGCAAGUAUGCUACUAAAACAGUCCUUGCUUAGAUUUAGACCUGAAGCGUACAAACCCUCUAAACAUUGCAAACUCCUCAGGUUCUCGGGAAAUCUCUCAAGUUUUGUACAGAAACUGACAUUUAGAAUUUUGAGAGUUUUCAAAUUACAAAAGGCCUCUGGAAGACUCACAAGGUAUUGCGAGAUUCAAAUAUUGAAGCCCUCUUAGAUAUUGAAUUGAUGCUGGUAGUUCUUCGAUAGCAGUUCCAUCUAAAUGAAGCUCUCUUAUAUUUUCCACAUCCUCGAGGAUUUCCGGAAAGCUCCUUAAUCGUGAACAGCCUGAGCAGAAGAGAGUUGUAAGGGAUUUCAACUCACAUAUGCUACUGGGAAGAAGCUCAAGGUUUUUGCAUUCUCGCAAACAUAACCUAUUAAGUUUAUGGGGACACUCAACAGUGGGUAGUUCAUUGAUGGCAUUUCACUUUAAACAAAGCUUCCAUAGGGAUUGCACAUCCUCUUGACAUUCCCGGCAAACGGUGGAUAUCAUUGCUUUACCAUGGUUCUGUUCAUGAUCAUGGGCAUAUAUAAGAUGGAUCCCACACUCUUCUACUUUCACUGCUUUACCUCUCAAGUAGCCACAAAAUGAAGCCGUCAACUGCCUCCAUUUAUUUGAGUGGUACUUCUCCUCAAUCUCAUGCUUAGGAUAAUAAAUCAUCCACAUACAAGGUACAACAUAGACGUGAAAUGAGGGAUAAAACUGGAGUUUAUCCACAAACUGAAUUUCAUGACCACGCAAAGUUAAACCAUACUCGAAGUAAGUUGCACCAUUCUCCAGUGUCUCCUCAGAUUCAUUAUCCAGUGGAUAAUAGACACAGUACAAAACAAAACCCAACAAGUCGUCAUUUUUAUACCAAUUUUGAGGAAGCUUUGCUACUACUUCAGCUCCCUUUUUGUGAUGGCUUAUCCAAUCUGGAAUUCCACAACUUUCUGAAAUAAUAAGAUUUACUCGGGCAAAAGGUUUUUCUAAAGGAUAAAUCUUGCAUUCCAAAUCCUGCAGAAAAUUUAAUUAACACUUAAAUCCCCAUGUCUCCACAAAAAAAGUUUUGGUCUAUGAAUAUCAUACCUGAAUCAAUGAUUUGAAGCAGUUGAAUAGAGAAGACCAGAGUAGACCUGAAGAAGUUUCCAGCCGUUUGCACAAAUGUAUAUCUAAGACACGCAAACUGGAUGGAAGUGCUGGAAUUUGUCGAAGCUCUUGACAGUUACCCAAGACAAGGAGUCUCAGCCUAGAAAGUUGAUUGAUCCCAGCAGGUAUGCUCCUAAAAAGAUUCCCGAAUAGAAAUAAUUCUUGCAGAGAUGAUAGCUGGCAAAUUUCAGUGGGGAUUCCUCCUUCAUCUAUACCACACACACGUAGAUCUACAACUUCCAAGGAGUACAAGCAGCAAAUAUCACUCAGGACUACUCCUUGCAUUAGCUUUGAGUAAAUAAGAUCUAACUCCUUUAAGGAGCAUAAACCUGACAAAGAAAGCAAUUGGCAACAUCUUGAAUUUAAGCCCCUAGCACGGAGACACUUCAAGCUUUGCAGCCUCCCCAGGUUUUGUGGCAAUUUGUGGAGUUUUGAACAGUAAUUCACAUUGAGAUCUUCAAGAAAGCGUAAAUUACAAAUGCUUUCUGGAAGAGUCACAAGGUUUUUGCACCUCUCAAGAUUCAAAACUUGAAGCCUAUUCAAAUGUUCGAUUGAAGAUGGUAGCUCUUUUAUGGCCGUUCCGUUCAAGUGAAGCUGCCUUAAGUUUUCCAUAUUCUCCAAGAUUUCUGGGAAGUACUGUAAUUGUGAACAGUCAGAGCAAAAGAGAGAUUUUAGGGAUUUGAACUCCCAAAUGCUUGUUGGUAGACUCUCAAGGUUUUUGCACUCUCGCAAACAUAAGGUAUCAAAUUCAGAGGCACACUCAAUGGGUGGUAGGCUGAUUGUCUGACCCUUUAAACAAAGCUUUCGGUGUUCCACAUUCCUCUGACAUUCAGCGCAGCUAGCAUCCACAUCAUCAGUCUGUACUAUUGGAUCUUGGGCGUAUAUAGGUUCAAGCCCACACUUGAGCACCUUAAAAUGAUUGCGACAGCCCAUAAAUAUAGCCCCAAGAAACAUGGAUGGAUUGGUGUGACAGCUCUCCAGAAUAGCAGCCUUGGGAUAGAAUAUCACCCACAUUUGUUCUGAUCCACCUCCAUCAUGGUAGCAUUUACAAGUAGUGCGAAAACUGAGACGUUGCGCACACAGGGUAGAAAAUCCAUAUCUAUCAUGUAAUGACAAUUUACAUUCUAACCCAGUGGAGAUUGAAGAUUCAGCUUCAAGUAAAUCGUCAUAUUCAUUUAGGGCUUCGUCACCAGAUUCAUUCUCCGAUGUAUGUGCAAAAUCAUUUUCUGGUAUGUCCUCACAUUCAUCGUGUGGAGCAUAAACACAGCAUAUAGCAAUUCCCAAGAAGUCAUUAUUUUCGUAACAAUUCUGAGGAAGGUCCAUUGUGAUAUGAUUUCCCUCUCUCUGAUUCCUUAUCCACUUGGGAAUUCCACAGCUUCCCGGAACAACAAUACAGACUCCAUUGCCAAUGAAGUCAGAAUCACGGAGAAAUACUUCAUUUGAACUGCUCUUGUAUUUCAAAUCCUGUACAAAAGGACAAUGUAAAUCCUGUGGGUCUGUGCCAUUAUGUGAGUUUUUAUGAGAGAGUUUGUUAUCAGUUUUUGAUAAAUUGAUUCCCAGUUUUAACUUUCUUUGAUCUAUGCUCCUGAAUCUACUUAAUAUCCCUUUUAGAUGACGGAUUAUCAAUCAACAUGAAAGUGAGUGACAAGAUUAAGUGUGAAAACUGGAAGUGAGGGGAAACUGAAACUGAAAGUGAGUAGAAUAACCAGAUCUCUUCUUCACUUGCAGUAGCUUCUUCUCCAUUCAGAUACAGAGAUCUUAGAAUUGUAGCUUCAACUUAACUCUCAGAAUCUUAAAGACAAAGUUCGCUCAAGUUUCAAAAACUCACACAAAAAUUUCUCCUCAUGUUUCUCUUAAUCCUAUGAGGCGAGAGACAUGUAGCACACACUUAUUGGCUUUUUUACAUGCAAGUUUCAAGGUGGAGCGUCUAAUGAACUAAAACAUUCCCUCAAAUCCCAGUGGAAAUUCACACUAGAAAUUGCAGAAUUUGCUAAGGAAAAGUUUAAUUCAUUUAAUCCAUGAAUAAAAAAGUAUGUGAGAGCAUUUUAACAUCCUAAUACUUAUUAUAUUAAACUAUAAUUCUCAUUAUUUAAACUCAUGAUCCUUCACUUCAUCACCAAAUUUUGAAGACACUUUUGGCAUCUCUUCCAUGAAUUAAUUGAUGUUUAAGAAGGUAUAAUAAACUUUUAAUUGAAUUUAACAUUAUUUCUAUCCUAAUACUCAUCUUAAACUCUGUUUUUUUUUUUUUUAUACUCUUAUCAAAACAAAUAAAAACUUAACAAAAAAAUAAAGAUUUCAAUUACUCCGUGUUCAAAAGGGAAAAUGGCUAAAUGUCAUGAAAAUCAUACCUCAAUAGUUGAUUUAAAGCAUUUGAACAGAGAAACACCAAGUAGACAUGAUGGACUUGAUAAAACUUCCAAGCAUGUGCAACUGUGGACAUCUAGAACUCGUAAACUUGGUGGAAGCUCUGGAACUUGUAGAAGCCCCUGGCAGUGACUCAAUUCAAGGACUCUCAGUUUAGAAAGUUGAAUGAUGCCUGCAAGUAUGCUACUAAAACAGUCCUUGCUUAGAUUUAGACCUGAAGCGUACAAACCCUCUAAACAUUGCAAACUCCUCAGGUUCUCGGGAAAUCUCUCAAGUUUUGUACAGAAACUGACAUUUAGAAUUUUGAGCGUUUUCAACUUACAAAUGGCCUCUGGAAGACUCACAAGGUUGCUGCAAUCUGCAAGAUUCAAAUGUUGAAGCCCUCUUAGAUAUUGAAUUGAUGCUGGUAGUUCUUCUAUAGCAGUUCCAUCUAAAUGAAGCUCUCUUAUAUUUUCCACAUCCUCGAGGAUUUCCGGAAAGCUCCUUAAUCGUGAACAGCCUGAGCAGAAGAGAGUUGUAAGGGAUUUCAACUCACAUAUGCUACUGGGAAGAAGCUCAAGGUUUUUGCAUUCUCGCAAACAUAACCUAUUAAGUUUAUGGGGACACUCAAUAGUGGGUAGUUCAUUGAUGGCAUUUCCCUUUAAACAAAGCUUCCAUAGGGAUUGCACAUCCUCUUGACAUUCCCGGCAAACGGUGGAUAUCAUUGCUUUACCAUGGUUCUGUUCAUGAUCAUGGGCAUAUAUAAGAUGGAUCCCACACUCUUCUACUUUCACUGCUUUACCUCUCAAGUAGCCACAAAAUGAAGCCGUCAACUGCCUCCAUUUAUUUGAGUGGUACUUCUCCCCAAUCUCAUACUUAGGAUAAUAAAUCAUCCACAUAUAAGGUACAACAUUGCCGUAAAAUGAGGGAUAAAACUGGAGUUUAUCCACAAACUGAAUUUCAUGACCACGCAAAGUCAAACCAUACUCGAAGUAAGUUGCAUCAUUCUCCAGUGUCUCCUCAGAUUCAUUAUCAAGUGGAUAAUAGACAGAGUACAAAACAAAACCCAACAAGUCGUCAUUUUUAUACCAAUUUUGAGGAAGCUUUGCUACUACUUCAGCUCCCUUUUUGUGAUGGCUUAUCCAAUUUGGAAUUCCACAACUUUCUGAAAUAAUAAGAUUUACUCGGGCAAAAGGUUUUUCUAAAGGAUAAAUCUUGCAUUCCAAAUCCUGCAGAAAAUUUAAUUAACACGUAAAUCCCCAUGUCUCCACAAAAAAAGUUUUGGUCUAUGAAUAUCAUACCUGAAUCAAUGAUUUGAAGCAGUUGAAUAGAGAAGACCAGAGUAGACCUGAAGAAGUUUCCAGCCGUUUGCACGAUUGUACAUCUAAGACACGCAAACUGGAUGGAAGCACUGGAAUUUGUCGAAGCUCUUGACAGUUACUCAAGACAAGGAGUCUCAGCCUAGAAAGUUGAUUGAUCCCAGCAGGUAUGCUCCUAAAAAGAUUCCCGAUUAGAAGUAAUUCUUGCAGAGAUGAUAGCUGGCAAAUUUCAGUGGGGAUUCCUCCUUCAUCUAUACCGCAGAAAGAUAGAUCUAACACUUCCACGGAGUACAAGCAGCAAAUAUCACUCAGGACUACUCCUUGCAUUAGCUUUGAGUAAAUAAGAUCCAACUCCUUUAAGGAGCAUAAACCUGACAAAGAAAGCAAUUGGCAACAUCUUGAAUUUAAGCCCCUAGCACGGAGACGCUUCAAGCUUUGCAGCCUCCCCAGGUUUUGUGGCAAUUUGUGGAGUUUUGAACAGAAAUUGACAUUGAGAUCCUCAAGAAAGCGUAAAUUACAAAUGCUUUCUGGAAGAGUCACAAGGUUUUUGCACCUCCCCAGAUUCAAAACUUGAAGCCUAUUCAAACGUUCGAUUGAAGAUGGUAGCUCUUUUAUAGCCGUUCCAUUCAAGUGAAGCUGCCUUAAGUUUUCCAUAGUCUCCAAGAUUUCUGGGAAGUACUGUAAUUGUGAACAGUCAGAGCAAAAGAGAGAUUUUAGGGAUUUGAACUCCCAAAUGAUUGUUGGUAGACUCUCAAGGUUUUUGCACUCUCGCAAACAUAAGGUAUCAAAUUCAGAGGCACGCUCAAUGGGUGGUAGGCUGAUUGUCUGACACUUUAAACAAAGCUUUCGGUGUUCCACAUUCCUCUGACAUUCAGCGCAGCUAGCUUCCACAUCCUCAGUCUGUACUAUUGGAUCUUGGGCGUAUAUAGGUUCAAGCCCACACUUGAGCACCUUAAAAUGAUUGCGACAGCCCAUAAAUAUAGCCCCAAGAAAAAUGGAUGGAUUGGUGUGACAGCUCUCCAGAAUAGCAGCCUUGGGAUAGAAUAUCACCCACAUUUGUUCUGAUCCACCUCCAUCAUGGUAGCAUUUACAAGUAGUGCGAAAACUCAGAUGUUGCACACACAGUGUAGAAAAUCCAUAUCUAUCAUGCAAUGACAAUUGACAUUCUAACUCAGUGGAGAUUGAAGAUUCAGCUUCAAGAAAAUCGUCAUAUUCAUUUAGGGCUUCAUCAUCAGAUUCAUUCUCCGAUUUAUGUGCAAAAUCAUUUUCUGGUAUGUCCUCACAUUCAUCAAGUGGAGCAUAAACACAGCAUAUAGCAAUUCCCAAGAAGUCAUUAUUUUCGUAACAAUUCCGAGGAAGGUCCAUUGUGAUCCUAUUUUCCUUUCUCUGAUUCCUUAUCCAGUUGGGAAUUCCACAGCUUCCCGGAACAACAAUACAGAUUCCAUGGCCAAUGAAGUAAGAAUCAGAGAGAAAUACUACGUUUGAACUGCUCUUGUAUUUCAAAUCCUGUACAAAAGGACAAUGUAAAUCCUGUGGGUCUGUGGCAUUAUGUGAGUUUUUAUGAGAUAGUUUGUUGUCAGUUUUUGAUAAAUUGAUUCCCAGUUUUAACUUUCUUUGAUCUAUGCUCCUGAAUCUACUUAAUAUCCCUUUUAGAUGACGGAUUAUCAAUCAACGUGAAAGUGAGUGACAAGAUUAAGUGUGAAAACUGGAAGUGAGGGGAAACUGAAACUGAAAGUGAGUAGAAUAACCAGAUCUCGUCUUCACUUGCAGUAGCUUCUUCUCCAUACAGAUUCAGAGAUCUUAAAAUUGUAGAUUCAACUUAACUCUCAGAAUCUUAAAGACAAAGUUCGCUCAAGUUUCAAAAACUCACAGAAAAAUUUCUCCUCAUGUUUCUCUUAAUCCUAUAAGGCGAGAGACAUGUAGCACAAACUUAUUGGCUUUUUUCCAUGCAAGUUUCAAGGUGGAGCGUCUAAUGAUAUAAAACAUUCCCUCAAAUCCCAGUGGAAAUUCACACUUGAAAUUGCAGAAUUUGCUAAGGGAAACUUUAAUUCAUUUCAUCCAUGAAUAAAAAAGUAUGUGAAGGCAUUUUAACUUCCUAAUAAUUGUUAUGUUAAACUAUAAUUCUCAUUAUUUAAACUCAUGAUCCUUCACUUCAUCACCACAUUUUGAAGAGACUUUUGUCAUCUCUUCCAUGAAUUAAUUGAUGUUUAAGGAGGUAUAAUAAACUUUUAAUUGAAUUUAACAUUAUUUAUAUCGUUAUACUCAUCUUAAACUAUUAUUUUUUUUAUACUCUUAUCAAAAUAAAUUAAAACUUAACAAAAAAAAAAUUAAAGAUUUCAAAACAAACUUUAUAAAUUUAUCAACACUUAUUUACAUCAUUCUUUAAAGAAAUAAAUUUAUAAUUAAAAAAAAAAGAAGUGAUUUAAGAAUUAUAAAGAAGAAAAUUUUAAGAAAAAAUGUACUAGUUAUUUGAAAUAAAAUAUAAGGGAAAUCAAAAUUCUUAGUAAAUGAAUCCUCAAAAAAUUGUAACAGCUAUGCAAAUGAGAAAAAAAAUUAAAAGUAAAAAAAAAUUAUCAAUGUCAAGAAUGAGAAACAAUUUUUUUCUUUUUCUUUUCGUAAGUUUUUUUAUUCUUAUUUAAUGUAUUCAUUACAAUUUUUAAAUUAAUAAAUAAAGUUUUUAUCACAAAAUUUUAAAAUGCCAUGUAUGCUUCAAAAUUUAUAUAUUGUUAUUAGAUUUUUAUAAAUUUCAUUUAUAUCUUCAAAAUUACAAUUAUUAAACUCACAUUUUAAAAUAAGAUAUCAUAUAGUUAUUUUUUCAUCCUUUAGCAAUAUAAAACGUUUUCGUACUUUAAUAAAAAAAACUUUUUUUUUUCUAAAUAAUGACUAUUUUGUAUAAUAUUAGUAUAAACUAUUUAACAUAUAAGUACUACUCAUUCAAUAGUUUAUUUUUUUAAUUUAUUAGAGAAAGAGUGGUGCAUAUAUAAUUCAAAUAAAAGGUAAUUUCAUAUUGCAAAAAAGUUUGUGGAAAAAGGAAAUUUGAACAAGCAUUGAAAUUUAUAGGAACAAUAUUGGAAACCUAGUUUUAGGUUUGUCCCAUACCAACAAUCAUGACUUGGUAGUAGCCUAAUCUCAUAUCUAACUUUGUCAAGCCCUUCCUUUACUAAGUUGAUCAAACAAGUUGUUAAAAAGCAUAAUACAAUAUUUUUCACUUUCACCUUGUUGAGUCUUCGAUAAUCUAUACACAUUCAAAGGGAUCCAUUAUGUUUCUUUUAGAAUAAUAUUGGUGUGGCAUACGAAGCUUUAGUUUGUUGGAUGUAUCCCAUGUUAAGCAACUCCUUAAGUUGUUUCCUUAGUUCUUCUAAAUUACGUAGUGCCAUCCUAUUGGACCUCCAUGGCAAAGGGCUUAGCUCCUGGCUCUAAAUCAAUCUUGUGCUCCCCUUCCCUUAUUUGUGUGAAUUUCUUAUGUAAAUUUAAUGGCAUCUAAGGAUGACAAAGUUUGAUACAAUUUGUACGUCAACCAGACUUGAACCCGAGCAUUUUUAGUGAGUUUGUGUUUCCAUACCGUAAGUUGGAUUCAUGAAAGUCUCAGACUUGAAUCAAUUGAAUUAAAAAUAAAUAUUCAUGUUGUUAUUAAUUUAGUUUCUUUUACUUAGUUUUACUAAAUAAAAUUUUAUUCACAUAUUGUUUUUCACUUUAGGAUUUAAAUAAAAGUGAUUCAUUUAUCCUAGUAUUGACAAAUUCCAUAGCCAGACCUAGAGGAUGAUACUCGGAGUACUAUAAAAGUUGUAGUGACUUUUUCUCUGAUUUUUCUUAAUCAAAGUUACUACAUAAAAAGACUUAGUAUUUGAACAAUAGAGAAGAAUGGUCAAAAUUCAAGUAAAAUGGAAUGAUUAAUAUUAAUGAAUUUUUACCAUAAUAAAGAAUGAUACUUGAUUCUAGACUACUUAGGUAUGGAUUAAAAGAUUAACAUUAGAUAGAAUAACUCACGUAUAUUAAAGCAUUUUGCUAAGUUCUUUUUAUCCUUGAUCUUUUAUGAGAUUGAGCCAAUAAGGUUACACUUAAAAAUUUAAUGUGUUUGAAACACUCCUCUAAAAUCAAUCAUUCAAAUAUUAGAAAACAAGUAAAAUAUUUUUCAUAUGCUGAUUAAUAUACCCAAGGUAGUUCUUGAAUUAUCCUAACACAAAUAUCUUGCGAGUCUUAAUUUUGUCAAAUCAAUAUAUAUCUUUAGAUUUCUAAAGAAACUACUAUACUCGCGCACAUUCAUCCAUGAGUUAGGUAGAUUUUAUCUCUUGUAAGAGUUCAAAGAUACUGCAAACAAAAUUCACUGUACAAUUAAUAUCUCUCAAUGGUAUGUUAUUCAACUAAAACUAGUAGUGUCUUAUGUUAAUGGGCUUAGUUUUAUAAUGUAAAACUAGAUCUUUAAUACAUUAAUAGCUCUCAUGUUAUCACAAGGCAUAAUUAUGAUUUAUCACUCUCACCAUAAUCCUUUUAACAUACGUUUUAUCGAAAGUAAUUGCUUGGUUUGUUAGCUUCUUAUUAAGCUAGGCAACUGAGCAAUUAAAAUAUAGAAACAUCCCCUAUAAGUGUUCUUCCGUUCUUUAGACCUUCCAUCCCUAUUCAACAUUUGUAUGAAAAAUGUUGUCUACAAAUAUAUUGGUGUAAUACCACAAUCCAAGUUUAUAAGUACCAACCACAAAUAUAAUGAUUCUAUUAACAACUCCAAGGUGUGAUUUCUUAGGAAGAUUCUUAUCACGCAUAAACUCCAGUUCUAUAGGUUUAUCCAGCCUAAAUGUCAUUACAUAAAGAAGGCUUCCAACCAUUGAUCUACAGGUGGAUAGAUUUACAAACUUACCACUCCCAUCUCUUGUAAAAAUUUUCCUACAACUUUUCUAUUGUCGUGACCUAGCUAAGUUCAGCCAUUUUAAUUUAGCUUAUAGAGAGGGCCCCAUCGCUAACAUUUCCAAUCACAUUGUUGAUAGGAUGAUCACUAAUUUCUCUAAUUUUGCUCCAUGUGGAUGUUUGCUUGAUUUUCAUUGAGUUCAUUCACAUUCUCAAUCAUUCAACUCUUUUUUCUCACCUAAAUCUAGAAUGUUUGAUGAAAUAUCCUUAAGAAAAACACAUUAUUUUCUUUACUUCCUUAGUCAUCUAUCAAUACAUUGAUCGAUUCAAUUACAACUCUUUAAUUAUUAAAGAAGAUCUUAAAGGCUUUAAGCCAAGUUGAGUAUCUAACAAAAAUUCUUUCAACAUGCUUUGAUUCAAACAUCCCUAAUUUUUUAGAAUUGUUUGGAUAAGACAUUGUUCCUAAAAACUAUAUUUUACAUUAAGCUUCCUACUUGUCUAAACAUCAUAGCAAGUCCUUUUGGUUCUAACGUAUAGGUGGACUCAAUUAGAAGUACAAGAUGUUGUGUUUAUGGGUUAACCUGACAAGUUGUUAGAGCCUUUGGAUUAAUCCAUUCUAAACCUAGGAUCGUUGGGGUGUUUGCAAAAACUAUCUUAAGGAUCUUUAGAUCUACCCAACAAAAGCAUAUACAUGAAAAAAAUACACCUGCAAACUUUAUGUUUCCAAAAUGAUUUCAGUCUAUGAAGAAGCUAGUGCAAAUCUCAAAAACCAAGAGAUCUUUUGCUCAAUGGCUCUCUUUCCUGGAUCUAGGCACUUGUAGAUGGUGAAAUCCUCAUAGAAGGGUGGAUGCUAAGGUUCCUCUCUCUAGAUUCUAAAGAAAUGGAAGAAGAAUAAAAAAGUCCUAACCCUUAAAUGGGUUUAUAUAGGAUUCCCUAUGGGCUUAAGUGACUUGAGUCUAUCUUAGGCUUAGGGGUCGCUAAAAAAAGCCCACUUGGAUCUUAGUUAAAUAAUUAGCCCUAUUAAGGUCCAAUUAAUUAAUUAUCCUUUUCCAAAAACAUCAUUCAUAAGAUCUAAAACAACUUUGCAUUUUUACCAAAACACCCUUAUGCACAUGUAUGAAUAAAUAACCUAUACAUCCCUUAAGUAAUGUGUCACAUAGAAGUAUGAACUCAAGUAGGGACCAUUAGGAGUGGUAGGAAAAUAGUGGCUCCUGUAUAAUUUAAUUCUAAAGUUGACUUAACAUCCUUCUACAAAAAAUCAAUUGCACUCUAAUAUCCUAUGAUAUUACAUUAAUAUAAAAUACAUGGGUUUGUGACCUACUAACGACUAAAAGCUAGCUCCUCAUGAAUUGGCGUCCAUAAUAUAACAAGGUGAACACUUUCAAUCUUUUAAGAUUAACUUUACAAUCCUUAUGUUAUAGAUCAUCCCAUUAAGUGAUAAAUUGACAUACUAUAACCCACAACGAACAUAUGGUAACUUCUACUAAACGAAUUACUGCAACCAUAGAUUUUGUCAUGACUACCUCAAUAGCUAAUGUCAUAAUUCAUUGUAAAUUUUGUCUAAUGUGCAAUAAUAUAUACUAAUGCACUCACCUUAGAAACCUCAUCCGAAUGACUAAGAUAAGUCAACUCGCUAAUUAGAAGGUAGUGCACUAUAAUCUCAAAUGGAUUGCCUAAAUUCAUCAACCAACUAUGAACAAAUCAUAAAUCUUGCAAGGAACCCAUGACUUGAAUCUUUCACAUAACUGCUAAUGUACUUAAGUUAUGUAUAAUACCACUACUGCAUGCAUGAAUACUCAAAUCAAUAUCAAUGUGAACAUGGAUAAAUUAGUGGAAACUCAAGCCUAACGGUGUUACAUCAUCUCUUGCUUGCAAGGGCUUUACCUUAACACCAAUAAUCAGGUAGGUUCUUGAAAUCCAAUAUAAUAUGUGCUAUUUCUUGGAGCACUUUAUUUUUCCUUUCAAUAACUUCAUUUUCUAUGGAGUUUUAGAUGUUGAAAGCUCUUCUUUAAUUUCCUUCUCACAAAAACUCUAGAAGUUAGAAUUACAAACUCAUUUCCUCUAUUAUUUCUUAUUUUUCUUACUUAAAAUUCAUUUUUAUUCAUCAUUUGAAAGCAUAACACUUUGAAUUUUAGGAUGUACUUCUUUCUUUCUAAGCAUUGCACUCUCAUAGGACCUAUGAUGAAAAUAUCGUUAAUCAUGGAUAUAUCGAUACUUCGAUUUUACGGAUAUAUCGGAGAUAUAUCGACGGAUAUUUUGGAAAAAAAUAUCGAUAAGUCUAAAACUGAUCAGAAUUUGUAAAAAUAUAAGAAAAACUUCAUAAAAAUGUAAUGAGAAGUAUAAUGAUAUUUUUAAACUGUUUUAUUAAAUAAUUUGAUAUAUGUAUAAUAUGAUUUAUCAUAUUUGAUAAUAAUAUCGUAUGCAUCGACAAAAAUAUGAAUUUUAUAAGUGUACAUUUAUUAUUAAAUUACAUUUAAUAUUAUGAUAUUUGAUUAUAAUAUGUAUAAUUUUAAAAUAUAUAUUAAUAUUAAAAUUAUGAUACAUUUAAUUCAAUUGUAUUAAACAAUAUAAAAUAAAUUAUAAUAUAUGUACAAUUUUUUAAUAUUUAAUUAAUUAUUAAUGAUAUUAAAAGCACUAUGAAGAAAAUUUUAUAAUUUUAAUAUUUUUGGUAAUCAAUUAAAAGAAAAUUUUGCAUUUAAUUAUAAAAUAAUUAUAAUUAAUUUGCUCUUUAAAAUAUUUUUUUUAAUAUUUUCCUUAUAUAAUAAGUUUAACUAUAUAUAUGUUUAGUACAUAUCAUAUAAUAAGGGUAAGUUAGCUUGGAUGGCAAGUGGGUUGAACCUCAAACCUUUUGGUUUGGGGUUCGAAUCCCCUCAACUUCAAAAUGAAGGGUUAUCGCUGAUUUUUUUGGAUUUCUCUCGAAAUUUCGUCAGAUCGAUAUUUCUCCAUGAAAUAUCGUAUCGAUACCCUCCGAUACAUGAUACAUUGGCGAUAUAUUGCCAACAUAUCGCAAUAUUUUCUUCCUUGCAUAGGACCCAUUAAAUCCAUAUGUAACAUCUCUAAGAGCCUAGAAAAAGAGAACAUCAUUUUUCUAUCACUCAUGUGAAUUCAUUGUCCUAGGUAGGACAAAUAGGAUUUUUAGGCUUUCCUAAAUGGGAAUUGCUUUAAUUAGUUCUUUAUUUGUAAUCCUAGACAAAUCAUUAGAGUUUAAAUGCGCUAUCAUACAAUGCUACAUGUCUUUGGAUGUAGAUUUCACAUUUUACAACUAUGUGCACUAUAGAUGAUGAGGAAAAAGUAGAGAGGUGUACAAAAGCAUAACAAAAAUUAUCAAAAAUUCUAUUUCUUACCAACACACAUCCUUGAAUAGACACUGAUUUUGAGUAAAAUGAACAAAGCACAUACAAUCACAAAUUUAACUUGCGUUAAUUAAGUUUGCUUUCAAUCACUCAAUAUAUAGUAACUCCUCGAGUAUAGGUAAAUUUGGACCUUCUAUGGUACAUUUCGCUUUCAAGUUGGUUAUACAUAAUGCAACCAUCCCCAAAUACAACCAAGCUUCCCUUUAUAGGUUCAAACAUGGAGAAAGACUUUAAGUUCAUUGUUGCUUUUACCAUUCCCAAAUACAACCAAACUCCUAUGAGUUCAAAAUUCAAGAAAGAUCUAAGUUCUCUCUCAUACAACUAGAGUAGCCACUCUCAAAAUCCAAAACGUGUUUUUCUCUAGCUCUUAGGCCCUAUGAUCAACUAAGGCUUUUAGGUUCUCCGUAACCCAGAUUUUCUUUCCAAUGGGCGAUUUAAAACCUAUUCAAGAAUUGUUUUUAAAAUUAAUUUUUCAGUUCUUAAAAAUAGAAACCUAUUUUCUAGACUAAAACCAUGUUUGGCAACUUUUUGACAUAUUAUAGUUUGUUGAGAAUUUGUUCUGAAAAUAAGGUUUCUCCUAAUAACAUAUUUUAAUUGCUUUCAAUUGUUUUCAUUUAUUUUAUAGGGUUGUUUUAAGAAAAUAAUAAUAAAAAUAUAAAGAAUGAUGAAACAUAAACUAAAAACAAAAGUUAUUUUUAAGAAAUAUUUGAAAAUACAAAAAAUAUAUUAAAAAUGUUCUAAGUUUUUAAAUAGGCUUUUAUUUUAGAAGACAUUAGACCAACUAUUUUUGAAAACUUUUUUCAAUAACGGUUUUUUGAAGAAUUAUUUUCAAAAAAAUUCCUAAACAAACCCCUAACCUCUGAGGAUCUAAAACUUUGCACUAAGUUUGGCUUACAUUCAACUUCUUUUAUGGACAAAGCAAUGGAGCUAGAACAGAUUUCUUUCAAUUUAGUCAAUUCUUAUUUACGUGGCUCAUAAUCAGAUUGUAAGACAUUCAAUUUUUUUAACAAGGCACCAUGCUCAUUUUCAAGGUAAGAGAUUUUUUUCAAGCAAGGAAAUCUUCUCUCAUACUUCUUUUAUUCUCAUCCAACUUUCACAAUUUUCAUCUUAAGGCACUGAUCAUACAAGGCUUCCUAGGCAAUCUCAAAUUACAACUUUUCUUCCAAAUAUGUUGUAUCAUGAGAUGAACCUUCAAAAUUUUCAGAUUCAAGAUCAGUUUCAAAUUUAACAUUUUUCUUUUCAUUGCGAAGUGAUAUAGAAGGUUACAAGUAUAUCAACAAUUUCGUCAAGCAUAUCGUGCUCUAAAAGACACAAAUAUCAUCAACAUCAUGUGAUAAUAAUCAUAAUUAUGUUUAUGCAUGUUUCUAGCAAAUUAAUGCAAUGAAAUUUGUACACUCUUCAUCAAAAUCAUACCAAAUUACUUCUAUGACCUUAUCCUUCUGACAUUCAAGUAAGUGACCUUUCUCCACACAGUAGAAACCUUGAAUCAACUAGAUCUUUUUUGUGUUUUUUUUUUCUUUUUAUCACAUUUCUUUUCCCCUGUUUAUGGUCUCAAAUAGGUUAUCCUCUGUUUCUUGAAGCUUUUUGAACUUUUUGAAACUUUAUCAAGCCUAUAAAUUUCAAAUAUUGGUCAUUUUUUAUUCCUAUUCUGAUUUAAAUGCAUGUUCAUCUACUUUUAGUGCAAUAUUAAUGUUUCUUCCUCUUAGGAACAAUUGGGGUCAUCUCUAAUUGAAGGGAGCCAACUAUCUCAUCUAGCUUAAUUGAAUCAGCAGUGUUCCAUUCCUCUAUUGUUAUGACCUUAGGUCUAAAACGAACAGAGAAGAUCUUAACAGUUUUCAGGUAACCUUGGAAUCAAGUAAAGGCCUACAUAGAUUGAAAGUUAGCAUUCACAAUGUCCAUGAUUUCAAUAAUAUAUUCAAAAAAUAUUUUUGUUGUGAUCAUUUGAAAUUCAUUCCUUCACCUAUCCUACCUUUACAUAGUUUUACCUACCCUAGUGGAUAUAUAUCCUAUCUCUAUUUAGCACCAUAUGAGGAUAUCAACCAAAUUGAACAGAACUCCAAUCUCUGUUAGACUUCAUUUUAAGGAAGUAUAUCAGUUUUACCUUGGAAUGAGCAUAAUUAUCUCCUUUGAAGUAUGGAGGUCCACCUAUAGAGGUUCCUUCUCGGAGAAUUUCCAUCUUAAGAGAAUAUAGUUUAUCCGUAUUGAGAACAUGAGCAAACAUGUUUUGAUACAAUUUAUGAGUUUUUAAGAGAGUAUGCUAUGAACUUGAGAUCUCUUUUAGAUGAUCAAAUAACAUAUGCACAUGAAUGUCAUUGAGUGAUUAGCACAAGGUCACAAACCUCCCUAAUGAAAUCUCAACCAAAAAGCACACAAAUAUUGCACAAGAUAUAACAUAAAAAAAAUCUCUAAGUGGAGAAAGGAAAAAAAAAAAAAAACCAAUGGGUGCCUUUGUUGUUGCAAAUCCACUAUGAAUAUAAAUCCAGUUUUGCCUACAAUUCCCUCCACCAGUGAAAACAAAUGGUCUUAUAUGAUCAACUCCAUUUACUAUAGGGUUAUAAAGGAAACACUUGUGGGCUGGCAGGCAGUAGCUCCUCCCAACUCAUCAUAUUUCCAACCCCAUUUGCUCCAUCAAAUUCAUAAGAAGCUAACAAAACAACUAGCAUUUUAUAUCAUACAAUAUCUAUGCUAGUUAAUUUGCAUGGAAAAGACAAUUUCUACCCUAAAUAUGCCAACAUACAGGAAGACAUACAAUUUAUACAAACAUUGUACGCUAACACAAGAAAAUCAUACCUCACUUGCUGAUUUGAGGCAAUUCACCAGAGAAUGCAUAGGUGGCAAUGAGGUCCCAAUUGAGCUGUGCAUAUCUAACAGUCGCAGACUUGAAGGAAGCUCUGGAAUUUGUGAAACCUUCUUGCAGUGACUCAAGUCAAGGGCUCUAAGGUUAGAGAGCUGACUAAUACCCACAAGCAUGUCACUGAGGGUUCCUCCUUCCUCUGGAUUGCACCGACUUAGAUGUAAUACUUCCAGAGAGGAUAGAUGGAAAAUACAAUGGAAGACUCCUCCAUUUAGAUUGCAGUUUCUUAGACUUAAUUCUUUCAAUGCGUUCAAGCAGUUAUCACUCUUUAUUACUCCUGGUGUUAGAUUGCAUUGAUCUAAAUAUAGUUUCCUUAAGAGAGAUAAACCUGACAAAGAAGGCAAUUGACAACUGAGCGAAUUUAAAGAAAGAACCUCUAGACAUGGCAUUCUCUCCAGGUCCUCCGGCAAUCUGUCAAGUUUUGAACAGCCUUCAAGACUUAGAACUUCAAGAAAUCUCAAAUUACAAAUGCUGUUCGGGAGACCUUCAAGGUUUUUACAAUUAUCCAAAUACAAGUUGCGAAGACCUUCUAGAAGUUCAAUCGAUGAUGGUAGCUCUUUUAUAGCUGUAUUAUCUAAACUAAGCCUCUCUAGUUUUCCAAUACUGCGCUUGAUUUUUGGAAAACUAGUUAGUUGUGAACAGCCACUGCAAUGAAGUAUGAAAAGGUGUUUCAACUUAUGAAUGUCCCCAGGAAGAUUCUCAAGUCUUACACACCCUAUAAAAUUCGAGGAAAAAAAAAAGUUAGUUUAAUAACAACACUCUUAUAUGUGUGUGAACCUUAAGUAAAAUUAUACAACCUGAAAGAUUAAGUUCCUCCAAAUUUGGCACGUUUGAGAAAUUUGGUAGUUCAAUAAGCUGUUGUGAAUCAUUGAGAUUGAUGUACCUUAAAUUUCUAAGACACUGGAACAAAAUAGAAUUUCUAUUAAUAAAUCAAUUUUAACCAACUUUAAAAUAUUAUAAAACAAAAGCAUAAAUAAAUGAUUAUCAUACCAUGUUUCCUUUCCAAAGUCGUUUUAUGUUACUAUUGCUCAAACCGAGGAAAACAAGAUCAUUUGGAUGAAAGUUUGGUGGUAGAGAUUCUAAAGAAUAUCCAUCCCAACCGAGACAUGUCAAGUCAUCAGACGGAAAUACAAAAUCUUCAGGAAGUUGUUCUAUGCAAUUGUGGGAGAGGAUAAGCAAUCUAAGUCUAUUCAUCCUUUUGAAAGCUUUGCAUGUAAACUGUAUCUGUUCUGAUGUGUCCAUAUGAAAGAAUAUCCCUUCAAUUUUUUCAGUCCCCUAGAUAAUAAGAGUAUAAAAUUAGAAAAGCACGAUACAUGUAAAUCCUUACUAAGGUGAUAUAGAUGAAUAUAUAUAUAUAUAUAUCUUACCGUGUUUCUUUUCAAUACUCGAUAAAUAUCUGUAUGUCUCCAUAAUCUGCUCCUCUCUCCUGGCUCAUUAGGACAUUCUUCAUCAACAAUGCCCUUGCCCAUUUGGGCUAACAAAUCAUGCAUAUCUAUUGUAUUGUCCUCUAAAAUGGUUAUGAAACAUCUAUCAACGAGAACAUUUAUUCCACUUUCCGCUUCGCAUCCGGAACCAUCCAAUAUUCUUGAAACUGCUUCCACAUCACCUCCUUGAAAGAAACAUGCAAUGUCGAGAAAUAUCAUCUUUUGUGUAUAAUCCAAUCCAUCAAAACUUAUUUUAAGCACUUUUACAAUUUCCAUGUUAGGCACCUUUCCCAACUUCCGCAAUUCGCUUUUCCAAUCUGAUAGUCUCUUUCCAAAUAAUAGAGAACCCAAAACUUUAAGUGCUAAUGGAAGACCAUCAGCAUAUCGUACUACUUGAUGAGAGAGAUCUCCAUAACCUUCCUUCAGAUGAUGUUGUUUAAAGGCAUAAAGACAAAAAAGUUGAAGAGCUUCGUGAAAAUUUAAUUUCUCAACUUCAUACAUUUUCAUUUCAUGCCUAGUUAGCAAAUCUUUUUUCCUUGUAGUAAUGAUGAUUCUACUUCCUGGACCAAACCAAUUAUGCUUUCCAAUCAAGUGUUCUAAUUGUGUCAGCUCAUCUACAUCAUCCAGAAAAACAAGAACCCUUUUCGAGGAAAGCUUGUCCCUUAUUUCUUUGAUACCCUCAUGAACAUUCCUUAAAACUAUUUUCCUCGUUGUCCCUAGAAUAUCAUUAAGAAGUUGUUGUUGUAACUUAAGAAGACCACCAGAAUUUUCUGUGGAUUCUUUUCUGACAUCUGUGAGUAAGCUUACACUUUCGAAUUGAUUUGAGAUUCGGUUAUAAAGAGCAUUGAUGAUGGUGGUCUUGCCGAUACCACCAAGCCCAUAAACCCCGACCAUGCGAACAUCAUUCAACCCAAUCUCCAACAAUGAUAUUAGUCUUUCCAAACGAUAAUCCAUUCCGACAAUGUUCUCGGUAACAGCUAAAGUCUUAGGGAAGCUUCUAGGGACGUUCUCAAUAAUUUUAUCAAUAAGCUCUGUUUCAUACCUGCGAAUUGCAAAGCAUAAUGGGACAUGUGUACUGGCGCAUUAGGAUGAGUUGCAAAAAAUAAUAAAUUAUAUGAAAUAAAUUUAAUGAUGCCUAGUUUUCCAACUAUAACUUAGCAGGGCUAAAAGGAAUUUAAAUUAAAAUAAAAUAAACCACAUCUAUCAAACUACUCAUGAGUACAGUUUCAUUAUUCAAUAUAUAUGAUAGAAAUAAGAGAAGAAAAUGCAAAAUAUGAAUUGCAUUAUCAAAAGUGGAAAAAAAAACACUAAAAUAUUUUGUGUGUUAGCUUAUACUAUUCAAUCUUUUGAAAGGUUCAAAAUAAAGUUGAGUUGUCUAGAACAUUACUACCCUAUUUUGAUAAGGGAUUCCAUCAUAGGAUCAACUGCGCAUCCAAGCUUUUUAAUCUAAUAAUUUUACUACUGAUUAGAUGGUCAAGUUUAAAAUUUUAAUGAACAGAUCUUUAUUUUAUAAAUAAUAAAAAUAAAUAAAAAAUUAUAAAAGUUUAAAACUCACUUUAGCUUUAAGCGGUUAGUCAAAUAUCUCAUACUAAACAAGUUAGAUAUUUUUUAUAUCAGCAGAAAGAAAAAAGGACAGUGCUUCAAAUGACAAAUGAAGAGAAAUUACAAUUACCUGUCCUUCGCAUCAUAUCCGGCUAGAUUGCUUGCUUGCCUCAGGGCAAUCUUCCAUUUCCUUAUCUUUUCCUUUCUCUCCUCAUCUGCAUUCUUCUCAUGAUGGGUAAAUGCUUCUCCGUAAAUCUCAGUUUGGUUCCGCAGUUCAGACGGAUCUACAUGAUAGAAAAUUGGGAUAACUACCAUUUGUUCCCUUUCCUCUUUGCAUUUCAUGAUCUUGACAAGCUCUUCCAGACACCAUUUGGAAUGAGCAUAGGUUUUUGAGAAGACAAUAAUGGCACUCCUUGAUUCUUCAAUAGCUUUUAAGAGCUCUGGUGCAAUCUCUUCUCCCCUUGGAAGCUCUUCAUCAUCUCUGAAGGUAUGAAUAUUGUUACGAAUCAAAGCCGAGUAGAGGUGAUCGGUAAAGCUUUUGCGAGUAUCUUCACCUCUGAAACUCAAAAACACAUCGUAGCUCCACUGAGAGCGAGAAGUGAAAGAAGAAGAGGAUCUCUGGAUGCUAGGGGAGGCCAUGGUUGAACAGAAAUUGGAGGAAAAAUAAGGGCCUUCGGGUAUUCAGUGACUUAAUUCCCCUAGCCUUAAUGUGAAGUUUGGAUGUUGGUGGUGGGAUGUGCUUUUUCUUUCUCAAUUAUUUCUCCUUAGCUGUAUCCCUCUAGCUUUGAACUUUCACUUUUGUCCCUUUUGGCAGUCAACAAUGGCCGGCACUCUUCUCUCUGCAAUUUCCAAUUAAUUUCUAAAAUGUAAAAAAUAAAAAAUGAUCAAAUCCAUGUGGUCUUUACUUAGGUCAUAAGAUCGUGUGAACACACAUUAAAUUAAAGUUAUUCAAUUAAGUUUUGUCUUUUCCAUAAUUAGCAAUAUUACGGUAGAAAAUAAAGGUUUAUUAAGUUGAUAUGUCAAGUAAAGCUAACAACUUUGGUAUUAUAAGCUUGAUUUUUGUAGAUGGAAAAAUAUAAUGAGUCAUAUGACAAAAAAUAAAGAAAAUUUUGAUCUUGAAGAAUAGAAAGAAGCACAAAACCUUCAUGAAAGUUUAGGGAAGAAAGACCAUGCUCAAAACUCCAAAUUUAAAUUCUCACGGACUUUUCACAUUUUGCAGCUGGCUUUAUUAUUAAUAGAAGCACAUAAAUAAAUAUUGUAAUUAAAUCCCACUAAUUUAUAGGUCAUAAUGGUAUAUAUCGGUCAUCACAGUAAUUGAGUGGGAAGGUGGGUACCUGUAAAAAGAAUAGACCAAACCAAUCACCCUAAAGUACCUUUAUCAUAAAAGUCAUUGAGGUCCUAAUGGUAAUAAUGGUGGAUAUCUUUGGAAAGAGAAAACAAUCCUAAAUUUCAAAAGAACGUCUGUUUCUUGGCAAUUGUAUCCCCGACAGCCUUAUCUUUUUUUACUUUAUAUCUUUUUAUUAUUAUUAUCGUGAGGAUGGUUAAAGAUGAUAUUAGAUAUGUAAUCUUUCUAUGGUUUAAAAAUGAAAAAUGUGAGUGUUAAGUUGGCAUUUUUACCAUUUAGAAAAUACUUGAUUUUAAGAUCAUUAAUAGGAAGAAAUAAAGAGUUCCAAAAAAUAAAGAAGCUUUUAUUGACUAAUCUAGGCAACCCCUUUCUUGGCUUUUAAUUGUAUCUACUUUGUCGAAAAUCUCAGUCAUUCCUCCUUGUCUUCCUUUUGUUAUUCCUAAGUUCCAACUCUUUUUUUUUUUUUUUAAAUAAUAAUAUUAGUUUUAUGUUUUAAUGAAAUGGGUUGCAAAUUUGAAGAAAACAUAUUCUUGUGUAUUUAUUGACUAUGACCCUUUCUUCACAAAGGUUAACGUUAUUUACAUUCUCAAACUAAUCUUUGAUGAGUUUGAGUUUUUCUUUACUAACAAAACUUCUACCAUAUCUUUCUUGUAGGAACAAAGUCAAAUGACCAUAUUUUGAGACUUAUAUGAAUGGUCUCAACCAUCCAAUCCAAAUACCUACUCAACCCACAACUUCACUCCCACCAAACAACCUUUCGACUAUUAACAUUAUACUAAGAUUUCUUACCUUUGCUAUUCAAAUUAUCGUAAUAAUGUACAUCUUCUAUUUUAUAUUUUUAAUACAUUCCAUUUAAAUUUAACUUCUUACAUCCUUUAACACCUUAUUGUGCAUUUGUGGUUAUUUUUCUAAGCUGUUUUUUAACUUUCAUUGGUGGUUCAUUGUAAUUAUGUUGGUUACUGGGUUUUUUUAUUCUAUUUUAUGCAAGAGACAUUUUGAAAGGAUUAGGUGCCUUCCAAUCUUGAUUUUAGUGAUUUUUAAAUCUUAGUUUAGGACUUUGUUUUUGAUUGAUUUAUAACAUAUUUAGGUUUGUUUAGAAUUUUAAAACUUUAAUUGCAUAAAAUAGAUUCAAGAUUUGAAUUAAUUAAUAAUUGAUUUCAUUCUCCUUUAAAAUGUAGAAUAUGAUAAACGACUUGAUAGCAAAUUCAAACAAAUCUUUAUCCAAAUGAGAAUUUAUGUAAUCUAAUCAUUUUAUUAAAUAUCACCUAGUAAAUUAUAAAAAUAAAGAUAUUAAUCACAUUUGUUAAUAUGUUUUUUUUAAAUUGACAAAUUAUGAUGAAAUUAUAAUCUUUUCAAUAUUUUAUUAAUUAUUAAUUAAAACAUCACUAUAAUUAUUCAAUCCAUGGAAUAUAAAAUGAGUUAUUUUUAGUAAUAAUAAUAAUAAUGAUAAUAAUGAUAAUAGUGAUAAUAAUAAUAAUAAUAACUAAUCAUAUUUGAAUAACAUUUCAUCAAUUAUAUAUCAAAAUAAAGUUGUAUGUUUAUCAUAACCUAUGUUUUAAAACAAAAUAAUAAAAGUUAUAUUUCCCUUUAAAUGUAUUUACAUAUCUACCUCCAUAGUCCAUGGUAUUAAAAUAAUCUAAUAAAACACAGUAUCCCAUAACCGGGCAACAGCACAGCUGCUCCUAGCUUUAGCCCCUAGCAGCUGCAAUCAGCUUUUCCACUCUCUGUUACAGUCCAGCUUUGGCCGCCCAAGACGUACAUCUUUAAAAGUUGAUUUUAUUUUUUUUAAUUGAAUGUUUUUUUUUUUUUGUAACUCUUCUCGAUUAAUAAAUAAUAAUAAUAAUAAUAAUAAUAAUAAUAAUAAUUGGAUUUGGUUUUUAAAGUUGAGUAUUUUCUUUAACUAAUUGAUAUUAUAAAUAUAUAAAUAAUUUCUACAUUCACAUUUUAUAAAAAAUAAAAAUGUUUCAUUUUGAAAAUUUUAUGCAUUAUUUUAAAAUUUUCAAAUAAAGGAUUAUUUGUAAAUAUUUCUAAAUAUGUUUGAUUUCAAUAAUUGAUAAAUUAUAUAAUCAAAAUAUUAUGAAUUGGUAAAUAUCAAUUAUUGGAUUUUAUGAAGAUAAAAUUUAUGAUAUCAAAUAGUAAUGCAUUAUAUUUAUAAAUAGAUGUAUUUUUUCUAUUUUAAAUGUAAUUAACAAUAUAAAAAAUUAAUUAAUAAUGAUAUAUUUAUGAUAAUUUUUGUUUAAAAACAUUUAUAAUUUUAUUUAAAAUUAAAUUUCAUUUUAUAUUUAAUAAUUAUAUAAAAGAUAAAAAAAAUUUAAAAGUAAAUCAAACUAAUUUAUUUAUAAAAAAUUAUUAAUUUUCACUAUUUUACUUAUUUUACAUAUAUAUGUAUUGGGACUGAAAUCUGUUCUCCAUUCUCUCAUUCUUUCCUCCAUUUCUCUUUCGUUCCUAUUCUCUGUUUCCUUUCUCCUUGUCUUCAUUUCUCUUCUAACAUCCAAACUUUUAUUCAUGACGGUUAAACUAUUUCUCUUUUCUAAGAUCAAAACAUAACUCACUGAGGUUAAAAUCCAGAUUGUGAUUGUUAUAAAAAUUCCUAGUUAGGGUUUUAGUUUUAGUUUUAAUUUUUUUGUUCUUUUUUAUUUUUUGCAUUCUUGGUCUUUUGUGUUAUUGUUUAUGUUUUAUUUGGUUUAUGGGAAAUCCUAGAAUUUAUGAAAGUUUUGGCUUUGAAAUAUCCAAAAAAUAUUGAAAUAGAAAUGACCAAAAAAAAAAAAAAAAUUGUUGAAUAAUGUUGAGUUUUUGGUUGAAUUUUUGUUUGACCGAUUUUUUUAUUUUCCAUUUUCUGAUUUGCCCUCGUAGAGUAAAGAAUUUUCCUUCAUAGUGAAGAGAUGAGAACACUCAAGAACAUUGAUUGAAAAUACGAAAAACAUCUUAUUUUUUUUCUUUUUAGAACAUUGGCAAAAACACGGAAAACAACAUUUUUUUGUUUUUUGAAAACCAGACUUUAGAAAACACGAAGAAUACAUGGGAACAAAAAACACUCUCUUAUCAAACACAUUUUGUGUGUUUUUGUUCUCAAAAACAAAAAACUGUUUUUGAAAACAUUCACCAAACAUGCCCUAUUUUUUGAGGUAAUUCUUUUUAUUCUUUUUCUUUGCGGGGGAGGGGGAGGAAAUUUUGGCGAGCUGUUAGAAAAGGGGAUCUUGUGGCAGUUGGAGUUUAGGUUGCCUCAUGUUCUCUCUCCCUCUCUUUUUAUAUUUUAGUUUUUUUGCAAUAACUUGAACUCAUUUCCUUUGAGAAUUUCAUGUUCAUUUUCCCACACUUUGUUUUUGUUCCUAAAUUUAAUCUUGUGUUUAUGUCUAUCAAUUAGUUAUUUAGGUUGAGGAAAGGGGGCCGGGCCUUAGGUCUUCCCUUUUACCCUUGAAAUGAUCCUCUCACUUUGGGUGAUUAUUGAUUUAACUAGCUUAUAAUUUGGCCGUCUUUAUUUUUUAUUGAAAUCAUCAUACCUUGAUGUUUGGAAAUUGAAGAUUCAGGGCCCUUUUGAUGGACUGUCUAGUGGAGUGUGUGGGCAUAGGAAUGAAUUAACGGAGACGUGAAAGCUUUGAUCAGUCCAUGAAAUACAAAUGAAAGGUUAUCACCAAAAAUUAAGCAUGCGUGCAUUGAUAAUAGACAAGUAAAUGAGAGAAAAUGAACUUCAAAUCUUACUUGACAACGAUACUACUAUAAUGGGAUAUUCCUCAACAUAGUGGUUAUUACUUAAUUUGGUAUCAAUAACUAUGCUAAAACCUUGCCCAUUACUGAAAAUGGACAGGGAAUAAGCAAAAAUAUUAUAAUAUGUCUGUAAUUGAUUCCUUUCAUCAUAGUAACCCAUUGGCCAGAUUGGCUUAGUUAACUAAAUGAAAACCCGAUUUCUUAUAUUUCGAAUGAACCAAAAAGGAUACAGUAGUAAACAGCUAUGGAACCAAUAUGUAUGAGGAUAAAAAACAACAACAAUUUUGAUUGAAACUAAUCUUGAAAUAAUCAAUGGCUAAGUACAUCAGGUUGUGUUUAUAAAGUCCUAGUUCAUAAGCACUAAAUUCUAAUGCUAACACUCUCUCCAAGUGCUUUCAGUCUGCUGCUUCAAUACAAGUACUCUAUAUGUGCGCUUGAUAGUAACUUGCGCUUGAUAAUAACUUCUCGUGUCCUAUAUAUUUAUACCCGAUCAAGGGCUGCCAUUUUAUUAGAUUGUUGAGUAAUGACGCUGCUUGUUGAAGGAUUGUGAGACAGAACAAUCUCAUACCCAUCAUCACAUGACUGCAUCCCCUCGGCCAUGAGUUGCCAAACCAAGCCUCCACCAAUUCCUCCACUUCUUGCAAAGUUGUAGAUGUUGGUAUAAACAACAUUCAAAAAUGAAUCCCUUUUAUUUAUAAUUUUAAUUCUAUUGUACGAAGGAAUUAAGAAAAAACUUUUAUUCUAAAAAAAUAUAAAUUUUAACCUAAAAUAAUUUAGUAUAUACUUUAUCAAGUGUAAAAUUUUAAUGAACAGAUUUUUAUUUUAUAAAAAAUAAAAAUAAAUAAAAAAAUUAUAAAAGUUUAAAACUCACUUAGCUUUAAGUGGCUAGUCAAAUAUCUCAUGCUAAACAAAUUAAAUAAUUUUUAUAUGAGCAGAUAGAGAAAAGGACAGUACUUCAAAUGAAAAAUGAAGAGAAGUUACAAUUACUUGUUCUUCGUGUUAAGGAUAAUUAGCCUUUCCAUUACAAUUUACCAUAUGUAUCAUAUUUGACCCUUGAUUACAUGCUAUUCCUUUGUAAUCAGUUUGAUAUUAUUUCCUACUUUCCAUUUCUUUUAUAAUCAGUUUGAUAUUAUUUGAUUUGUAAUAUUCUAUAAAUGAUUAUAAAUAGAAAACUCUCACCACCUUCUCAAGUGUGGUGGUUUGACAAAUAUUCUUACUUUGUAUCAUAUCCGGCUAGAUUGCCUGCUUCCCUCAUGGCAGUCCUCCAUUUCCUUAUCUUUUCCUUUCUCUCCUCAUCUGCAUUUUCCUCAUGAUCGGUAAAUGCUUCUCCACAAAUCCCAGUUUGGUUCCGCACUUCAGACGGAUCCACAUGAUAGAAAAUUGGGAUAACCGUUUGUUUCCUUUCCUCUUUGCAUUGCAUGAUCUUGACAAGCUCUUCCAGACACCAUUUGGAAUGAGCAUAGGUUUUUGAGAAAACAAUAAUUGCAAUCCUUGAUUCUUCAAUAGCUUUUUAAGAGCUCUGGUGCAAUCUCUCCUCCCCUUGGGUGUUCUUCAUCAUCUCUGAAGGUAUUAAUAUUGUUACGAAUCAAAGCCGAGUAGAGGUGAUCAGUAAAGCUUCUGCGAGUAUCUUCACCUCUAAAACUCAAAAACACAUCGUAGCUCCACUGAGAGUGAGAAGUGGAAGAAGAAGAGGGUCUCUGGAUGCUAAGGGAGGCCAUGGUUGAACAGAAAUCGGAGGAAAAAUAAAACAUAUAAAAUUAUCAAGUCCAUGGGGUAUUUAAUUAGGCCAUAAGAGAUCGUGUGAACUCACACAUACAUUAAAUUAAAGUUAUUGAAUUAAUUUUUGUCUUUUCUAUAAUGAGCAAUAAAUAUUCCUGUAGAAAAUAAAGGUUUAUUAAGUUGAUAGGUGAGGGAAAGCUAUAUAACAACUUCGGUAUUAUAAGCUUGAUUUUUUAAAAAUAAAAAAUAUAAUAAGUCAUAUGACACAUAAAAGUUCAUUUUUUUUAAAAUCAAGUCAAACAUUUUUAUCUUAUUAUAAUUUCUUAUUAUUAUAAUAAAUAAAAUAAUUUUUUAAAUAUAUUUUCCUAUUAAGAUAUAUUAUUCCUAACCACAAUCGAAUUUUUAUAAAAGAGCAAUUAGUUUCUUAUAUGAAUGUUUUAUUUAAUCAAGAUAAACAUGGAAAGAAAUUGUUAUCACAUGUCCUAUAUUGAGAAAAAUUAUAUAUAAAUUGGAAAUAAUUUUAAAAAUAAUAAAAUCUAAAAGUUGUUUCACUAUUUUCUAAAAUUAAUUUUAAUUUCUUAUAAUUUUGCUAUUUUUUUGUUGAUUUUUUAAUAAUUAUUUUAAUUAUAUAUCUAUAUAUAUAUAUAUAUAUAUAUAUAUAUAUAUAUAUAUAUCUAUAUAUAUAUAUAUAUAUAUAUAUAUAUAUAUAUAUAUAUAUAUAUAUAUGUGUGUGUAUAUGUAUACAUACAUAUUAAAAAAUGUUACUCAUUUAAGUGGUUUCAAAUGAUUUAUUUAUUUGCAUGAAAAAAACAUGAAUUGAUCAUCUUUUGAGAUGUAGUAAGAGUCGUUUGGUUUAGGUCACAGUGGUAAUGAGUUGGAAGGGUCUAGUACCUUUUGAAAGAACAAAAGGAGCAACAACCCUAAAAUUCAAAAGUGUUGGAAUAUUAAACAAUGUCUUGGUCAAAAAGGGAAAGCGCGUUGGAUCAUAUAUUGAAAAUAAUGUCUUGUUAACAAAAAAUAAUGUCUUGGUAAAAAUAGAAAACAUAUAGGAACAUUGAAUAAGACAAUACCAUAUGGUUAGGAAAGGUUAUUCUCUAAUCUUUUAUCCUUAUUGACUCAUACACUUGUUGAACCUCCUUAACAAUAGAAAGAAAGUUCAUUCUUAUGAAUCCUCAAAAUGAAUCAAAGAGAUAAAUUUCAAUUUUGAAGUAAACAUAAUUAUUUUUCUAUUUUUGUUAAAAAAUUGACAAUACUUAAUUUAUCAUGUAAGAAUCAAAGAAUAAUAGCAACUAUUCAUACAAUCGGUCUCAUUUUGUUGUAACAAAACUUAUGAUUAUUUUUCUUCCAUGUAUAUGAGGUUACUAUAAAUUCAUUUCCCACUUGUCAUGUGAUUCAAAUAGAACCUACUAGAUGAAAUUUCUCUCAACAUAUUUCCGCAUCACAAUUUUUCUUUCAUUUUUUAUUUUAUUUUGAAUUUGCAUUAAAUAAAUUUCAACCAUAGAUACGCACUAACAAUAUUUAAAUAAAGAUGAUAAUGUAUUUAAAAUUUUAAUAAAAACUGAGUUGAAUUUUUCAACUUACGUUUGAUUUCCUUCUGUUCACCUAAUGUUGGCAUUAAAAUACAAAAAAAAAAGUCAUUGUCUUCGGGAUUUUUUCUUGUGAGCUUAUCCUCAAACUUUCUUAAAAAACUAAGUUGAUUAUUGUUGUGCUCACUUAAUGUUUGCAUUAAAAUACUAGAAACUUAUUCUUGUGAGCUUAUCCUUGCACCUUCUUCGAAAAAUAUAAGAUUGAUUCUUAUUGAUAGGAAGAUAAGAACAAAAACUUCUAAUAAAUUAUAUUUUGGUAUAUUGAUAAUUUAAUGGGAAAAAACGUUAAAUUUUAUAAAUGUAAAAAGAUGAUAUAGUUGGAUGACGCAUUUAUACAAACAUAUGAAAAGAACAUUUAUAGUCAAUAAAUGAAAACCAUGUAAAUAUUCAAAAGGCUAAAAUCACAAUUGAUUGGAGCAAAAAAAUUUAGCUCAUCCUAUAUUUAUUUUUUAUCAUCAUAUUCUUAUCGAGCUUCUUAGGCAUCAAAUAUAAAAAUUCUCUAUUUAAAAUCAAAAUAAAAUAAAUAAGAUCUUGUCAACUACAAUUUUAAUUCAACUAUUUUUGUUGCUAACUAGUUCCUUGAUUUUUGGUACUUCGAUUUCUCAAACAACACAAAAUUUCAUUUCAAGGAAGACUCAUUAACAACAUGAAAUUCAAAAUUACAUAUGCAACAACCCAACCCCAAGCUUAAGUAAAUUUGUAAUUUUAUUAAUUAAGAAAAUAAAAACUUUGGGCUAUUUAAAUAUAAUUGGAUUUUAAUUUUGAGUUUGGGUUCAAGUUAAAAAAAAAUUAAUGAGCCAAAUAAAUUAAUUGGGCAUUUAUAUUCAAACAAUUAAUCUUUAGUAUUAAGAUUUAAUUGAAUUGAAAAAAAAAUAGAAAUAAGAUAAUAAAGGGAGUAAAAUAGUCAUUUCUCAUUAGAAACCUAGGUAUGAAUAUUCACUCUUCUUUACAAAAGUCUUUUUGUAUAGAGAGCAAAUGUAGGGUUUGAAAUCAAUCUUUGAAUGUAAGCACGUAUAGAUUUAAUAUUUACUUUCAUUUUUAAUUUUCAUGGGAAUUAUUAAAUAUGAUCAAAUUUUAUGAAAAAAUUAAAUAACAUNNAUUCUAAUUAAUUAUAAAGUCACUACAUUAAAAGUCUNNNNNNNNNNNNNNNNNNNNNNNNNNNNNNNNNNNNNNNNNNNNNNNNNNNNNNNNNNNNNNNNNNNNNNNNNNNNNNNNNNNNNNNNNNNNNNAAUCAAAAAGUAUAAGUUACAAAUUUCAAAGGGUGUUUAUGAGUGGAUCAAUUUUUGGUCUCAAUUAAAAAAGCUAAUUGAAAAUAAUAUAAAUAUAAUAUGUUUUUAUUUUAUUUAUUUAUGGUGAGGAUUAUAAAAUAAAUUGUUAUUUUUUAAUUUUAAAUAAAGUAAACAAAUAAGAUAAAAUAGAAAUUAAAAUCAAAAGAAAAAAAAUUAAAAAUCAAACAAUAUAAAAUAUUGAAAGUGAUUGAAUAAAAAAGAAAAAGUUUACAACUCAAAUAAGAUCAAUCUAGAAAAUACAUUACAUAUUAAAAUAUACGCAUAAAAUGCAUUUCAUACUGUUAGAUGGUAAAAGUCCAAGUAAAAAAUCGUAGGUUGAUGACCUGAAUUGCAUAGGUUGCUUUCAGACCAUUGGGACUUGUUAGGGUUCAAAGUCAAAAAUAGGACUAAUAAUAUUUAGUAAUAUCAUCUCAAGCCUAUUCCAAAAUAUGGCAACAUGGUAAAAUUAAAAAUUAACAUAAUGCUUAAUAAUAAUAAUAAUAAAAAACCUUAUUGGUUUUUUUUUUUAAAAAAAUCACUAGAUAUUGUAUAAUUUUUCUAAAAUGAAUGAGAAAAGUUAUAAUUAUGAAUCUCUUGAAGAAAAACCUUUCAAUUGCAAUCGCACUCCCUUAAAAAAAAAAAAAAAAACUUAAACAUAAAAGGGUUAAAUAUAUAAUAUGAGUAAAUUCGUUAAUCAUCACAUAAAAAACAAUUUUUCCAGACCCCCUCGAUCAACCCCAUGAGCUAACCCAAGCAACUCAAUGUUGACAUCCUAAGCUAAAUGGUAUUAUCUGAUUAAUUAUUUUACAAAAUAUACAUAUGUUAUAUCUUAAAAUUGGUUACUAAAUUAUAUUACAGUUAUCAAAUAUAUUACCAUAUAUAAAAUACAACUUAAUAAAUCUUAAGCAUAAUACAAAGCACAAUAACAAGAUAUGUUAAUUUAAGUUAUUAAGAGCUUAUUUAGUUGUGUGAUUUAAAAAUAGUUUUUUGUUUUUAAAAAACAAAAAUUAUCUUUAAAAUUUUCUAACACUAUUUACCGUUGCUUUUUGGAAACACUUUUUUAAAACAAAGUAAAAUAAAGAACAAUUUUUAAAAAACAAGUUGAAGUUGUUUUUACCAGUUUUUAAAAAACAAAAAAUAUAUAAACUCAUUUCACUAUGUUUUUUGAAACUUGUUUUUAAAUUAAAGAAUAAAAAAUAAUUUUUCAAAAUAAGUUUCAAAAUAUCAUCUAUACACAUUCUUUUUGAAUGAUUAAGAAUCGAGAUUUCUAACCAGUCGGUUAUUAUUAUUUUUUUUUUAUAAAAAAUUGAAAUUUACUUUAUCAUUUAUUGUAUGAAUAUCAUAUGGAUUUAAAAAGAAUUUCACACUUAGACAUGUACCUCUCAGAACAUUUGAAGUGAAGAUGUUCUUGUCUUCUUCAAUUUGAAGGCUCAUUAUGACUUUGAGAUUCACAUUCCUUUAAUUGACAUGAAAUGUUUGACUUGCCUUGACUAAUAAGGACCUUCAUGGCUUACCUGAUAGAGGUUGGGCCUUUACCGUUAUCCACUCAGCAAUGAUGUAUUUUCUGCACUGAGUUAUUUAAUAAAAAUGGUUUUUGAGUAAAACAGAUUUGGAUUUUGACCUAUGGAGGCCUAUGGACUUUCAAAACAGGGGUUCACUAGGGAAAAAAAAAACAGAGAAGAAAAAGAAGAAAAAUGAGAUCAUUGGAAGAAUUUUCAGCCCCUUUCAAUCACUUAGCCAUAUAAUAGAAACUAAGAAGAAGAGAAAGGAUCGUAGCUCACAAAAAGCUUGAGAUAAAUGUUUAGCAUCUUCUGCAGCAUAUCCAUCCAACAAAUUUGCAAAGAAGCUCCAACCAGUCGUGCAUAUGAUCCUCUUCAUCAUCUUGGGCAUCAACAACAUUACUGUUAAUAAUCUGUGUCGUUGUAUCCAUGGGAGAAUCGCUAUGCUCAGUGCACUGUGUCCAGUCAUAGCUUGUUUGUGCAUUAGAAUUAGUAUCUUCUGCUGCUGAUCUGGUAUCACAACUUCUCUGCUCAUCACUAUACUCCAUCAUUGUCUGAUGGUCGCGCUUGGUGGCUUCUGUGUUGUCACAGCUUCUCUGACAAUCAGUACUGGUAUCUUCUGGGAUGUUGCUGUUGAUAACAUCACGUGUAUAUAUAAGAUAGUACCCACACUCUUUCACUUCGACUGGUGCAUCCAAGCUAUGAAAUGAAGCCUUCAAACGUCUCCAUUCGUUUGACCAAUACUGCUUGUCAAUAGCAACCUUGGGAUAAUAAGUCACACACAUUUGACUUGAUUCAUCGCAAAUUGGGCAGCAAUAAAACUGGACAUCAUCCACGUGACAGCAUUCAGAUUGAUCACCACAGAUACUGAGUUCGCAAUUCAACUCAUCACAAGCCAUAGAAAUAAAAAUAGAGUAUAAAGCAAAUCCUAAGAAGUCAUCUUUUCUGUACCAAUCCAUAGGAAGCUCUAUUGUUAUUUGAGAUCCUUUUUUUGGCUGGCUUAUCCACUCUGGAAUUCCAUUAUUUCCCAAAAUAACAACUCUGAUUGCCUUGUUCCAAUAGGAGUCGCAUUCAAAUUCCUGCACAGAAGUACAGUGUUAAUACUCUGUUCAUAAGGAAAAAGGGCUGAAUGUUAUGAAAAUCAUACCUCAAUCAUUGAUUUGAAGCAUUUGAACAGAGAAAAACCAAGUUCACUUGAUGGACUUGAUGAAGUUUCCAAGCAUGUGCAACUGUGGACAUCUAAAUAUCGUAAACUUGGCCGAAGCUCUGGAACUUGUCGACGCCCCUGGCAGUGACUCAAUUGAAGGACUCUCAGUUUAGACAGUUGAAUGAUGCCUGCAAGUAUGCUACUAAAACAGUCCAUGCUUAGAUUUAGACCUGAAGCACGCAAAUCCUCUAAACAUUGCAAACUCCUCAGGUUCUCAGGAAAUUUCUCAAGUUUUGUACAGAAACUGACAUCUAGAGUUUUGAGAGAACUCAAAUUACAAAUGCUUUCUGGAAGACUCACAAGGUUGGUGCAAUCUGAAAGAUUCAAAUAUUGAAGCCCUCUUAAAUAUUGAAUUGAUGCUGGUAGUUCUUCUAUAGCAGUUCCAUCUAAAUGAAGCACUCUUAAAUUUUCCACAUCCUCAACGAUUUCCGGAAAGCUCCUUAAUCGUGAACAGCCUGAGCAGAAGAGAGUUGUAAGGGAUUUCAACUCACAUAUGCUACUGGGAAGAUGCUCAAGGUUUUUGCAUUCCCGCAAACAUAAGCUAUCAAGUUCUAAGGGACACUCAAUAGUGGGUAGUUCAUUGAUGGCAUUUCCCUUUAAACAAAGCUUUCGUCGGGAUUGCACAUCCCCUUGACAUUCCCGGCAAACGGUGGAUAUCAUUGCUUUACCAUGGUUCUGUUCAUGAUCAUGGGCAUAUAUAAGAUGGAUCCCACACUCUUCUACUUUCACUGCUUUACCUCUCAAGUAGCCACAAAAUGAAGCCGUCAACU
rnacentral:lncRNA from 1 species